UGUGAUGUAUAUUGGUGAGGGUGCUAGUUGGAGAGCUAUGAUUGUAUUAUGAGAAGAAUAUGUAUUCAUGUUUUGGGAAAUGAAGAUGUAAUCAAAAUAUGUAAAGGUUGAAUGUGGUGUAAUAGCUAGAUUAUCUCUCUUUUAUGCACUUGUAUAUUUACUUGUAUCUUGCUCUUGCUGGUAUAGCACUUGUGGUGCUUCGUUGAAUCAUGUAUGUUAAUUGAGUUUAUUCUGGGCAACUCUUGUACAUGAUCUUGUUGUUGAGCCUUGGGCGGACAGGGGAGGUGCUGUCCGUCCGGCGUCUGUUCAACGUGCCCAGAUCUGACCAAAUUGGCGGGUCGCGGGGCGUGACAGAUAAGAUGGUAUCAGAGCAAGUUAAGAGCAAGUAAAGAGAGAGUUUAGGAUGGACCUAGGAGACCCUAGGAUGGUAAACCGUAAGGUUAUAGGUACGUGAGUGGAACGUGAACCUAUAACGGUGGCGGAAGUUGAAUCGAUUGGGUUAAGUUAGUAAAUCUCUAAGACGGAUGUUAGAAGUGGAUUCAAGGUUCAGCUUAUUCUCACCUGAGGGUGCUCAUGUUGGAUGCAUACAACAUGAAACCGAGAAAUAAGAAUAGGCACCCUUGUAUGACUUUCGCCUGAUUUGAGUCACGUUGUCUAGUAGUUGCGACGAGAUUAACGGGUUAAGGUGAUUAGCCGAGUUGUUGCGUUUCAGGAGCUAAUGUCCCCGAGACGCUACACGCGUAGAUCUAUUCCGGCACCGUCUUCUGAGAUGCCCGAGCAAGUUGGGUCUAGCGAGGUGCAGGAGUUGCGGGCGCAAGUGACUGCACUAGCCAGUGUGGUGUUGCGCCAAGAGAGCUGCAAGUAAUUGCACUAGCCAGUGUGGUGCUGUGCCAAGAGAGCCGGUUCGAGCGGCUCCAAGAGCUAUUGGAGCGGCAAGUGGCGGCAGCGGCCGCGACGGCAACUGAGGGCCGUGAUCCGCCCGCACCCUCGGCGCGCGCGCCUGAAGCGGCUAAGGGUGAGGGCAUAGCGGCGGUUCCGGUGGCGGCAUGUCCCCCGCCGGCAAGUGUUCCUCCGGCAGCUUCAGGUUCGGCGACACCCGAUACUGCGGCCGAGGAGGCGGAGAGGGAGCGCGCGUUGGCGGCUCUCAUUGUCACGCCCCCGCCUCGAAACCCCUACCAAUUUGGCACGGUUCGGGUGCGGCGAACGGACGCCGAAUGGAUAGCACCUCCCCUGUCCGCCCAAGGCUCAACAAUAGAUCGAGUACAAGAAUUUAUCCAGAAUUUUAAAUUUUAUAAGUCCACAAUCAACGGGGCACAAACAAUGCCAACAACAAAGGGCAAGAAUCCACAAGAUACACAAGUGAAAUAAAUAAAGAGAGUUUUUUUUUUUUUUUUUACUAACUAUUACAUUAAUUGCAUCACAUUCUUUUACAUUUACAUUUUUCUCAAAAUGAAUACAUACUCUCAAGUACAUAGCUCUCCAAAGUCCUCCCCUACAUGAAUCUCUCUCUCAAAUACAUAGGUGUGCUAAUGCACAAGGAAAGCUACUACUCUACCAAUAAUCCUUACUAGUCGGGCACGAUGCCCUUGCCGCGGUCCUCGCCCGGCAAACCUGUACCUUGCCCUGGAAAUAGAGAGGGGUGAGAACUAUCUUUCAUAGUUCCCAGUGGGCUCGACCGCCGACUCCGCCGAUCUCCCUACUAGGUCCAAGUGGGCACAAGUAACAACGAGAUAGAUAGAUAUAUAUAUCAAAGCUGUAAAGACAUAAUAGGAAAAUAUACUACUAUGCCCAUAAUCAUGUGAAAUGAAUGCAUGCAUCAUUUAGUAAAAGUUUACUAUCAUGCUAACAAGUUCGAUCCAUGUUCGAUAAGCAAUGUUUAAUGACAAUGUUAACUUUUCAUUUACCCAAUCUGUGGCGAAACCCUUGGGUUUGCCUACACCUCACAUAUCCAUCCCAUUGGGUAAGGAGGCUCCAUGUGCUCCCGAACCCGGGACUGUCUGCGAACAUCAAUCUAUCCUUAUCGCCCGACACUCUGGAGUACUCGACGACCAAUCCUCUCCAUGUGAGGAUAUGGAUGGCUUUACCAUCCCGAAUAACAGACCGUGAGCUUGAUCUAUCCUCUCCACGUGAGGAUACCCUACGAAAUAGGGCCAACAUUUCUCACGAAACUUACCUAUUCCGGCUUUCAUGCAUAGUUACUUAGCUCUACUAAGUUCAUUGUUCACGAGUCAUUUUCUAGGGAAUCCACCUAUCCCUAAGUUCAUGAACCUCUAGUGUCAAAUACACUACAUAAUGCCACUCGUUCUGUUCUUUAAACAUUUAGACGCCACUCUCUAUGUCACUAUAUAAUAAUCGAGUUCAUCUCUUUCCUUUAGCACUAUAGGAUCCAUGUUCCGACCCAAUCCUUACCUAUCUAUUUCACCAAGUAUUCCAUAUACACUAGGUUAACAUUUAGAAGCAUAAGGAAAAGGUAGUAUAAUGCAACAUGCAAGAGAUGAAAAUUAUGUAUUUCUAAGACAUAGAAAAGAGUUCAGUUGCUUCGGGAUGACACCCCUCCACCUUUUGAGGGUACGAAGGUUCUAGAAACGCUUCCUAACGAACGUUACGACGAUGUCUCGGCCUCCUUGGUCAAAAACGGUGCUCAAUCGGCUAUAUUUCGCCGAUAGCUUUUCACCCGCUCGACGAAUCGAAAAUCUGACUUCGCCCCCCGCGUUUAGACACCUAUCAAUUAGGUUUACAAGCCACUAAAUGAGAUCAAUCUCAUGUAUUCCCAAAAACCCCUAUUUGGGUGCCCUAGGGUUCACAUCUUGCAAUUAGCACUAUAGAACCCUAGCUUCUAGCUCUAUUCCACUAUUAAUGGUGCUAGAGGUCCAUUUGACCUCAUCUCAAAAGCCAAAAAUCCAAAAACCCUAAGUUCUACCAUUAGGGCUCAAGAGCUUACCUCUAGGUUAGCUCCAAUGGAGAGGAGAGGAAGAGGAGAAGAUGCUCCAAGCUUUCCCUAGCUUGCUCUCCUUCUUCUUCUUCUUCUUCUUCUUCUUCCUUUCUCCGUUUUCUUCUUCUCCUUCUUUUCUUCUCUUUCUUUUCUUCUAGAGAGAGAGAGGGAGAGAGAGAGGGAUGGGAGUUGGGAGGGAAAUGAGAGAGGGCGAGAGAGCCCUUUGCCCUCUAUACUCUCUAACUAAGGCAUAAUUGCAGCCAAGCCCCUCAACUUUUCAUUUCUUAAGUUGCUCUGCCUGGGCAGAUUUCGCGCGGACGGACCGGUCCUUCCCUAUCAGGGACCGGUCCCUGAGGACCUUCCAAAAUUCACGCAUAUGGGAACCGGUCCCUGCCCGAGAGACCGGUCGCUGGGAAACCGGUCCUUGCCUAAGAGACCAGUUCUCGAAAGUGGGAUUCUCAGGACUUAGCCAAAUUUUCCUCUGCUCGCUGAUUUCACCUACGGGGACCGGUCCUUCAACCCUGGGGACUGGUUGCAUCAAGCAUUCUUGCAACCACUAGCUACGGGGACCGGUCCGUCCCUGCCAGGGACUGGUCCCUGAGAGCAGAAUCUGUCAAGUUCAGAUUUUGCACCAUUUGCUCUCGUGGACUCGACUCCAAAGCACUUUUUGUGUCUUGGACAUCUCUAGCUUCUCCGAAGCCUACUCACUCGACAAUUAGUCGAUCCUGGACGAAAUAUAACUCUCGGAUUUCGAGAAUUCACUUUCUUACAUCCUCCCCUCCUUAAAAAGAGUUUUGUCCUUGAAACUGAUUCAACUUAAUUUAAACUCUGUUUCUAUACCUUAUUCCUCAAACAAGUGAGGAUGAUGCUUUCUCAUCAAAUCCUCGAGUUCCCAUGUGGCCUCGCGAUCAUCAUGAUUGCUCCACCGGAUUUUCACGUAGGAAAUCUCGUGAUUUCGCAGCUUUCGCACUUCUCGGGCGAUAACCAUCACCGGAAACUCCUCGUAGCUCAAAUCUUCUUGGAGUUCCAGUGGCUCGUAUAGCAUCGCGUGCUCGGGGUCAUGAAUGUACUUGCGAAGGUUGGAGACAUGGAACACAUUGUGUUCAUCCGCGAGCUUCGACGGCAAGGCAAGUCGAUAGGCCACCGUGCGAACUCGCUCCAAUAUCUCAUAUGGUCUAAUGUACCGGAGACUGAACUUUCCCCGCACUCCAAACCGCUUUACGCCCCGCAUUUGCGAAACUUUUAAGAAUACGUGGUCACCCACCGCAAAUUCUAUGUCUCAACGGUGCCUAUCAGCAUAGCUUUUCUGUCUUGACUGCGCCGUGAGUAAUCGCUUUCGAGCAAGGCGGACUUUCUCAUUCGCUUCUCGCAGAACAUCAGGGCCGAACUCUGCACGCUCACCCACAUCGCUCUAGUGUAUAAGAGACCGACACUUCAGCCCAUAAAGAGCCUCGAAUGGUGCCAUCUCCACACUAGCGUGGUAACUAUUUUUGUAGGCGAACUCGGCCAUCAGCAGAUGAUCACACCAACUCCCUUUAUAGUCGAUGACACACGCCCGCAGCAUAUCCUCCAGAGUUUGAAUAGUCCUUUCUGUUUGCCCAUCAGUCUGAGGAUGAAACGCUGAGCUAAAAUCGAGCCGUGUGCCAAGGGCUUCCUGCAGGCUCUUCCAGAAGUGUGAAGUGAACCGAGGGUCGCGAUCCGACACGAUCGAUUUCGGCACCCCGUGCAACCUCACUAUCUCAUCAAGGUACACCUAAGCCAACUUGUCACCUGCCCACAUGGUGUGGAUCGGCAAAAAGUGAGCCGACUUCGUCAAUCGGUCCACAAUUACCCAUAUCGCAUUGUGGCCGCCCGUUGAGCGAGGCAAGCCGACCACAAAGUCCAUCGACAUAUCCUCCCAUUUCCAAAUGGGGAUUGGUAGGCUUUGAAGCUUUUCACUUUUUAUUCCCGGCUACCAAUAGUGCAUUUUUAAUCCCUGAUACAUCUUGGUGCCGCCCGGGUGAUCAGCAUACGGAGACGGGUGUGCUUCUUGCAAGAUUAGCCUUUGGAUCUCCUCGUUGUUCGGCACACACCAUCGGUUUCGAAACCGAAGUGCACCAUCGGCGUCUACUAUGAAAUCGCCGCCACGACCAUUCUCGAUGUCGCGCCGCACCUUUUGGAGUUCCGGGUCCGCGGGUUGCAGAUCUUUGAUCCUCUCUAACAAGGUCGGUUGGACAACGAGUGCCGUCAAUUGAGCCGGAAUCUCAGGAGUAACCACCUCAAGGUUCAUUCGCUCCAUGUCCAGCCACAGGGGUGUUUGAUUUGUAACCCACAUAGCGAGGUUCUCUGCGGACUUUCUACUGAGCGCAUCCGUGGCCACAUUCGCUUUCCCCGAGUGGUAAAGGAUAUCCACAUCGUAAUCCUUUAGUAGUUCUAACCACCGCCGCUGUCGCAUGUUGAGCUCUUUCUAUGUAAACAGAUAUUUUAGGCACUUGUGGUCGGUAUAGAUCUCACAAUGGGCACCGUAUAGAUAGUGCCUCCACAAUUUCAAAGCGAAGAUCACCGCUGCAAGCUCUAAGUCAUGGAUGGGGUAGUUCUUCUCAUAACUCUUCAGCUAACGGGACGCAUAAGCGAUUACCUUCCCGUUUUGCAUCAGUACACACCCCAACCCCAGAUAGGAUGCGUCGCUGUAGACCACAAAGUCUUCACCCUGCACCGGUAGAGCGAGUACCGGAGUCAAAGUUAGCCUUUCCUUCAACUCUUUGAAACUCCGGUCGCACUCCUCGCUCCAGACGAACUUGGUGCCUUUCUUAGUCAGAUAGGUAAGAGGAAUUACUAUCUUCGAAAAGCCCUCCACGAACCGUCUAUAGUAGCCCACCAAGCCCACGAAGCUUCGAACCUCCGUGACAUUCGUCGGGCGCGGCCAAUCCUUGAUUGCCUCAACUUUCCUCGGGUCUACUGAAACUCUACCCGCAAAAAUCACAUGCCCUAGAAAUGCGACCUCUCGAAGCCAGAAGUCACACUUCUUUAACAUAGCAUAUAGCUUCUCCUCCCGAAGGACUUGAAGCACAAUCCUCAAAUGCUCGGCAUGUUCCUCGUCACUACGAGAAUAGACCAAUAUGUCGUCUAUGAAGACUACGACAAAUCGGUCCAAAUACUUCCUGAAGACACGGUUCAUCAAGUCCAUAAACGCCGCUGGAGCAUUCAUGAGUCCAAAUGGCAUGACCGUGAAUUCAUAGUGCCUGUACCGCGUACGGAACGCAGUUUUCUGCACAUCUUCCGGCUUGAUCUUCAACUGGUGAUAGCCGGACUGUAAAUCUAUUUCGAGUAUACACACGACCCUUGCAACUGAUCGAACAGGUCAUCGAUUCGGGGUAGUAGGUACUUGUUCUUGAUCGUGACUCUGUUCAACUCUCGAUAAUCCAUGCAGAGUCGAAACGAUCCGUCAUUCUUCCGCACAUAUAACACCGGGGCUCCCCACGGUGAUACACUUGGCCGGAUAAAUUGCUUAUCGAGGAGGUCCUGUAACUGGCUCCUCAACUCUUUCAGUUUCACCGGCGCCAUUCGGUAUGGAGCCUUCGAGAUCGGUGUGGUACCGGGAAUCAAGUCUAUGACGAACUCGAUCUCCUGAUCCGGUGGUAUCCUCGGUAACUCCGCGGGAAACAUAUUCGGGAACUCCCGCACCACCGAUAACUCUAAUGUUGGAGCUACUCGAUCCACUUCCACAACAAUUGCCAAGAAUGCUACGCAACCGCUGUUGACCAACUUUCUUGCUCUCGUCGCCGACACCAUCGCGGCGAAGCACAAGCUUUGACAAUCCCGAUAAGUGAACUCCUUCUGUCCUGGCUCACGAAAUGUAAUCACUCUGCUCUUGUAGUCGAUCGAUGCGUGAUACUUUGAGAGCCAGUCUAUGCCCAAUAUGACAUCGAACUCUUUAAGAUUCUUGAGCUCUAGCAUCCUAAUGGGCAUUAUCCAGUCGCCUACUUGUACUGGACACGAUGAACAUUUCGUGUAGGUAUUAAAUGUCAACCGAGGGCCCUCAACUCGCCACUUGUCACUCGCCUCUAUAAGUAUGUCAUGCAUGCGUACGAAUGAUCUACUGAUAAAUGAAUGCGUGGCUCCUAUAUCAAACAUAGCCCUGGAGUGAACUCUGUUAAUUAAAACCAUACCUACCACUAGGCAAUGCUCCUCUGCCUCCGCAGGCUCUCGGCUUGGAUCUGAGCGGCAAAUACACGUCCGCUCGGGGCCGAUCGCGCCAUCUCGGGCUGGCGCGGCAUCAUCGCACGUCCUGCCGACACGGCCGUCGGUGGAACUCCUCCAUAGUGAGCCGGAAUCACCGGCGUCGAUGCAGUGGAUGGGGUAGGUGAGGCUCCUCCUCUCGGGCAAUCACGUAUGAAGUGCCCCGGUUGCCCGCACUUGUAGCACUUGCCUUGGCAUUGCUCACAACGCGACACCAGGUGGUCUGCACCACAUAUGACGCACCGUGGCGCUCCACUGCCCUUUGGCUGAGUCCGCAGAUACUUCGGGGGCUUCUUGGAACGUGCUUGCCCCCCCGAACUGCCGCCUUGAUGCUUCUUGCCUUUGUCCUUGGACUCGGCCAACAUCUCACGCUUCUCCCGAACAUGGGCGUCACCGUGCUCCGCCCAGAGUGCUCGAUCGAAGACCUCCGCGAAGGUCGUGAGCUUGAGUAUCUGCACGGCCUUGUAGAUCCCCGGCCGAAGUCCUCGCAAGAACCAAUCGGCCCGGUCCCGGUCAUCUCGUACUACGUCCGGGACACAGUCAAUGAUAUGGGAGAACUCCUGCUCAUACUCCGCUACUGAGCGGUCCCCUUGCUCCAAUUUGCAGAACUUCUCCUGGAGCUUCCGCUUCAAUGUGUCGGGAAAAUAAUUGGCGAACAUCGCCCUCUUGAAUUCCUCCCACAGUAUCGACGUGAGGUCGGGAAGUCGAUCCCAUCUGAGCGCUUCCACCAGACCUUUGCCGCUUUCUCCGAGCAGUGGGUGGCGAGAUACACCCUAUCUCUCUCCAAAGUACGCAGAUCUUCGAAGAGAGUCUCCAUCGAGUCGAUCCAAGGCUCGACCAUCGCCGGCUCCACCUUCUCCCCCUCGAAGAUGGGCGGGUUGAACUUCUUGAACUUGAUAAGAGCCGCCAACGCGCGCUCUCCUUCCACGUCUUUGGCCGUCACAUCGGGUGUCGCCGAUCCCGACACCGCCUGAGGAAUAAUUGCCGGCGGUGGACGUGCCAUCACCGGAACCGCCGCUAUGCCCUCACCCUCUGCCGCUUCGGGUGCACGAGUCGAGGGUGCGGGCGGGCCACCGCCUUCAGUCGCGGCCGCUGCCGCAACCUGCCGUUCCAAGAGCUCCUGGAGACGCUCAAAUCGGCUCUCCUAGCGCUGCACCACACCAACCAAUGCGGUCACUUGCGCCCUCAAUAGAUCCACCUCGCUUGAUCCAGCCUGCUCAGGCACCUCAGAAGACGAUGUUGGGGCGGAUCUACGUGUGUAGCGUCUUGGAGACAUUAGUCCCUGAAAAGCAAAUACUUGGUCAGUUAUCUUAACCAAUUACCUCGUCGCGACUAUGACUCAAACUAAUCCAACAGCGAAAUUGGGCGGAAGCACACAAGUGUACUCGUUCUAGACCCUUGGCAUCAUGUCGUCGGCCGCCGGCAUAACCACCUCAAGUCAAGAACUAAUACUACUUGAAUCCAUCUCUAGCAUCUACUAGAGAUAUUUCACCAACUUCAACCCAAUCGAAUCACUUCCGUCACCGGUACAGGUUCACGUUCCAUUCACGCACCUAUAGCCUUAGGGUUUACCAACCUAGGGUCUCCUAGGUCAUCCUAGACUUUCUCUUUUUACUUACUCUUAUUGCUCUGAUACCACACACUGUCAUGCCCCCACCCCGAAACCCUUAUCAAUUUGGCACGAUUCGGGUGCGGCGAACGGACGCCGAACGGACAGCACCUCCCCUGUCCGCCCAAGGCUUAACAACAGAUCGAGUACAAGAAUUUAUCCAGAAUUUUAAAUUCUAUAAGUACACAAUCAACGGGGCACAAAUAGUGCCAACAACAAAGGGCAGGUAAUCCACAAGAUACACAAGUGAAAUAAAGAGAGUUUUUUUUUUUUUACUAACCAUUACAUUAAUUGCAUCACAUUCUUUUACAUUUACAUUUUCCUCAAAAUGAGUACAUAGUUUCAAGUACAUAGCUCUCCAAAGCCCUCACCUACAUGAAUCUCUCUCUCAAAUACAUAGGUGUGCUAAUGCAAAAGAAAAGCUACUACUCUACCAAUAAUCCUCACUGGUCGGUUGCGAUGCCCUUGCCACGGUCCUCGUCUGGCAAACCUGUACCUAGCCCUGGAAAUAGAGUGGGGUGAGAACUAUCUUCCAUAGUUUCCAGUGGGCUCGGCCACCGACUCCGCCGAUCUCCCCACUACGUCCAAGUGGGCACAAGUAACAACGAGAUAGAUAGAUAUAUAUAUCAAAGCUGUAAAGACAUAAUAGGAAAACUAUGCUACUAUGCCCAUAAUAAUGUGAAAUGAAUGCAUGCAUCAUUUAGUAAAAGUUUACUAUCAUGCUAACAAAUUCGAUCCAUAUUCGAUAAGCAAUGUUCGAUGACAAUGUUAACUUUUCAUUUACCCAAUCUAUAGCGAAAUCCUUGGGUUUGCCUACGCCUCACAUAUCCAUCCCAUUGGGUAAGGAGGCUCCAUGUGCCCCCAAACCCGGGAUGUCUGCAGACAUCAAUCUGUCCUUAUCGCCCGACACUCUGGAGUACUCGACGACCAAUCCUCUCCAUGUGAGGAUAUGGAUGGCUUUACCAUCCCGAAUAACAGACCGUGAGCUUGAUCUAUCCUCUCCACGUGAGGAUACAUACCGAACUAGGGCCAACAUGUCAUGCCCCGGAACCCGGCAUAGGCCCGCCCGGUGCAUGCCCAGACCCGCCAUAUGUCUACACAUAUAAGGCGUCUACAACAACAGCGAAAAAUAAAGCCAAAGAUAGUCUACCACUAGAGUUAUCAGAGCGAGUAAAUCUAUCAUCUAUAACAAGGUGGUAGGAAAUAGACUAAACAAUAAAAGUGAAUCAUAAAGUUAUACAAUAACCAUUUCCAAAAGGGUGCACAAAGGGUGGUCUCUAUGCAUGGAUACAACUCUCAACCUCUAAAAAAAAAAAAAAGAAAAACAACGAGAGGUAGACCACCUAUCAACGCGUCCCUCGAUAGCAAGCUAACUCAAGGCGAUACCCUUUCCGCGGUCCCUAGCCUCCCCCGACGUGGAAGGUGAAAGUUUUGAGGAGCCCAAGGAUCUAUCUAGAUUGUAUCUAUCACCUAGAGGGGGGGGUGAAUAGGUGUAACGACCAAAAACCACAAAUCUCGAUGCAAUAAAAAUAAAUGCAGAAAAUAAAAAGCACACCGAGAUUUACGUGGGAAAACUCCAACUUGGAGAAAAACCCACGGGACCAACACGCGAAAAAACAAUUCACUAAGAGAAAAGAUUACAAGGUGAUUACCGACUCCACGGACUUAACCUCUCUUAACCUCCUAUGAAUCUUCGCGCUACCCUCCGGGUUGUCCACGCCCUCACGUCCGAGUCCACGAACGCCUCCACUUCGAAUCCACGAAGCUUCAAUCACGCCAAAUCCACGACGCCACUCGAAUCCACGAGUCCACGAUCCGAAUCCACGAACCGCCGUCAAAUACGCCGAAUCCACGACGCCACCAUGAAGAAUAUCAUGAAUAUGGUGAUCCUUCGCUUUGGAGUAUUGUAGAAAACCAGGGAAUAGAACUCCAAGCAAAGCGGAGAUCAAAUCGACAUAUUGAGAAUGCGAAACGAUAUCUCGAUUUGAUCUAAAAGAGGCUUUUUGUGGAAAAUAGGUUUAAGAUGAAAUCCGAGCCUCUAGGGUUUCUCAAAUAUGUAUUUUCGUGAUGCUUAAUCAAUUAGAGAAGCCCAAUAGCUUAUUUAUAGACUUUAGAAUCAAUUGGAGUCGAAUUAGAAAGUUUCUUUCCAAAAACAGCACCUUGUACCGGAACAAGGAAUGUUGUCCAGGGUACACCAGACGGAAGAUUUUUCUGCGAAGCUGCUGUACCCUGGACAGGCUGUUGCUUGUUCCGGAACAGGGCUUGUACCGGUACAGCAUGAGCUUGUACCGGAACAACCAUCAAACUUCUGCGCGAACGUUGAUGGCUGUACCCUGGACAGAAAAGCCUUGUACCGGUACAGCAAUGCAAUUUUCGCUGAAAAUGCAUUGUUUUGAAUUUUACAAACUCUUAGAAACUUUCUAAUUAAUUACAACUUGAAAACAUGAUUCUAAGAUCUAUAAUUAAGUAUGAAUCACCAUAAACAAGAUUUAAAGAUUACCUACGCAUCGUGAUUCGUGUUUUGCAUCCUUUCCAAUUCUUCGAAGUCUUGGAUUCUUCCAUCUUCAAUACUCCGAUCCGAACUUCUUCAAGACUCCGACUCGACCCACGAAACUUGCCAACACAUAGGACCUAACAGAAGGCUCUGAAAUAAAAAUAUAAAACAGAGGGCGUGAGAACUAUAAUUUAUAGUUCCCAGUGGGCAAUUACUGACCUCAGCUCAAUGCACCACUAGGCCCCAAAAGAAAAGGGUAAGUACGAUAAGAAACAAUAAUAAUAAUGAUGACCGCGGUAGGAAAGCAUGUAUGAUUACUAAGAUUACUAUACCAUAAGCAUUACGAUGUCAAUGUGUUCUACAUUUACUCUUUCAUAAUGAAGUAUGUCCAAUGCACAAAUAAUAUGUCCCAACAUGGCAAUAAGUAAAUAUCAUGAUCCGUUCUAUCAAUGUAUGAUGAUUAUGAUCUAUCAUCAUGGCAACCAAGUAUACUAUGAUGCAACAAGUAAACUGUCAAGUAUACUACAUGUCUCAACACUAUGCUAUAAGCAUGUCAAAGUAAUCCAACUACCAAGCCUAUCUUGUAGUGAUUGUCAUUUCCCCGUUCAAUGUCAUUGUUUCCAACAUGAACUAGGACCUACAUAGUGUAGUCCAGCUUGUGCCAGCUAAGUGUCGGUGGUAGCUUCAGCAUUCUCACUCUAGGAAUGAGUCUAUCCCUUCCGACCCCGUAGGUUUCUCGAUACCGCACGAGCGAGCAUAAGUCGCGUAGGCCAACUCCGAAGUGCCGGCUUGUAGGGAGCUACCCUUACAAACAUGUGUGAAAGAGCACAAAUGGCAAGCAAGCGUAGUCAAUGUCUCAAGUUCCCAAUCGUCAUGUCUCUAACAUGGUAAUAGCCACUAGCAUCCAACGAUCUAGUUCUAUGUCUUAAGGUAAAGUUCCAACUCUCACUAUGCUUAGUGCCUCUUUAUGACACUUAAGCAUUACUAUAGGUCAAGCACACCACCUACUCAAUAUUCCAUUAAUGACCUUAACACUAGGUUCAUACAUGACCCGAGCUCAAUGCUGCUUAAUGACAUUAGCCCAAUUAUUCUCAAGUAAUACAAGUCCCCAAGCCUCUUUAUGACUUACUAAGAUUCUUUAAGUCUUAAGUAGGAAUAGCUUUAAAUGCAUGAAAGUAAUGCUCAUUUUCACAAUAGGAAUUAUGAUUCCAAGUCUCAAUAGGAUGCCAAUCAUGUACAAGUUCCCAUGCUAGUUCUCUACUACAUAGAGGUCCGAAAAUUCAUCACACAUAACAUAGGCAUUUUAAACAUCCUAAAAUUCACAAUAAUUAUAUUUAUCAUGGAAAUGCAUGAAUUUCUACUUUACGAAGCAUAAAAUAUAGGAUAUGAGAAUUUCUCAUAUGCUAGGCUAGGUCAAACCCACCGAACCGUCUUAAAACCCUUCGUAAGCUCCAAUGAAGGUGUCCUCUAGCCUCCUAACACCCUAUAGAUGUAGGAACAAGGGUUAAACGAACCUUACGAUCAACCCUAAACUCAAACAUUAACCAACUCAAGCUAAGGAGGAGAGAACUCACCUCUAGAGUCAAAUCUCUUCUCAAGCUUCAAAAGAAAGCUAGAAUCCUUCCAAUCUAAUCUAGAGGAAGGUUCUAAUCCAAGAAAUUGAGCUCCAAAAGUUCUAAAUCCAAAAUGCCCAAAAUCAAGCCCUAAAAACUCAUUCUAGGAUUUCAUCUCAAAGAAACCCUCAAAUCUCGAAAUCUAGAGGAAAGAACAAGUCACUUACCUCUAAUCCAAGCUCAAAACCCUCUAGGUUCAAAGAUCUUCCCCCAAUCAAGCUCCAAGUCCAAGCUCCAAGCCUCUACCAAGGUAGAAAUGGCACCAAAGAGCAAAAGAGAAGAUCAAGCCACCAAAAACCGAAGCAAAAAUCAAAGAAGAAGGAAUAGGGAGGUGUGGAAGGGUCCCUUACCUCUCUCCCUGCUGUUCCAAGCUCAAAGAAUAGCCCUAGGGGCGUGGGUGGUAAUAUAGAGAUGCCACCUUGCAAAAACACCCCUGCAGUUUCGACCAUUCAGAAACUGUCACUGCGUACCGGUACACAGGCCCGCAUACCGGUACACAUCCCACGAAAAUGCCAAACCCGAGCCUCGGGUUGGGUGGGAAGCUGCCUGUGUACCGGUACACGAGCCCGUACCGGUACAACCAUCAACCCUGUACCGGUACAGCCAUCAACCAUGUACCAGUACACAGCUUGCUGAAAGCUACCCGAGAGUUGACCAAAAAUCCGACUUUUCGAGUUUUGGUGCAAAGCUUCAAACCUAAAUUCUUGGGGUACGAGCCAUAGGUCGGAACACUGUUAACGACCCACCAGAAAAUCUGGAAAAACUCAGAACACAAGCAAAACACUUGAACCUCGCAAUUUGCAAAGGUCAAGUGCGUUACACAACAUUUCUCUUGGAACUCACCUAUUCCAACUUUCAUGCAUAGUUACUUAGUAGCUCUACUAAGUUCAUUGUUCACGAGUCAUUUUCUAGGAAAUCCACCUAUCCCAAAGUUCACGAACCUCUAGUGUCAAAUACACUACAUAAUGCCACUCGUUCUGUUCUUUAAACAUUUAGAUGCCACUCUCUAUGUCACUAUAUAACCAUCGAGUUCAUCUCUUUCCUUUAGCACUAUAGGAUCUAUGUUCCGACCCAAUCCUUACUCAUCUAUUUCACCAAGUAUUCCAUGUACACUAGGUUAAUAUUUAGAAGUAUAAGGAAAAGGUACUACAAUGCAACAUGCAAGAGAUGAAAAUCAUGUAUUUCUAAGAUAUAGAAAAGAGUUCGGCUCCUUCGGGAUGACACCCCCCACCUUUUGAGGGUACGAAGGUUCUAGAAACGCUUCCUAACGAACGUUACGACGAUGUCUCGGCCUCCUUGGUCCAAAACGGUGCUCAAUCGGCUAUAUUUCCCCGAUAGCUUUUUACCCGCUCGACGAAUCGAAAAUCCGACUUCGUCCCCACGUUUAGACACCUAUCAAUUAGGUUUACAAGCCACUAAAUCAGAUCAAUCUCAAGCAUUUCCAAAAACCCCUAUUUGGGUGCCCUAGGGUUCACAUCUUGCAAUUAGCACUAUAGAACCCUAGCUUCUAGCUCUAUUCCACUAUUAAUGGUGCUAGAGGUCCAUUUGACCUCAUCUCAAAAGUCAAAAACCCAAAAACUCUAAGUUCUACUAUUAGGGCUCAAGAGCUUACCUCUAGGUUAGCUCCAAUGGAGAGGAGAGGAAGAGGAGAAGAUGCUCCAAACCUUCCCUAGCUCGCUCUCCUUCUUUUUCUUCUUCUCAUUCCUUUCCCCUUCUUCUUCUUCUCCUUCUUUUCUUCUCUUUCUUUUCUUCUAGAGAGAGAGAGGGAGAGAGAGAGAGGGAUGAGAGUUGGGAGGGAAAUGAAAGAGGGAGAGAGAGCCCUUUGCCAUCUAUACUCUCUAACUAAGGCAUAAUUGCAGCCAAGCCCCUCAAAUUUUCAUUUCUUAAACUGCUCUGCCUGGGCAGAUUUCGCACGGAGGGACCAGUCCUUCUCUGCCAAGGACCGGUCCCUGAGGACCUUCCAAAAUUCAUGCGUACGGGAACCGGUCCCUGCCCGAGAGACCGGUCCCUGGGAUACCGGUCCUUGCCUAAGAGACCGGUUCCCGAAAGUGGGAUUCUCAAGACUUAGCCAAAUUUUCCUCUGCUCGCUGAUUUCACCUACGGGGACCGAUCCUUCAGCCCUGGGGACCGGUUGCAUCAAGCUUCCCCGCAACCACCAGCUACGGGGACCGGUCCUUCCCUGCUAAGGACCGGUCCCCGAGAGCAGAAUCUGCCAAGUGCAGAUUUUGCACCAUUUGCUCUCGUGGACUCGACUCCAAAGCACUUUUUGUGUCUUGGACAUCUUUAGUUUCUCCGAGGUCUACUCACUCGACAAUUAGUCGAUCUUGGACGAAGUAUAACUCUCGGAUUUCGAGAAUUCACUUUCUUACACUCAUGAUGUUCCGAAAGUUCAGUCCACCGAUGUUCAACGGGGAGAAGGUUGAGCCUUAGAUGGUUGAGUCAUGGGUGGACUCGAUGGAGACUCUUUUCGAAGAUCUCUACACGUUAGAGAAGGAUAAAGUUCCCCUCGCCACACAUUGCUUGGAACGAGCGAUGAAGGUGUGGUGGAAGCGGAUCAAGCGAGAUCGGUCUCCCGACCUUCCGCCGCUGACGUGUUGUAUAUCAACUAUUUCCCCGAUAGUGAGAAAAAGAAGCUCCAAGAGAAAUUUCGAAAGUUAAAGCAAGAAAACCGCUCAGUUGGAGAAUACGAGCAAGAGUUCUCAUAUAUUAUCGACUGCAUCCCCGACGUGGUGCGAGACGACAGGGAUCGAGCCGAUUGGUUCGAGCGAGGGCUCCGGUCGGACAUCUAUAGGGUGGUUCAUAUUCUGAAACUUACCACAUUCGCGGAGGUGCUUGAUCGACCGUUGUGGGCGGAGCAUGGUAAUGCCCACAUCCGUGAGGAGCGAGAAGCAUUCGAGAGGGACGGGGGUAAGAAGCGAGCCCAAGAUGGUUCAGGAAGUCGGUCGAGGUCGAAGAAGCCUCCGAAGUACCCGCGAGCGCAAUCCCAGAGUCGUGGGACUUGGCAGUGCGUCAUUUGCGGAGGUAACCAUGAUCCGAACCAUUGCGAGCAAAAAGAGGAAAGAUGCUUCACAUGUUGUAAGAUAUCGAAUUUAGACGAUAUUAGCUAACCUUGGCCAAAUGGGCCAAAGUGGGCGAUUAAAUGAAUUGGAUAAGUUCCAUUCGGUGUUUCGACAUUUUUGGAAGAGUAAAAAUGAGUUCCAAAGGUGUUGGAAUGGUUUUAGCGUUGUUCGGUGCGAAAAGAAACCGAAACAGCUUAAGAAACAUCAUUCUGUGAGUGCUGUACCGNCGUUUAUCGUUGUUUGAUUGUGUAUGUAUGCAAGUUGUUUUCCUGGGAACUUGUUGUACACAAUCUGUUGCUUAGCCUUGGGCGGACAGGGGAAACUCCGUCCGUUCGGCGGUCGCGCCGCCGCCCUCGAACCGGACCAAAUUGGUACCGUUUUCGGGCCGCGCGGUUGGGGCGUGACACAUGUGGUCAGGCAGGGCACAUCAGUCGCCACUGUCCUGGGAGGACCUCGCCUGUCCCGUCUAUUGCAUCGGAUCCGGCAAUUCCGGGCCAUUAUGGAGGAGCACCACCUAUUGCUGCGUCAGCUGGACGCGCGUUGGCACCUCGUCAGUCCGAGGUGGCCCGGUCGGCUCCGAGUGGCUGGGUGUUUGCCGCUCAAGUCGAGGAAUCUGCCACUGUCGAAGAUGCCAUGGCAGGUAUGGUUUAGUUGCAGCAAAUAUGUGUUUCUGCAGGGUAUUAAAUUGGUGCAUUGCAUGUAUUUUCAUGGUCAGUUGUGCUAUUUAUACAUUAGUAUAGUAAGGACCAGUGGACGGGUAGGUGAGAGUACCCGGGCAUGCUUGUGUGAGAGAGUAUAGCGCCUGCUUGAGCAGGAAAAAGAGCUAGACGGCACUAGCAAAUUGCUAGUAGUGGUUCUUAGGCGAGAAAUGACACCCGUGGUGGAGAUGAAAUGGCGAAGCGACUCUCAAGGCAAUGUGAUCAGUAGAUUGCGAGAGUUGAGCCAUGAUACUUGUAGGCACCCGAGUAAUCCGAGAAUUUCGAAUAUUGUUCCGGUAGAUUGGACGGUGAAAGUAGAAUCACUGUUGAGAGAACGGUCGAUUAGUGGCCAAGUAUGAGCACGUGGGCCUACUAGUACCUCAAGGUGAGGUAGGCGGUUGUGCUCGUGCGGCCGAUGUGCAUAGGCAAGAUUGCCUAAUGCUAGAUUUCGUGUGGAACGCUGUAGAGGCGUAGAGCGCUCGAGUGUAGAUACUCGUGGAGUGCGGAUGCGGAUUCAGCCUAGAGAGUGUGUUGGCAGUAGCACUUCAGCAUCGCUAAGUGUGAAACGGGCCAUGGGUCACUCGUGGGGCUGAUGGCUCGCACUAGGUGCUUAGGAGCUGAUAGUGGUGUAUGUGACUCGGUAGAGUAUGUCGUGUAGGACGACGACGUCGGGUGUCGCUUGGGGACGACCCGUGCCUGGACCAUUUGUGGACUGUGGAGCCUGGGCCCAUUGGGCUGGCGCAGUCAGCUGUGAGUGACAGCGGCCCGGUACCUACGGAUAGGCAGAGUUAUGGUCAGGACGGUGGUCCGAGCUUAGACCCGGGAGCGUGGGAUGCCACGUGUUGAAUUGCGAGAUCGAGAAUACACCGAGUGUGUAGUGACAAAACCUAAGGAUUUGAUAAGGUGUGGGGUCAUGGUUGAUCCUGGUUGGAGUGUGUGCGAAUUUCCAAGUGAAAAUUUUGCCUAAUUAUGAUUGGGUCCACGCUUGUGAGCGAGAGACGUGCAAGUUGCGACAAGUUUAGGCAGUAGUCCUACAUCGGGUUGGUGACCUUUGGUCCACCCAUGGAAGCCGAGACGAGCGGUUUGGCCGGUAACUCAGUUAGUGAGUUGGCAUGGAUUCACGAACAGAGUGUUCAUGUGAGCUCGUUGUAGAGCAAUUGACGUUGGUCGUGGCAACUGAAAGAGAAAAUAAAGUGGUCUCUUGGAGACACUUGAAUACCGGAUAGCCACGCAGUUUGAGGGUGAUGCUCUUUUGAGGAUUGAGAUGGAAGAUGUGCCGGAGUGUGCCAUCUCGUAGUAGAGCAAAGAUCCGAUUGUGAUAGCAGCACUUGCGAUUGAUCGAUGCACCAACAAUAUUGCUUUUAGGCAAUACUGGUGAUCGGAUCGGAGUGUAUUCCAUAGAUUGUGUAGCGAGUGGUGUUGGAGCAUGAAGAGUCAUUGAGUGUCGACUUACGCUGCCACCGAGACUUGCGGAGUUGUAAUGCACUUUUGGUGUUGCACUUGGCAAUGUGUGUGAGUUUGAUCUCACAUCCUUCGUAGUGGGCCUUUGGAUAGUUCCGAUGAGUGAAAGGCCACUCCGGAGUAGAAAAGUGCAUUGUUACCCUUGAGUACUCGAUAACUCGAAUUAAAGAAUGAUUUAAGUUUCGAGGACGAAACUCUUAUUAAGGAGGGGAGGAUGUAAGAUACCGAACUUCUAAAAUUAUGAAGUUACGGUGGGAUGUAAUAUACCGGAUUUUUAAUAUAAAGAUAAGUAUAAAUAAAAAUAGUAUGAGAUACUAUUUUUAUUUGACUUAGAGAAGUAAAAUAGAAGUCGAAAAUGACUUGUGCUGAAAUCGGACCUGAAAUAGAAGAUUUAGAAUUUUCUAUUUGAAACGGGGCUGAUAUUUUAGCAGAAAAUGCACAGUGUCAGAAAAUUAUGAAAACUUGAGAAUAUGUCGGGAUUAUUUUUAUGAGGCUAGAUUUAAAGUUUCAUGUCAAUCUGACACCCGGAAGGUGAAAAAUAAAAUUCGACUGCUAUCUGGUAGAGAUUACAGUUCGGUAGAGCUUUCGGUGACCAAACGAGGUCGAAACUGAAAGAUUAAAAUUUCUUUGUACUUAUUAAGUAAAACUGAGCCUGACUGUAAAAUUUGAGCGCAAACGGACAUUCAAAAGGGCUCCGACGAAAAACGUCAGUUUGUAGCUGCUAAACUGAAAUAGUGUAUGCUACUAUUGAGGGGUGUUCACUAUAAAUAGAAGCUACUAGUCUUCUUCUUCUUCCACAGCCGAACACUCCACAACACCACACGUUCAUGGUGGUAGUGAGAGAAACCCUCCCUUUCUCUCUCUAAAUAUCUUCUCAUCUCUCUAAAUCUCUAUCUCAAAUUCGCGGCGUUGGCAGAGAGCGAGCUUGUGAACGCGUUGGAAGCGACGGAUCGAGCUUUCGUGCGCCCGUUGGAGCGGCGUGCUUCCGUCUUGGCCUUCACAUUUUGGUAAGCUUUUAGGAUUUGGUUUAAUCCUUAUGCUUAAGUGUUCUAGUAGCCUCUAAUGUGAUGUUUGCAUAUUUCCUCCAUUUAAUUUAGGUUAUUUGGAGCAUGUGUAGAGGCUAGGUUUAGAAUAGGGUUUUUGUGAAAUGAUUGGGUUUAAUCUAAAUUGAACCUAUAUAAAUCUAAUUGCUAGGUAUUCCGACGUGUUGGCAAAGUCGGUUCGGCGAUCCGUCGAGCCUACGCGAAGAUAUUGGCAAAAAGGCCGUUUUAGCUUCAUUUCCGCCUGGAGGGCCGAGGCGACUUCCAAAAAUCGUGAAAUUGGAAUAGUAGCAUCGCGGCAUCAAGUUAUAAACCUUUAAUUUCCGGAUUAUGGAUUGGUGGCCGUUUGGUGGUCGAGCGAGAGUUUGAGCCGAACCGGGCGGCGUGUACCGCAGGGAGCCGAUUGCAAGUGACUACGAGCAAUCGGAACGCGAUAAAAGGUGGGGGGUGUCCAUCCCAAAGCAACCGGGCUUCCUUUUAUGUCUAAGUUCUAUUUUGAUCAUAUUCAUAUAUUGAUAUUGUGCAUUAUAAGAUUAGUAGAUGAUUACAUUCCAUUUCCUUGCAUGUUUCCUAUGGUAGUGUAGCAUUGUGGGCUUGACACUUGAACUUAGGUUGCAUGAGGAUUGGGUCAUGUGACAAGAAUCCUAUAGUGACAAGAAUGAUGAUGAACUUGGACUUGUGAUGAUGAAAACAAGCGACAUUGAAUUAGUAUAGUAGAGAUACUAUAAUGUGAACGAGUGGCAUGUCGAUUUAGUGUAUUGAGACACAUACAACAUCAUGACAUAAAUGAGUGGCAUCAAAUCUAGUGUAGUGGAACACUAUGGCAUUUGAACCUAGGGAUAGUAGAUUUUUUCUGAUUGUCAUGUUGUGGACAUUAUGCAUUUGGCAUUAGUGCAGUUAAGACAUUGUGGCCCUAGUAGAUACGGUAUCCUCCAGUGUGGGGAUUGGAUCAUACUCACAUAGUCUGUGUAAUCUUGGCAUGGUCGCUCCACCCAAGUAGUGAGCUCUGGAGUAGUAGUCGCGUUGGGGCAGACAUAGUUGUCCCGCAGGCGAGUCUUGGGUGGGUGUAGUGCAGAUUCUCCCCACUAGCAAGAUUUGAGAUGUGAGUCGGGGUAGCAACCUUCGGGUUGGCCUCGGUGUAGCAACCUUCGGGUUGACCAUGAGAUUCGAUACUAUCGAGGCAUAGUUGCACGACGCACUAUGUAGUAGCUCGUUCAUUCUGAUUAUCGAGGCAUAGAUGCGCGACGCACUAUGUAGUAGCUCGUUCAUUCAUGUGAUUGUUGAGGCAUAGUAUCAUGUGUAGAUUGUAUACUAUGUAGUAGCUCAUGCAUUUCACUUGGGUAUGGUAUUUGGAUAUUUGAGGCAUAGUAGCAUGUUGCAGGAUACAUUACUAUGUAGUAGCUCAUUUCCAUUAUUGUUGAGGCAUAAUAUCUUGUGUAGUUUGCAUACUAUGUAGUAGCUCAUUUCUUUUAUUGUUGAGGCAUAGUAGCAUGUGUAGAUUGCAUACUAUGUAGUUGCUCAUACAUCGGAUCAUUGAGGCAUAGAUCAUAUACUAUAUUGUAGCUCAUAUCCUUGAUUAUUAAAGGUAAUAAUAGUCUAUUCAAUAGACAAUAGCCGAGUGCUCUUCUUCGAAUAUUGUAAUCGACCUUUUUAUUAGGGUCUUCUAAAUAUUCGAUUAUGGAUUUUCUCCAAUCCUCUUUCACCUCUAUGGGGGCAAUAAUCGGCUCUCGAACAUGAACCGAAGGUAAUAGUCUUUUUUCUAUUUUUAGAAGACUCUGUUUCGGCUCUCUAUACCCUGAAGCCAAUUAGGCUAAUUCAUUUGCUUGUUCAUUUUUCUCUCUCAUCAAAUGCUCAAAUUCAACUUCUCCGAAGCUGCAAAGCAAUUCUACUAUUUUUCUCAAAUAAUUUUGUAAAUUUUGACUUUCGCAUCGGUAUUCUCUACUGACUUGUUUGAUCACUAACUGUGAUUACCGAUGACUUUAAGUGACUUGACUUUCAAUUCUCGUAAAAUUUCAAGACCAAUUAUUAAGGCCUCAUAUUUGGCUUAAUUGUUAGAGCAGCCGAAAUCUAGCUCAAAAGCAAAUUGACAUGAAUAUCCCUCAGGAGACUGUAUAACUAUUCCAGCUCCUGCAGACUCGGCUGUUCUUGAGCCGUCAAAAUAAAGUGUUCAGGGUUGGCAGCCGAUUAAAUUUUGUUUCGGCUCUUUAAUUUCAACACAUGGAUGAUCAACCAAAAAAUCGGCUAUUGCUUGUCCUUUAACAGCUUUCGCUGGAAUAUAAUUAAGAGAAAAUUCAGUCAAAGCCAACAUCCACUUUCCAAGUCGACCCCUUAAUACAGGUUUAGCUAACAUAUACUUUACCAGGUCGGUUUUGCAUACUACCAACACCUCGGUUGGUAAAAUAUAAUACCAUAGUUUUGUACAAGCAUAGUAUAAUGCCAGGCACAAUUUUUCAAUAGUCGAGUAUCGUUUCUCAGUAUCAAAUAACCGUCGGCUUAAGUAAUAAAUGGCAUGUUCUUCAUUUUCUUCAUUUUCUUGGGCUAAUAAACACCCAAGAUUUUCCUCUGCAGCCGAAAUGUAUAAUUUUAUCGGCUGCCCUUGCUUAGGAGGCAUGAGAAUCAGAGGAUUUGAUAAAUAUUUCUUUAUACUUUCAAAUGCUCUUUGUUGUUCCUCCGUCCAAACAAAUUCUUCCUUGCUUUUUAGCCGAAGCAAUGGAGUAAAAACUCCUAUUCUACCGGCCAAAUUAUAUAUGAAUCGCCGUAAAUAAUUGAUUUUCCCCAAUAAGCUUUGCAACUCUUUUUUGCUUUUCGGAGGUGGCAAUUCUGAUAUAGCCUUCGCCUUAUUCUUAUUAAUUUCUAUUCCCUUCUUAUGUAUAAAAAAUCCUAAGAAGUUUCCUGCUGAAACUCCAAAGGCACAUUUCAAGAGACUCAUCUUUAACUUGUAUUUUCUCAUCCUCUCAAAGGCGAGCUUUAGAUCAACCCAAUGUUCGACUUGUGAUUUGGAUUUUACAACUAUAUCGUCGAUGUAAACUUUCAACAUUUUGCCGAUUAAAUCAUGAAAAAUAAAAUUCAUUACUCUUUGAUAAGUAGCUCCGGCAUUUUUCAAACCGAACGGCAUAACUACCCAUUCAAAGGUUCCAAUAGACCCCGGGCAUCUAAAAGCUGUUUUAGCUACAUCAUUCUCAGCAAUAUAAAUUUGAUUAUACCCAGCAUAUCCGUCCAUAAAGGACAGGAUUUCAUUACCGGCAGUCGAAUCUACUAACAUAUCGGCUAUUGGCAUUGGAUAUUCAUCUUUGGUGUAGCUAAGUUUAAGUUUCUAAAAUCAAUGCAAACUCUAAGUUUACCGUUCUUUUUUCAUACUGGAACUAUAUUAGAUACCCAAUCAACAUAACGGGCCGCUCUAACAAAACCGGCCUUUAAAAGAUUUUCAAUUUCAUUCUUAAUUUGGAGUACAAUACUCGGCUCAAACUUACUAGCCGGCUGUUUAUAAGGCUUGAAUCCCUUUUUAAUGGGUAGACUAUGCUCUACAAUUUCUCGACUCAACCCUGGUAUUUCUUCAUAAGUCCAGGCGAAGCAGCCUUUGUACUCCUUCAGCAAUGCUUUCAGCUCCUCCUGUUGAUGAACCGAAAGCUUAGCACUAAUGUAUGUCGAUCGCUUGUCUUCAUCGGAUCCUAAGUUCACCUCUAUUAGCGGAUCCUGUGUUUCCAAUUUUUUUUCACCGACUUUAAUAGGUGACUCUUCUAGGUUUAACUUGCUGGUUAGCCUAUUUGUCUCAUCUGGUCUACCCUCGUCGGCUUCUUCUACCGACUUUGUCCUAUUUUCAGAAUCGGCUUUAACAACCGAUUUUACUACAUCAGCCAUUUCAUCCUUCUCGUUGAGCACCAUAUCAUCGGCCUGCUGGGUCGAAUUUAUCCUACAGCCGAUCUUGUCGAUCGGCUCCUCUUGCCGAAGCUCUUUUAAAGCUUCGGUUCCUUAUUUUUUAACCAGUUUGGUGGCUCUUCGGCUGCCAUCAAAGCUCCUUCAUCACUAGAAAGGAUCAACUGGAUCCCCUCUUCUGUAACUCUUACGAAGGAAAUUUGAUCUGGAUCCGCGUCGGCCCAAUUGAUGUGGCCGACCUCCUCGGUGUUGAUGUCUACUAUUUGGGGUCGUCCUUCGGCCCGAAUUUCUCUAACUUUCUCCCGAAUCCACUGGAAUAAUUUUCCGUGGAGGGUGGAAGGCACGCACUCAUUCGCGUGAAUCCAAUCCCGCCCGAGUAGUAGGUUAUACUGACUAUCUGCAUCAACCACAAAGAAUGCAGUUCUUAAAGUUUUGGAACCUACCGUGAUCUCGGUUGUGAGCACUUCUCGAGCUUGUUGACCGCUUCUAGUGAAAUCGAUCAUAAUAGUGUCAGUCGACUUCAGUUCAUCUUCAUCCUUGCCAAACUUUUUGAAAAAUGAAGUUGGCAUGACAUUGACCAUUGCUACGCCAUCCACCAUAACUCGGCCUACUGGCCGACCUUCGAUUAAGGCCCUAAUGAAUAAUGGCCUCACGAACCUCGUUUGCAUAACCGAUGGUUUCUCAAAAACCACUACAUCGGCUGGUUUAGUGUCUUCUAAUUGUAAUUGGGCUACAUUGAGCCUAUCUUUGUCAUCUACCAACACCUCGUCAUAUUCAAUAUACUCUGCUUUAAAAGAUUGCGGCAGAGUAUAUACCAUAUUGAUAUUGGGUGGUCCUUCAUCAGCCGAUUUUUCUUUGAUCCUCGGUUUCUUUUCUUCGGACUCUUUAGUCGUCUCGCUGGAAGAGUCGCUAUCCAUUCGCACCUCCCACUCCCUAGGAGGUGUUAAGUCUCCCAACCUUACAUUUCUCCAUCCAAGGGUUAAAAACUCAAAAGCACCAACCUCUUGGUGCUUUUGAGAGUAUUCUAGCUCAACUCUAUAUAUAUAUAUAUAUAUAUAUAUAUAUAUAUAUAGAGUCCGGCUGGGAUACUAUCGAUAGCACCAAGGGCUUGAUGCUAUCGAGCUUUCCACCGUUAGAUUUAACCCCUUUAUUAUUUUUACUCGUGAGAUUAUAUUAUUCAACCAAUGUCACACCCCAAUAAUCUCACAUCGGAUAUGAAUGGGGAUGUAAUUGGAUAUAUAAGUGACUUAGACACUAGUAAUAAUAACUGGGCUUAAGCAUUUUGGGCCGGUGGUUAGGCCCAACAAGUUAUUGUUGCUAGUGGGCUGGGUCGUUACAUUUGGUAUCAGAGCCAAUCACCAGCCGAAAAUGUGUGGCGAGUCUCGGCUGAGCCAGGGUCUGAAAGACAAGGUGAUAGGCUAUGCCUGAGUUUGUAUGACAUGGUGACCGGCUAUACUAGGGUCUUAAUGACAAGGCUAGCGAGACGAGUCUCACAUCGAUUGGACUGACGAGGACGUCAGGGUCUUAACGGGGGGAGUCUGUCACACCCUAAUAAUCCCACAUCGGAUAUGAAUUGGGAUGUGAUUCGGUAUAUAAGAGACUUUGUAACCUACCGAAACCUUGGUAAGCCCUAAUGGACUUUAGCCAAAUUGGCUAAAAUAUGCGAAAGAAAUAAUCGGACAAGUUCUAUUUAACAUUCCAACAGUGUUGGAAGGGUUAGAAAUGAGUUCCAAAGGAGUUAGAAAGGUUUUGACAUCGAUCGGCGUGAAAUAGAAUCGAAACGGAGCCAAAAACCAAGUCUGGGUAAAGUGUACCGGUACAACCAUCGAGUUGUAACCGGUACAGAUAUGUGUACCUGUACAAAAUGAAAGUGUACCGGUACAAAUGCCCCAAAUCCAAGGGAGCUACUCUCGGGUUUGGUCAUAUGCGAUCGUAUUACUGGUUACACGAGAAAGUGUACCGGUACACUUUGGGUUGACAGCAGGAAAUAGGUCUGCUGCAAAUAUAAGUUGUUGGGUGGUUUAUUUGCAAAUGUUGCACACUCUAUAUGCAACCAAACCUCUUCUCCUUCACAGCAAUCCUCUCCUCUCUCAUUUUCUCUCCCUCUCUCUCUCUAGAAGCUUUGCACCAAGGCAAAGGAAAAGGAGAAGAAGGCUUGGAAAUGAAUUUUUGAGGGUUUUGAAGGAUCAAGAAGCUCUCCUUCAAGGUGGUCUUCGAAGAGCUUGGGCUAAGGUGAGUUGUUUUGCAAGAAUACAUCUAGAGUUUAGAUUUCUAUCCUAUGAUCUAGAGUUUUUAUCUUCUUGCAAGCUUUAGAACCUUGUAGAGACUUGAAAACACAUGAAAACCAUGUGUUCUUCAAGCUGCUCUAAUGGUAGAUUUCUAGAGUUUACUCCAAAAGCCCUAAGAAUGGUUUAGAUGAUUCUAGAUGAGCUUCUAGAUGUUGGCCAAGCUUGUUUUUGUUUGCCUUAGAGAUCAAAAUGGUGGAAUGAGCAUGUGGCAUUGUUAGGGCACCAAAAUUAGGGCUUUUGUCAUAGAUGGGUUUAAAUGUAAAUUGACCCUAUGUAAACCUAAUUAAAGGUAUUUCCGACGCGUUGGCGAAGUUGGUUCGGCGAUUCGUCGAGCCUACGCGAAGAUAUUGAAGAAACAGACGUUUUGGUUUCGUUUCCGCCUGGAGGGCCGAGGCGACGUCCAAAAAAUCAUGAGAUUGGAUCCGAAGCAUUUUAGCAUCGAGUUAUAGACCUUUACUUUUCGGAUAGUGGAUUGGUGGCUGUUAGGGUGGUCGCGCGAGAGUUCUGGCCGAACCGGGUCACGGGUGCCGCGGAAGGCCGAUUGCAAGUGACUACGAGCAAUCGGAAAGAGAUUUGAUGUGGGUUGUGCUCACCGAAGCAACUUGGUCGCCUCUAUGUCUAAGAGUAAUGGUAUCAUGUUGAUGCAUAUAAUGGUAGCUAGUGGUAAAAUAUAUGAAUGCAUGAAGUGAAUGCUAAGUAGGCUAUCAAAUGAUGCAUGAUGAUAUAAUAUGAAUGAUGCUAGUUAAAAGCAUAAGAUAAUUGGCCUUUGCAUGUUAACAUAAAGUAGAGAACAUGCUAGUUGUAAUGCAUAAUGACAAGUUGUAAAGAAUGCUAAUUUGGAUAAGCAUGUUAUGUAAAUACUAGAUAAUUGCAUGAAGGCAUGGUUAGCAUUGUGAGGACUUUGGAAUACUCGAAUCAGACAACUAAGAUGUCAACUAGAUCGAGUGGCAUUGAACCUAGUGUUAGUAAACAUAGGUUUGACAAGAAUGACAUUGAACCUAAUAUUAGUAAACAAAGGUUGGACAAGAAUGACAUUGAAUAUAGUGUUAGUAAACAUAGGUUGGACAAGAGUGGAAAUGAACCUAGUAUUAAAAGAACAUAGGUUGAGAAUUGAGCCUAAAGUCAAGUAAACCUAGGUUGGAAAGGACAUUGGACCUAAGUGGGUCGACACUAUAGGGUUUGAGACCAACCCUUGAGCUAUGUGGAAAUGGAUUCCGAAAUCCCAAGACUUGGAACACCGAGAGUGGUGUUGGGCGUGUGCAACGAUUUCGCCGCAGGGUAGCUAAGUCAUGGAGCACGGUGGGCUAUGGUUGGCUGAGGUUCUUGUGAGAGUUCCUUCACCUUGAGUCGGACAGAGCGCGGAUUAUCCGUAGUUGAUUGACUCAAGACCAAGUCGAGUGGCAUAGUGUGACUAAGGUAAGAGUAAUCUUAGGAAAGAAUGACAAGUGAGCAUAUUAUGGCUAAGGUGAGAGUACCCUUAGUAAAGAAUAAAGAAUAGCUAAAAAUAAAGAGUAGCUAAUAAAAAAGAAUUGCAAGUAGUAAAGAAUGGCUAGCAAUAAAGAACGAAAAUGAUAGAGAGUAAAAUUAUUUAUUCUACUUGUAUAAUUGCAUGGAUUUCAUAUCGCAUAUCGGAAGGCAUAACAUGUAGUUCAAUAUCGAUUAAAUGUAUAAAUAUCUGUUGUAUAUUUGGACUAACCUGUUGCAGUGCCUCAUUAGACCUAUUGGUCGAGCUCUUCCCGAUUGAGUGUGUGAUGCACUUUUGGAGUUAUAUUUGGCAAAUAUGAGUGAAUUUGGUCUCACGUCCUCCGUAGUGGGCCUUGGAAUUGGUUCAAAGGGUGAAAAGCCAUUCCGGAGUGGAAAAGUGCAUUGAUACCCUCAAUAGCUCGGUAAGUCGAGUUGAGGUGUGGUUUGAAUUUCGCGGACGAAAUUCUUUUAAGGGGUGAAGAAUGUAACCUAACGAAACCUCGGUAAGCCCUAAUGGACUUUAGCCAAAUUGACUAAAGUAUGCGAAAGAAAUAAUCGAACAAGUUCUAUUUAACAAUCCAACAGUGUUGGAAGGCUAGAAAUGAGUUCUAAAGGAGUUAGAAGGGUUUUGCCAUCGAUCGGUGUGAAAUAGAAUCGAAACGGAGCCAAAAACCAAGUCUUGGCAAAGUAUACCGGUACAACCAUCGAGUUGUAACCGGUACAGAUAAGUGUACCGAUAUAAAUGAAAGUGUACCGGUACUGUCACGCCCCGGGACCGGUAGGGGCCUUCCCGGUAGCGUGCCCAGACCCCCAUAUGUCAACACAUAUAAGGCUCAUAUAAGUAACAGCGAAUAAACACAAGAAAUAAUACAAAUAGAAUAGUAACAACUAGUGAUAUCAGAGCGAUAAAAAUUCCAUCAACUCACCCAAAGUGAAGAAAUAAAGUUAGACAAUAAAGAAACCAUAAGUAGUACAAUAACUGUCUCUAUACAAAAGUGUGGUCUCUAGUACAUGGUAAAACCCUAAACUCUCGCAAAAUAAAAUAAGACAUCGAGAGGUAGACCACCUACCAACUCGUCCAUCAAGGAAGCUAGCUCAGUACAAACGCCCUUCCCGCGAUCCCUGGCCUCACCCUGCGUGGAAGGCUCUGAAAAAUAUCGAGAAAAAGAGGGCGUGAGAACUAUAAUUUAUAGUUCCCAGUGGGCAAUUACUGACCUCAGCUCAAUGCAUCACUAGGCCCCAAAAGAAAAGGGUAAGUACAAUAACAAUAGCAAUAAUGACUGCGAUAUGAAAGCCUAAUUAAGAUGCUAAAUUACCAAACUCAAGUAUAAACGAUGUCAUGGUGAUGUACAUCUACGAUAUCGAAAUAGUAAAUCAUUAACUUUUAUGAAUACAUUAUGCAUCAGUUCUGUCAUGGCAACCAAGUAUGCUUUAAUGCAAAAGGAGACUAACAAGUAUACUAUAUGUCUCGACCCUAUGCUAAAAGCAUAUAAAUGUCAUUCAACUACUAAACCUAUCUAGUAGUGAUUAACCACUCUCAACCCCGUGUCGAUUUCCAUUUCCACUUAAGGACCUACCAAAGGUAGUCCAGCUUGUGCCGCCUAAGUGCCUGUGGUAGCCCAACAUUCCUACUCUUGGAAUGUGUCUGUCCCACUCGACUCCGUAGGCUUCUCAAUACCGCACGAGCGAACAUAGGUCGCUAGGCUAACUCCGGAGUGCCGGCUUGUAGGGAGCGACCCUCACAAGCAUGUGCGAAUGAGCACAAAUGGCAAGCAAGCAUAGUCCAAGUCUCAAGUAUCCAAUCCUCAUGUCUCUAUCAUGGUAUAGUCACUAGCAUCCCAAAGAUCUAGUUUAAGUCACAAUGGAAGUUCCAACAUUCUCUAGGUCUAGUGCCCCUUUAUGACACUUAGACAUUUAAUGUUUAAGCAUGUUCCACAUUCCUCAAUGGCCCUAUCCACUAGGUUCGCACAUGUCCCGAGCUCAAUGCCGCUUGAUGACAUUAGCUCUCUAGUUCACGCACCUUCUAAAUGGCAAUUUGUCAUCUUUCAUGUCACAAGUAAACUCAAGUCUAAAUGCAUGAAUCCGAACUCAUUUAUACUAUAGAAGCAUGAAAUCAAGUCUCAUAAAGAAUGCUAAAUGCAACCAAAAAUCUCCCAAGCAACUCUCUACUACAUAGAGGUCCAAAAUUUCACUAUAUAUAACAUAUGCAUUUUAAGCAUUCUAAAAAUCAUAAUAAAUACAUUUAGUAUGAACAUGCAUGCUUUUUCAAUUUACGGAACAUAUAUAACCACAUAUGAGAAUUUCUCAUAUGUAGGCUAGGUCAAACCCACCGAACCGUCGCGUAGAGCCUCGUUUCGCCGAAUAAAGUUGUCCACGAGUCUCAAAAUACCCUAAAAGUGAUCAGCGAAGAGAUACGAGGGCAUUACGACCAACCAUAAAAUCAAACAUUAAUCUAGAAGCAAAAAGGGCCAAAACUCACCUCAAGAGAAGAAAUCUCUUCCAAAGCUCCAAAAGAGAGCUAGAACCCUUCCAAUCCAAGCCCAAGGAAGGUUCUAAACCAAUUAAUCUAGCCUCAAAAGCCCUAGAUCAAAAAGCCCCAAAAUCAACCCUAAAUCUCAUUUCUAGGGUUCCAUCUACAAAAACUAUCAAAACAAGAUCUAGAGGAGGGAAAUGAGCAACAAACCUCCUUAGAAGCUCCAAUCCUAGCUCCAAGGGUGAAGAUCUCCUCCUAUGCAAGCUCCAAGUCCAAGCCUUCAAGCACCAACAAGGUGGGAAGAGGAAGAAAGGCAAAAGAAUGCUCCAAGCCCAAGCUAGAUCCUCCUCUUCUUCUCCUCCUUCCUCUCCUUCUCCUUCUUCUUCUUCUUCUCUAUCAAGGGUGUAGAGAGGGUUGAGAGAAGAGAAAUGGGGAGAGGAGAGAGUGGAUGGGUCAUAUAGACCCUCUAAUGUAACAAAAUCCCAAGAGGCCCCUCAAAAAAACAGUAUUACAUCAGCCCGGUCUGGGCAGUUUUCGCCCAGAGGGACCGGUCUCUCCCCAGCAGGGACCGGUCUCUCGCUGCGAACCCGAAAAACCAACGUUCGGGAACCGGUCUCUCCCUGCGCGGGACCGGUCUCUCACUGCGUAGACGCGCUCGGGGACCGGUCUCGCCCGCCAGGGACCGGUUGCCUCAGGGCUGCCGCAAUACUGCUCACUGGGGGACCGGUCUCUCCUUCCAGGGACCGGUCCCCGAGAGUAAAAACUCUCAGGACUUGUCCAGAAUUCCAGUUUUCGAACUUUUUAGGUCGGAAAACAUUCUACAACCCUCCACCAAGUGUGGAAAAGCUCGAAAUACAUCCAAACACUCGAACCUAGCAAUUUGCAAAGGUCCAGUGCGUCACAGGUACAAAUGCCCCAAACCCGAGGGAGCUGCUCUCGGGUUUGGUCAUACGCGAUCGUGUUACCGAUUACACGAGAAAGUGUACCGGUACACUUUGGGCUGACAGCAGGAAAUAGAUCUGCUGCAAAUAUAAUUUGUUUGGGGGUUUAUUUGCAAAUGUUGCACACUAUAUAUGCAACCAAACCUCUUUUCCUUCACAGCAACCCUCUCCUCUCCCAUUUUCUCUCCCUUUCUCUAUCUCUAGAAGCUUUGCACCAAGGCGAAUGAGAAGGAAAAGAAGGCUUAGAGAUAGAUUUUUGAGGGUUUUGAAAGAUCAAGAAGCUCUCCUUCAAGGUGGUCUUGGAAGAGCUUGGGCUAAGGUGAGUUAUUUUGCAAGAAUACAUCUAGGGUUUACAUUUCUACCCUAAGAUCUAGAGUUUUGAUCUUCUUGCAAGCUUUAGAAUCUUGUAGAGACUUGGAAACACAUGAAAAUCAUGUGUUUUUCAAGGUGCUCUAAUGGUAGAUUUCUAGGGUUUACUCCAAAAGCCCUAAGAAUGGUUUAGAUGAUUAUAGAUGAGCUUCUAGAUGUUGACCAAGCUUAUUUUUGCUUGCCUUAGAGAUGAAAAUGGUGGAAUGAGCAUAUGGCAUUAUUAGGGCACCAAAAUUGAGGCUUUUGUCAUAGAUGGGUUUAAAUGUAAAUUAACCCUAUGUAAACCUAAUUGAAGGUAUUUCCGACGCGUUGGCGAAGUCGGUUCGGCGAUUCAUCGAGCCUACGCGAAGAUAUUGAAGAAACGGACGUUGUGGCUUCGUUUCCGCCUGGAGGGCCGAGGCGACGUCCAAAAAAUCACGAGAUCGGAUCCGGAGCAUCUUAGCAUCAAGUUAUUGACCUUUAAUUUUCGGAUCGUGGAUUGAUGGCUGUUCGGGUGGUCGCGCGAGAGUUCGGGCCGAACCGGGUCACGGGUGCCGCGGGAGGCCAAUUGCAAGUGACUACGAGCAAUCAGAAAGCAAUUUGAGGUGGGUUAUGCUCACCGAAGCGACUAGGUUGCCUCUAUGUCUAAGACUAAUGGUAUCAUAUUGAUGCAUAUAAUGGUAGCUAAUGGUAAAUUAUGUGAAUGCAUGAAGUGAAUGCUAAGUAGGCUAUCAAAGGAUGCAUGAUGAUAUAAUAUGAAUGAUGCCAGUUAAAAGCAUAAGAUAAAUUGCCUUUGAUGUUAACAUAAAGUAAAGAACAUGCUAGUUGUAAUGCAUAAUGACAAAUUAUAAAGAAUGCUAGUUUGGAUAAGCAUGUUAUGUAAAUGCUAGAUAAUUGCAUGAAGGCAUGGUUAGCAUUGUGAGGACUAUGGAAUACUCAAAUUGGACAACUAAGAUGUCAACUAGAUCGAGUGGCAUUGAACCUAAUGUUAGUAAACAUAGGUUGGACAAGAAUGACAUUGAACCUAGUGUUAGUAAACAUAGAUUGGACAAGAGUGGAAAUGAACCCAGUGUUAAAAGAACAUAGGUUGAGAACUGAACCUAGAGUCAAGUAAACCUAGGUUGGAAAGGACAUUGGACCUAAGUGGGUCGACACUAUAGGGUUUAAGACCAACCCUUGAGCUAUGUGGAAAUGGAUUCGGGAAUCCCAAGACUUGGAACACCGAGAGUGGUGUUGGGCGUAUGCGACGAUUUCGCCGCGCGGGGCUAAAAACCAUUGUCGUGGCGUGUGCGACGAUUUCGCCGCCGGAUGGUUUAGCCAAUUUGUGGAUCAUACCGCCGGUUGACUUGAGCCAUUAUCAUGGCGUGUGCAACGAUUUCGCCGCCGGGUGGCUAAGUCAUGGAGUGUGGUGGGCUAUGGUUGGCUGAGGUGCUUGUGAGAGUUCCUUCACCUCGAGUUUGACAGAGCGCGGAUUAUCCGCAGUUGAUUGACUCAAGACCGAGUCGAAUGGCAUAGUGUGACUAAGGUAAGAGUAGCCUUAGGAAAGAAUGGCAAGUGAGCAUAUUAUGGCUAAGGUGCGAGUACCCUUAGUAAAGAAUAAAGAAUAGCUAAAAAUAAAGAGUGGCUAAUAAGAAAGAAUUGCAAGUAGUAAAGAAUGGCUAGCAAUAAAGAAUGAAAAUGAUAGAGAGUAAAAUCAUUUAUUUUACUUGCAUAGUUGCAUGGAUUUCAUAUCGCAUAUCGGGAGGCAUGACAUGUAGUUCAAUAUCGAUUAAAUGUAUAAAUAUCUGUUGUAUAUUUGGACUAACCUGUUGCAGUACCUCAUUAGAUCUAUUGGUUGAGGUUUUCCCAUGGGUGGCUGUACCCACUGGAAACUAUGGACAAUAGUUCUUACCCCCGUGUUGUUUUGGGGGGUACAGGUUCACACGUGAGCGGCGUGGCGGUGUAAGGAAAGGGCGUAGCUCAGUAGAUAGCGCCCUACCCCAGAGACAAGAGAUAGCAGUACCCCAAGGUGGUCUAGCUUAGGGGUUUAAAGACAAAGAACAAACUUGUAUUAAGUGAUGUAAUAACUAAUUGUAUUUUGGAAGAUGAAGGUAAAAGAGAAUUGUGAUGUAAAAUGUAUGUAAGAUGAAUGUCGUAAUAACCUAGUUGUUUUAUGUUUUUGAUACUUCCUUAUGCAAUCUUUGAUUGAAAUGUGUUUCUAAUUGGAACUUCAUACAUUGUAUUGAUUGCGACGCCUUGGACGUACAGGGGAGACUCUGUCCGCGGUACAGAAAAAAUCCUGUCCGUUCGGCGGUCUGUCGGCGUGCCCGAAUUCGACCAAAUAGGUGGGCUCGAGGCGUGACAGACUUAGACACUAGUAAUAAUAACUAGACUUAAGCAUUUUGGGCCGGUGUUUGGACCCAACAAGUUAUUGUUGCUAGUGGGCUAGGUCAUUACAACCAACCACCCACUCAACCCUAGGAGACCUACUUUAUCCUAACCGCACAUUUCUUAAUCCAAAGGCUAAAAAACUAAUAACAUCAAUAGCUUUUUGCUAUUGGUAGUAUUCCAGCUUAAUUCUCUCUCUCUCUCUCUCUCUCUCUCUCUCUCUCUCUCUCUCUCUCUAUAUAUAUAUAUAUAUAUAUAUAUAUAUAUAUAUAUAUAUAUAUAUAUAGACCUAGGCUGGAAUACUAUCAAUAGCAACAAGCUAUUGGUGCUAUUAGGUUUUCGGCCCUCAGAUGAAAAAAUGUACAAUUAUGAUGAUAUGGGCUCNUAUAUAUAUAUAUAUAUAUAUAUAUAUAUAGACCUAGGCUGGAAUACUAUCAAUAGCAACAAGCUAUUGGUGCUAUUAGGUUUUCGGCCCUCAGAUGAAAAAAUGUACAAUUAUGAUGAUAUGGGCUCUCUAGGGUUGAGUAAGUUAUUGGUUAAUAAUAUAAUCUAAUGGGUAAAAAUAGUUAAAGGGUUAAAUCUAACGGCGAAAAACUUUAUAGCACCAAAUGCUUGGCGUUAUCGAUAGUAUCCCAGCCGAACUAUAUAUAUAUAUAGAGUGGGCUGGUAUGCUUCUGGAAGCACGGAGCCCUACGUGCUUCCAAGUUGUUUUCGAUGCUCGGACUUUUGAAUCGACGAUCGGAGAGUAUUUGAAGCACCUAGAAAAUAAAUUUUGUGAUUUUUCGAUAUCAUUUGUCUAGUGAUCGAAGGGGCUCAAAAUCAAUAAUUUUAUCGGCCGUAGUGAGCCGUUUACAAGUUCAACGGUGUAGAAAUAUCCAAAUCACAUGAAAUUUUGAUAGAAAAUUCUUUAUACCGUAUAAAACAAGAUCAAUAACUUUAAUCUAAAAUUUUAAUGUCAUAUCAUCAUAUUUUGUAAGAUUUUUAUUUUCAGCCAUUGAUUUUGAGCCACUUCGAUCACUAGGCAAAUGAUAUCGAAAAAACGCAAAAAUUAUUUUCUAAAUACUUCAAAUACUCUAGAUCAAGUCUAACGGAGCCGAUCGUCGAUUCGAAAGUCCGAACAUCGAAAACAACUUGGAAGCACGGAGCGCUCCGUGCUUCCAGAAGCAUACCAGGCGCACUCUAUAUAUAUAUAUAUAUAUAUAUAUAUAUAUAGAAUUAGGCUGGAAUACUAUUAAUAGUAAAACGCUCUUUUUGCUAUCAAGUUUUUAACCCUUGGAUGAAAAAUUGUAGGGUCAGGAUGAUAUUAGUCGGUUAGAGUUGAGUGGUCCCCCUAGGGUUGAGUGGUCCCUACUGGGUUAUAGUAUUUAAUCCAAUGGUUAGAAAUAAUGAAAAGAGUUGAUCCAAAGGCUAAAAAACUGGUAGCAACAAUGAGAUUUUGCUACUAAUAGUAGCCCAGUCCAACUCUCUCUCUCUCUCUAUCUCUCUCUCUCUCUCUCUCUCUCUCUCUCUCUCUCUCUCUAUAUAUAUAUAUAUAUAUAUAUAUAUAUAUAUAUAUAAUUGAGUUAGAACACUUUUAGAAGCACCAACCCCUUGGUGCUUCUAGGUUUCUAGCACUUGGAUCUACUCCUUGAUUACUAAUAGCCCUUGGAUUAAACACUAUUCCACCUACCACCACCUACUACCACCUACCACCAUCAUCCCAACCUUACAUCUCUCCAUCCAAUGGCUAAAAACUCAAAAGCACCACCCUCUUUGUAACAUACCGGAUUUUUAAUUUAAAAGUGAAUAUAAAUAAAAAUAGUGUGAGAUACUAUUUUUAUUGGAUUUAAAGAGAUAAAAUAUAAGUCUGGAUCGUGCUGCAAUAAGAAUGAAAACAGAAGAUUUAGAAUUUUCUGUGCGAAAUGGGACUGAUAUUUUAGCAGAAAAUGCACAGUGUCAGAAAAUUAUGAAAACUGGAGAAUAUGUCAGAAUUAUGAAAACUGGAGAAUAUGUCAGAAUUAUGAAAACUGGAGAAUAUGUCAGAAUUAUUUUUAUGAUGCUAGAUUUAAAGUUUCAUGUCAUUCUGGCAUCCGGAAGGUGGAAAAUAAAAUCCGACUGCUAUUUGCUAGAGAUUACAGUUGGGUAGAGCUUUCGGUGAUCAAAUGUGAUCGAAACUGAAAGAUUAAAAUUUCUUUCGUUAAGUUAAAUAAAACCGAGUCUGACUGUCAAAUUUGAGCUGAAACGGACAUUCAGAAGGGCAGGCGAAAAAUAUUUGUACCUAAGCUGGAGAUGUAAUUUGUAAUAGUGCAUAAAUGGGAUUUAAUCCCUUUCUUUUUCUUCUCCACCAGCCGACCACCACCACCACCACCAUCACACGCGCAUGGUGCGGGAGAGAGAGAAAGCUUCCCUUCCUCUCUCUAGAUUUCUCUCUCAUCUCUCUAAAUCUCUCUCUAAAAAUUGGAGGGCUGGUGGAGAAGAAGCUUGGGAACGCGUUGGAGGUGUCGGUUCGGGUUCUCGUGCGGCCGUUUGAGCGGCAUGCUUUCGUCUCGACGUUCAAAUUUCGGUAAGUGUUUAGGACUUGGUUAAAUCCUUUAUGCUUAGUAUUCUAAUAACCCUUAGACUACUAAAUGCAUGUUUCUCCAUGAGAUUGUGGGACAUUUGGAGUAUAUGUACAUGCUAGGGCUUAGAAAUGGGCGUUUUGUCAUAGAUGGGGUUUAAUCUAAAUUGAACCUAUAUAAACCUAAUUGCUAGGUAUUCCGACGUGUUGGUGAAGUCGGUUCAGCGAUUCGUCGAGCCGGUGCGAAGAUAUUGAAGAAACGGACGUUUCGGCUUCGUUUCCGCCUGCAGGGCCGAGGCGACGUCCAAAAAUCACGAGAACGGAUCCAGAGCAUCGUGGCAUCAAGUUAUAGACCUUAAAUUUUCGGAUUGCGGAUUGGUGGCCGUUUGGUGGCCAAGUGCGAGUUCGGGCCGAACCGGGCAACAGGUGCCGCGGGAGGCCGAUUGCAAGUGACUACAAGCAAUCGGAACACGAUAACAGGUGGGUUGUGCUCACCGAAGAGAUUAGCUCGCUUCCAUGUCGAAGUGGUAUACGGUUUUAUCGUUGAUGCAUAUAUGUAUGUUUGGUAGGUUGCAAAUGAUAAUAUGGUGCAUGAUAUAAUUGCUAGAUGAAUGCAUGAAUUAUAUUAUGUUGAAAGAUGUUUGCCUACCAUUGGAAUAUGUUAGAUAAAACAUGCAUGUUGACAUAUUAUAGAUUAUGUUGGAUAAACUAUGCAUGUUGCUGUUUGCGACCACGAAUGACGCACCUCGCACGGUUAAUCUUAUUUUUGAUUUUUCACCGUGGGGUAGUAUUCAUGAUUCAGAUUAAUAUUUGAAUAUGUAUGAUUAUCAGGUAUUGUGGAUUCAUGGCUUCCAAUAAACGCAAGCGUCUAUUGUUAAUUACCCCUAUAAAGUGUUAGGGCACCUUCGAUUAAGAGACCUCUGAAAUGCUGAAAUAGACUGAAAUAUAAUAAAAGAUGGAUUUUAUAACACAAUCCGUUGUAUAGUUACAUAGCUUAACCAGGGGCAUACCCCCAGUGUACAUGAGUAUAAUAUGAUAUAAAAGAGAAAAUGAUUAGUUCAACGACAUAAUGGUUGAUUGAACUUAAUUUGGAUUACACCUAUAGUUUUAAAGGAUUAAUCCAAUUAGAUUUAACUAAAUCCUAGUUGUAUGUAUUAGGAUUUAGUUGGGUUUGAAUCGAUUAGACUCUAAUUGUAUGUGUCAGAGUCUAAUCGGAUUUGAGUCCACCAUAAGGUGCAGGAUGGCUAAAUCUACAUGUAUUAGAAUUAGCCGAUAGAUUAACUCUAAUUAUACAUAUUAGAGUCUAAUUAAUUUAAUUGAACUCUAAGCAUGUAUAUUAGAGUCAAACCAUAUUUAAGUUCACUCUAAGGUGAAGGAUGGCUAAAUACUAAAUAUAUAUAUUAGGAUUAGCCGAAAUUGAUUUAAAUUAAACUCUAAUUAUACAUAUUAGAGUCUAACUUGAUUUCUUAUGUUUGAACUCUAAGUAUAUGUAUUAGAGUCCAAUCGAUUUAAUUAUUUUUACCUUAGUCAUAUGUACUAAGAUAAAAAAAGAAAAAAAGACGAUUUGAUCAAUUCUAAGCAUAUAUUUAGAAUUUGAUCGAAUUUGAAUAUGGUUGUGAUUUGACUCUAGUUUUAUAUGCUAGAGAAUCGGGUUGAAAUAGGUUGUUUUUAAGGACUUGGUAUAGAGAAGAGGUUGGAUUAGGUUGUGCAUGAUUGAGGUUAGGUUUGGACUUUGAUUUGGUUAUUAUGGUAUAGGUUUCAUGUAUGGCUUGUCAAAUUUGGAUUGAAUUGAAAUUAAAGAUUGGGUUCAGCUUGGAUCAAUCCGGAAUAAAUAAUUGGGUUGGGUUUAUAUUUAGUCUUGGCAUGAACUUGGGCUCAUUCGGAGAUAUAAUUGGGUUGGGUUUAUAUUUAGUCUUGGACAUGAACUUAGGCCCAUUCGGAGAUAUAAUUGGGUUGGGUUUGGAUUUUUGUCUUGGACAUGAACUUAAGCCCAUUCGGAGAUAUAACUGGGUUGGGUUUGGAUUUUGUUUUGGACAUGAACUGGGCCCAUUUGGAGAUAUAAUUGGGCUGGGUUUAUAUUUGGUCUUGGACAUGAACUUGGGCCCAUUCAGAGAUAUAAUCUGGUUGGGUUAGGCUUAGAUGUGUAGGUUGGCCAUUGGAUUUAGACUUGGGCUGAGUUCAGGCCCGUAAAGCUAUAUUUGGGUUCAGGCUCAAUGUGAGUUAGAAUAGUUCAUGCUUGUUUGGGCCAGAUUUUGACCCAUAUAGUUUGAAUUUAGCUUUGGAUAUGGGUGCAGACUCAGUUUAGGCCCAUAUGGUAUAACUAGGGUUUUUGAAUUGAGUUUGUAUGGCUAAAAUUCGGGUUUAAACUAUAAAGCUUGGAUUUGAACUUUGGGUUCACAGUGUUAAAAGACGUUCGAAAAUCAUGUUUUAAAUUUAAGUUUCAAAUCCAUAGAUAAAUGUAUGUAUAUAUGCAUACAUAUAUAUAUGUAUAUAUAUAUGUGUACAUAAGUAUAUAUAUAUAUAUAUAUACAUAUAUAUGUAAGGUCUCUUGACUAUUUUAAGAGAGUUUCAAAUAAUUCAGGUUUUGAAUUAAGAAUUCAAAACCUAAUAAAUAAGUGAACAAAUAAAUGAAUAAAUAUUUUCCUUCUUCCGCCUCCCGUCUUAGAAUAACAAUAAUAAUAAUUCCUCGCUUCCCUUUUGCAAUAUUUAUCAAUAGGAGCAUUGAUUAAUGCAGUCGGCAACAACGUAGCAUUCGUGGGCGAUCAUCAAAUCACGCUGGUUAUGUACAUACGGCAAAAAGCUUGUUAUGUACAUACAUAUAUGUCUCUCUUUUUUUUUUUUUAACGACAAAAAGUUCCGAUCCUCAAUCGUCGACUUCAAAGCAGAAUCAGACUUGAAAAUUAAGCCGAAUCCGCAAAGCACCAAAAUAAUUACUUCAUCAAUACAGGUUGCGGCUACAUCGUAAUUAAUUGCCGAAUCCAUCAAGCACCAAAGCAAUUACUUUAUCAAUACAAGCUGCGGCUACAUCGUAAUUAAUUGCCGAAUCCGCAAAGAACUAAAACAAUUACUUUAUCAAUACAAGCUGCAGCCACAUAUCUAUUCAUCAUAAUUAAUGUACGUCUCCUUAAUUUGCAUGCAUGUGAGGGAGCUUGUUCACGUAAUACGCAUGUUAUUUCGCGCGGUAGAUGAGUGGAAGCCGUUCUUCUCUUCCGCUGACGGCUAAGCGCCAAACGAAAUAUCGCCGGCUUCAUAUCUUCUCCGUCAUGGUUGUCGAUGCGCCGUUAAUUCCGCUGACUGCUAAACGCCGGCGAAUGAAGCUCCACCGUUGUUGUCGAUGCGCCGUUAAUUCCGCCGACGGCUAAGCGCCGGCGAAUGAAGCUCUGCCGUUGUUGUCGAUGCACCGUUAAUUCCGCCGACGGCUAAGCGCCGGCGAAUGAAGCUCCGCCGUUGUUGUCGAUGCGCUGUUAAUUCCGCCGACGGCUAAGCGCCGGUGAAUGAAGCUCUGCCGUUGUUGUCGAUACGCCGUUAAUUCCGCCAUGGUCGUCGAUGCGCCGUUAAUUCCGUCGACGGCUAAGCGCCGGCGAAUGAAGCUCCACCGUUGUUGUCGAUACGCCGUUACUUCCGCCAUGAUCGUCGAUGCGCCGUUACUUCCGCCGUGGUCAUCGAUACGCCGUUAAUUCCGUCGACGACUAAGCGCCGGCGAAUGAAGCUCCGCCGUUGUUGUCGAUAUAGAAAUAGACGGAGGCCGUUCUUCUCUUCCGCCGAUGGCUAAGCGUCAAACGGAAGAUCAUCGGCUUCACGUCGUCUCCAUCAUGGUUGCCGAUGAAGCUCCGCCGUUGAUGUCGAUACGCCAUUACUUUCGCCGACGGCUAAGCGCCAAACGGGGGAUCGUCGGCUUCACAUCAUCUCCGCCAUGGUUGCCGAUGAAGCUCCGCCGUUGAUGUCGAUACGCCAUUACUUUCGCCGACGGCUAAGCGCCAAACGGGGGAUCGUCGGCUUCACAUCAUCUCCGCCAUGGUUGCCGAUGAAGCUCCGCCGUUGUUGUCGAUGCGCCAUAACUUUCGUCGAUGUCGUCGAUGCGCCGUUAAUUCCGCAGAUCGCUAAGCGCCGGCGAAUGAAGCUCCGCCAUUGUUGUCGAUAUAGAAAUAGACGGAGGCCGUUCUUCCCUUCCGCCGACGGCUAAGCGCCAAACGGAAGAUCGUUGGCUUCACGUCGUCUCCGUCAUGGUUGCCGAUGAAGCUCCGCCGUUGAUGUACGGAUGAAGGGAGGACGCGAGUAUUAUUAUUAUUAUUAUUAUUNNNNNNNNNNNNNNNNNNNNNNNNNNNNNNNNNNNNNNNNNNNNNNNNNNNNNNNNNNNNNNNNNNNNNNNNNNNNNNNNNNNNNNNNNNNNNNNNNNNNGCAAUAGGUCAUCACUGUGAAAGCAAAAGCACAAGAACCGAAGCCCUAGGUCAACUAGGGAUAUGAAACUCAACCGAAUCACGUCACCAAGUACAGGAUAUGAAACUCGACCAAUGCAGCUGUGACAAGUUAACUUGGAUCAUGAAACGUCACCAAUCAUGUCACAAGUAUAGGGAUGCGAUGGAGUAAGUAUAUAUCCGUCGGCAAAGGCUAAUCGACAAUGCCCACCCUCAAGGUAUACGACCUAACGGCAUCAACAAGCAAAGGUCGGGAACUCGAGCCGGAAUAGUUCACAAAUACAUGAAACUAGAAUCAUGCUAGGAUCGCUAUUCACAAUAAUUCACAGAUCGUAUGUUUUGUUAUGCUCUACUAUAUGGAUGAAACAGGUAUGCAGAAAUAGUAGAGUAGAGCAACCAACCGGAAACAUGGUUCACAUACAGAUAGAUUAUACUCGUACACAUGAUACUAAGCAUAGGAAAGCGGUCUGGGAGUUAGCGGAGCUAGGAGACACAAACAACUGGGGGUAAUAAUGUAAAUGAUAGAGGUGCAAGCUGAAAUAUUAAUAUAUGCAUGGAUAAUAACAAAGAAGAGAAGGGGCUAAGAAAACCAUCACGAGCCGUCCACCAUGUACCAAGACGUCGGAUCGAAGUAUCCACCUGCUUACAAGUCUGGAUCAGAUUCACGACGGCGCGGGGACAGAGCAACCGCGACCUACGAAGGGUCACAUAGAUCAGAAGGAAAGACCCUAAUGUGGGACACCAACUAAUAUAAAAUCCCCAGACGGACCACAGGGCAAUCGGCUUUCCCAAGACCGAUUGUCGAAUCACAUCGGGAGUCCCGAUUAUCGCGCCUUGGGUCCGUCGUGCGUCACUAAUGUCCCCGGGAAUCCCCAACUCCAACUGGGAGUCAACCGCUGCCAUCUAAUACUCUAUAUACCACAUUGGCAGCAAACACCAUCACUUCGCUACGGAACAGACAUCGUUGACUAAACGUCUCGAAACCGGGUAUCCCGAAAAGUGUCGUUUUAGGACACCGGGACAACAGUCGCUCACCGUCUGUUCUGAACCCCGGAAACGGACACGGGUGAACCUUGCCAAGGAAGGCUUAGCCGGGACAUCACAAACUGAUCCUGAGCACUGCAUCAACGACUCCUCGGAUAAAAAACCGAACUAAGAUCGCGUUCCGUUCGACGAAUCUUCGCCGCGAAACGCCCCGAAAAAGGCUUUUCGAUCUCCGCAGUGGCUUGGGGCUUGGACGCUAUCAGUCAGAGGUUGUCCUCAGGCAUUUACACGCUGCUCCACAGCGAUCGAGUCGAAGUUAUCAAGCAAGAAAGCACAUCUGAACCCUUAAAAUCUAUCAUUUUAUGCGAUUUUUCGCAGUUUUUUAUGGUCGCAUCUUGCGAUACGAGGUUCGCUGGUCAACGUCGCAACCUGCUGUGAUAGAUUUCAAGCGUGCCGGAUGACCAGUGCUCACCAUCGGAGCACAAUCGGCGAACUGCGGUUGUGCGACAAGCGACAAUGAGCGAAGGUCAGCGAGCAGCCGCGCACCGCUGCAGGAAGCAUCGCGGUUGCCCCGAGCAACCAAGGCAUGCAAGCGCUCGACGGAAGUGAGCAAGAUGUCAGCACGACCUAAGGAUCUCUGUGCUCACUUCCCGAGGAUCAAAAAGACAUUCGGUCGUUGCCGAAUAUUACCGGAAAUGAGGAAAACAUUACUGGAAUGCAUAACAUGAACACUCAUCAGUGAGGGCGGAGCCUAGGGUUGGCCGCGGCGGUUUUAUUCCGGCAGGCGUGUCCGGCCGGGGGAGGGGUGCACCAGGUGGCGGCGGCUCCUUGGGAACUCCACGUCAGGCUGGCGCAGGGCGGUCCGGAGGUGCGGCGGCGCGUACGCGAGCCGCCAACUCCCUUGCGGUUUGGUGCUUCCAACAAUUGCUGGCGGCGACGGCGGCGGCGGGACUGGUCGGGCGGUAGGGGCGACUUGCCGUGGGUCGAGGCGAGUGGCCGAGCUUGGGUCGGCGCCGGGUGCAAGCGAUGCCAGGCGAGUGAAGGCGAGCGCGUUCGGGGGGCCCCCCCUACAGCACAAAGGCGGCGCAGGGGCUCCUGCGGCCGCCGGCGCCCUCGAAGGUGGCGGGACGGUCUGUGAGUCGCGCGGCGGUUAGGUGGGGACCUCCGCGCCGUGGGACGCGGCAUGGCUCACACCGAGCCCACCCAGCUUCGGUGCGUGUGUUGUCCCUGGGGGCCGCAGGCCGGCUUACGGCGGCUCCGGCGGCGCACGCGACGGUCAGAGCAUGGAGUCGGCGGGUGCGGGUGCGGUGGGGAGUGCUGGGUCUGGGGCUCACCUCACCGAGGCCUGGCCGGCUCUAGCGAUGGUGCUUGGAACUUCCCGGCAAGGUGGAGGGAGAGAGAGGAGGUUGCGAGCUUGGGGAAGCUUUUCCGGCAGACGGCCGGCGGCUGCGGCCGCCGGGCGUGCAGACGGCGUGGGCAGGGGAGCCUCCUAGCGGCUGGUUGCCACAGGAGGGCUAGGUUAGGGUUUCCCACGUAAGCCUAGGUUCCAACACACAUAUAUCUAUGUGGCAAUAUGCCAAUUUAGCCCCUCUAAUUUAAGGGAAUAUUUCUAUCCCAGCCCUUCACAACGCGGUGAAUAUGCGCGAAUACACCUUCAAAACAAAUUCACGCAAAACGGCUACUAAAAUAUCGCACUUUUUGCGAAAUUACCCUUUUUCCAACACGGACCUCUCCUCGAUCAACCGUGCCGAUCUCCGCAGAUCCGUCCGUCAGAUUUGCCGAACGGAUUGCACCAGUGCGAUCAGCACCUCGAGACAACAAGCUACGCAUUUUGUUUCACCACGUGACCGGAAUUCCACGACAAAUCCAAAACUUUCUUUCCAAUAGAAGAAUAACAAUAAAUACAUAUAAAACAUGUAUUUUUUGGCGAUUUUCUCGAAAUUCGUUGCAUCAAACUCAAAUCCGUCAGCGCAAUAGUUCCAUGAAUAGCCUGAACCGAUCGGAAACGAGCUAUUGGAUCGCCUAUGACGGAAGUCCGAUACGCGGAGAAGCCAACUCUUACUCCGUGGCUUUCACCGAAAAAACCGGAGUUACUAUUCAUUUAGUGAGAAACUUAAUAAUCGCGUAACUCCUCCGUUUUUAGCUCAUUUUGUUCCUGAACUUGACGAGUACUUAUAUAAUUUAAUAUUACACACCCUACUCAUCAACAGAGAGUUUAGUUGCAAUCGUCAAAUUUCCAGUCCUUACAAUUGCGUAUGACCUUCAAUCUAGAUAUAUACUAUGUGCGGCCAUAAGGUCAUGUGCAUGUUGCAUUUUUUUUAUUUUCGGUGUUUUGAGAGUUGGUUGAAUUACUUGCUUAUGUUGAUGUUUUGGGAGAUGAGUGAUCUGUGACUUUAGUAUUUCAUAUUUAUUUUUGAUUGAUCACUGGUCAGGUUUAUUCUCUAUGAAUAUUUCUUGAACGAUCAUAAUCAUUGAAUUCUGCUUAGCAUAUUGAAUACACAAUUCAGCCCUCGUUGCUUUGAAAUUUGAAUGUUUGCGAAUUGUCUAUGUUUGAUAUUUAGUUUUGAGCAAUGAAUAAUCUUUUCUUCUAUUUUUGAAUAUAGCUUAUAAUAUUUUUUGACUUGGGGUUGCACUAAUUUUAGGGGGAGUCUUAUCAAUUUUAGCUAUAAAAAUUUCUUGAAUAUUCAAGAUGUGGAUAAGAGUUACAUCCCUACUGGGAGUGCUGAAAACUUACCACCAUAUGGUAGGAAAGAGCUACCACCCCGGUCGUCAGUCGGUCAGGUGCUGUGCAGCUACCACAUUGUUGAUUAAUAGUAUCUACUGUAAGACAAAAGGGAAGUAUCUUAAGAAAGAGAAAUGUUAGAAUAAUAUGCCUCAAAGAGCCUUAUACAUUUUGUAGAGCUGAUUAUAAGUGUGGAAUGCUUAAUAAAGAUGCUCAAAGAGCCACUCCUGUCGUCGAAUAAUGUGCAUAAACUCAAUUUGAUCAAUGUUAUGUUAAUUUCACGAUUAUGAGAAACUAUUUAUUUCAUUUUCUUUAACAAAUAUGAAUGGUAAAGAUACAUAUAUUCCUAGAUCUUGCCAUGUAUGUUGUGGGCAUUUAUUUUAUAUGUAUUGAAAAUUCUCAUUGAUUUUCGGUCUGUCAAAAAUUUGAAAUUUUGAAUAUCCUGAAAUUGAUUUUCAAAAAUUCAUUUAUGGAAAUUUUAUUUUUAAGUUUUUUGUGGAUGGAAAUAGGUUAUUUGUGAUGAUUGAGCAUUACGGGAUAUCUUAUUUUUUUUUAAAUUUCGGGCUUGCAUUUAAAAUAUUUUAAAAUUUUCAGCGUUCUGGGACGUCAGGCAGAGUAGACCGGCUCCCUCCGCCAGACCCGAUAAAAGGACUUAUGCGUAGUUUUUUUUUUUUCUUUCAAACUUGGUUUUCUUUUUCGUGUCCAGCGUUCUCCCCUUGCUCCUCUCUUGUCUUUUGAGUGGAUUGCUCCCGAUCUCCUUUGGCGUUGCAUGUUUUGUAGAUAAGCAUUUCGGAUUUUGUUGCUUUUAUUUUGAUAUAUUCCGAAAUUAGGUUUUAUUUCAGAUUUUUUGGUGUUUGUUCUAGAGAUCUUGAUGAAUUUUGUUUUUUAGGCUUCGAUCUUGUUUUUUAGUAAUCCGUUAUUUUCAUUUUCUCUAGUAUUUAUUAUCUUUUGGUUCAUUUUGUAGGUUUAUUCAAUGAUCAAAAAAAUUUUGAUUUUCAAUUUUUUGCUGGGAAAUUGCUUUUGGCUGAUUUUGUGCAUGAGUGGUUCUUGUUUUUCAUGAUCUUGACGCCCCUAGGAUCAUCUAGUAUAUAUAUUUUUUUUUUUUUUUUUUUUUUUUUUUUUUUUUUUUUUUUUUUUUUUUUUUUUUUUUUUUUUUUUUUUUUUUUUUUUUUUAUUUUUUUUUUUUUUUUUUUUUUUUCUUUUUUUUUUUUUUUUUUUUUUUUUUCUUUUUUUUUUUUUUUUUUUUUCUUUUUUUUUUUUUUUUUUUUUCAACUUGCCUAAACAUGUUUGAAUUUUUUUUUGCGAAAAAUUUGUUUUAUAUAUGUAAAUUUCAUAUGUUUAACAGGUGAUUUUCGAAAAUUGUACUCAGUGGUCUUGUGCUUGUUGUUCUUAUGGCUGGCGGUUGGUCGUUGGAACGCAAACGACAGCCCGCUCCAAAGUAAACGGUCAUUGCUAGUAUUCAACGGAAGAUAAGAGAGCGAAUAUGCUCCUUGGCGACGACUCUGAGGAGGAUGACGGAUUGGAAGGCCUUUGUUCCCGAGGUAUUAAGCGGCUAAAGGAUAACGGAUAUUAGGCGGAAAGCCAAGGGAAAGGAAAAGCCCGUGGAUAAAGGCAAGGAAAGGCCGACGGUCGUCCCGGUCGUCAGUAAGUGUCCGGGGGUGUUGGAAAUUCGAGAACCGGGCUCUUGAGGCCUCCACGUCACAGUCUACAGGAUGUUCAUUCUAAGAUUCAACGGCGGUCAAUGUAACUCGUCGAACACUGCAUUGGUGAGCGAGCAUGUUGGGUGCAGUAUCAUUAGUUGUGUGCCGCGGUUUUCAGGAUUUAUUUGAACAAGGGAAAUCUUAUCAGAUUUGUGAUUUCCCGGAGGGCAAACCAUUUUUGUUUGGAAUCUGAUCAGAGAUUUUUAUGAGAGCAGGUCCUAAGCUGAUCCGACGGCGGCCCGUUACGUGUUUAGAUUCCGUACGUGGUGUUGAGUUAUCCCAAUCACUCCUGAUACGAAUACGUCGGUGCUAGGGUUAUGGGAGCUAAGACUGACGGCAGUGUGAAUAUCUACAUCUGGCGUUCGAUUCACUUCGCGCAUUUGGAAUUGUGUAUGAAAUACUAUUUGAUGCCGGGUAUGCAGUCAAACGGCAUUAUGGUUAUGUCGAAGAUUUCAAAAAUGGGUACCGUUUUUUAAACUUCGUGGUUGCUACAACAUUCUGCCUCUUGCAAAGCACGAGAUUCUGAGGUGGGAUCAUAUCUCUGUAUAUGUAUCUCUUGGAAGGCCCAGAUAUGUGAGUGCCAAAAAAUAUUACAUGAAUAUUCUGUUUCUAAUCUGGCGGAGGAUGCGCAAAGGACAUCAAAACUUUCAUGGACAAAACUGAAAUGGCUUGCCAUUCCGAUUGAUAAUCAUGAGGAUUCUGCGACUUCGUGAUGUGGAUGUCCGGUGUACAUCUUAUGAGCAUAGUUUGGGUCGGAUAAAUGAAAGUGCUUCUUCCCCUCCUGCUGCUCCACCUCCUGCUACUGCUACUUCGUCAUGUCCCUCUAUGGACAUUUCUGAGGAAGAUAUCUCCGUUUCCUCUGUGUAUCGUGAGCAACAACGUCUAUCUGAGGAGCUUCAGAAAUUGUCUGCGGAGCAAGCUGCGAUUCGGAAGGAUGUAAGCAAGAUGAAGCGCUUAUUGAAUAUGAUUUUUGACAAGUUAGGAUGUUGCCGAGCAGAUUUACCUCCAGGGGAUGCUUCCGAUUAGGAGUUACCAUGUGCCUUCUUUUGUCAUUUUGGCGCUUUCUGACAAAAAGGGGGAGAUGGAGAUGGUGGUUCUUGGUGGUUCUUGAUGAUAAUGAUGUAUUUAGCUUUGAUGCAGCAUUUUGUUUAGAUGGACUUUAGAUGAACUUUGUUUAGUUAGUGCUUUAGGUGUUUGAUUAUGAACUAUGACUUGAUACUUUGUUUGAUCUUGAUACUUGAAUCUUGAUUAUGUUUUGAGAAUGUUUUUGCAGGAAUAAUUCAAGACUUCAAGACUCCAUGUCUAAGUCAUAGAGUUUGUAUUAAGAUUAUGAAAAUUAUAAUUUUCGUCUGUUGGAUCGAUCAUGCAGGAGAUUAUCGUUUGGUGAUUGCGAUGAUCUUCUUUUUAUUGUUUCUGCGUUGUGUACGAAUUUAUAGCAUAUUUUGUCACAAAAUCGCCAAAAGGGGAGAUUGUUAAGGAUUUUAUAAGUUGGCGAAUUUCGUAAAGUUGGUUGGAGUCUUGAAGAGUUGAUUGCAGAAGAUCGAAGAAAAGAUCUAAAUUGAAGGAAAAAGACUCACUCGUAAAGUUCGGCACCUAAGGUAUGAAGAAAAGAUCAUUUGUGAUGAAGAUAGUUGAUUAGAAUAAGUUCAGAAGGCUUAGAUUGGUUUAAAAAUACUUUACUGAACUUUUCUGUGUUCAGGGACCGGUCUCAGAGUUCAAGAGACCGGUUCCCCUAAGGUCCUCACUGCGUGAACCUUGAUGCAACCGGUCCCCUGUGAUGAGAGACCGGUUCCCGAACCUUGGUAUUUCUGUCACGCAGCAAGGGACCGGUCUCAAGCUUGAGAGACCGGUUCCCGAACAUUGUGAUUUUGGUCACGCAGCGAGGGACCGGUUCCUCACUUGAGAGACCGGUCUCUCACAGACCGGUCUCCUCGAGAAGACCGGUCUCUGAGGACGACACAGGUUUUUAAAAAAGAGUUUUUGCAAUCCUAGUCUAUUUCUAAGUCUUAUAAACAUAUAAAUAAGCUAUGUGGGUCAUCUAAAAGUUUAAGGCUUUGAAUUUUUACUGAUUCUAAACCCUAGAAACUUAUUUUUCUUCGUUUCAAUGCUUUGAUUCACAUAACGAGUUUCCAACAAUCAACAAUCGGCUUGAUUCUUCGUUUUUACUCGAUAACCCAUACGAGAAUCAAGUAGAUGUUUGAUUAAAGGUGAACCCUCAUAGCUUAUGGUAUUAAAAGGUUAAAUCAUCACAAAUCUUCAAUUCUACAAGCUCCGGAAGGAGGUUCGACGCGUGGAUCUCGCGUGAAGCCGAGGAUUCGGUGGACGCUUCGAGGAAUUGAGGUGUUGACGCUGCGAGGAGUUGCGGCAAGGUCGAUUGGAGGAUUCCUAUCGAUCGAGGACCGGCGAAGAUCGUCAUCUACGGGAAAUCGGUAAAUUGAGUCGUGUGUUUUGGUCAAAAUCACUUAUACUCAUGUUUUCUUAGUGGAUUUUCUUUGCGUGAUUGGUCCCGUGGGUUUUUCACUCCGAUUUGGAGUUUUCCCACGUUAAAUUCUCGGUGUGCUGUUUUCUUUUCCGCUAUUUUAUUUUAUUGCAUCGAGAUUUUUCGAGUUUGCCGGAUUUACACCUAUUCACCCCCCUCUAGGUGUUACUUACCUUUUAGAUCCUCGGGAUCCAUAUCUCACAAGNNNNNNNNNNNNNNNNNNNNNNNNNCCGGCGAAUGAAGCUCCGCCGUUGUUGUCGAUAUAGAAAUAGACGGAGGCCGUUCUUCUCUUCCGCCGAUGGCUAAGCGUCAAACGGAAGAUCAUCGGCUUCACGUCGUCUCCAUCAUGGUUGCCGAUGAAGCUCCGCCGUUGAUGUCGAUACGCCAUUACUUUCGCCGACGGCUAAGCGCCAAACGGGGGAUCGUCGGCUUCACAUCAUCUCCGCCAUGGUUGCCGAUGAAGCUCCGCCGUUGAUGUACGGAUGAAGGGAGGACGCGAGUAUUAUUAUUAUUAUUAUUAUUUUUUGUGGGGAGGAGAAGAAAGAAAAUAUAUUUCUUCUUUUUUUUUCUUUUUUUUUUUGAAUGGAUAUCUGUACCUUUUUUUUUUUGAACAACCUUGUUUCUCUCUCUUUUUUUUUUUUGCCGAAGUAGUUGAUCUCUCUCUAACAACCUUUCUCCAAAAAAUCCUCCCUCUUUCAUUGUAUCUUUCCCUCUUUUAUAGACUUUUUUAGUUAGUGCAUAAGUGGGUAGUUUUUUUUUUUUAGUGGGUUAGUGGGUUAAUAGGAGAGAUUAGUGGGAAGGUGGGAAGGGUAGUUAGUUUUCCCCUUUUUUUUCUCGUAGUGGGUUUUCUUUUUUUUUUUUAUUUUAUUUUAUUUUAUUUUAUUUUAUUUUAUUUUUUUUAAGCAUGGAACUGAUCUUAACCGUCAGUUCAAAAAUUCAAAACCAUUGAGAUGCCAUAUAGAACCAAUUAAUCAUGCCCGGUUAAUUAGUGGCUCAAAACCAUUGAGAUGCCAUCAUGGCCCGGUUAAUUAGUCGCCCGGCUCAGUAGCACCAUCUUUUUUUCUUUUCACCCAACCCCCCCUUUUUUUAUAUAAAUAUAUAUAAUCCUGGGCCCACUUUUUUAUGUGAGAGAAAAACAAUAAUAAUAAUAGGGAUCCACCAAUAUGCAGAUAUUCGGGCUUAGGUUCGGAUUCAAGCUGGACUUGAAUUGGAUUUGACUUGGCUAUAUUUGAAUUUCAAAUUUUGAAUCUAUCACAUUCUCCUCUCUUUUUUUUAUUACACUCAAACAGUUGCCAUAUUGUGGAUCAUAGUAGAUGAACUAUGCAUGUUAAACUUGGUCGAUUAGAGAAUUCGACAUUGGAAAACAAAAUCUAGAUGUUAUGUAAAUGCAUAAGAUAUAUGCUAAGGGAUUGAAUGAGGUAGAUGCUAAUUGUAAGUGCAUAGGAUGUGUGCUAAUUGAAUGUAAAAGACACAUGCUAGUAAUGAAUGCAUAUGAUAGAUGUAAGUGAAUGCAUGAAUUAAAUGCUAGAUGCAUGUAUAAGAUGUAUGCCAAAUAAAGACAUAAGCUAGAUGCAAGAACUAGAUAUUAUGUAAAUGCAUGAUUUAGAUAUAAAUGCAUAAUUAAGAUGCUAAUAACGAAUGCAUAAGAGCUAAAUGCUAAAUAAAUGUAUAAGAUUAAGAUGCUAAUUAUGAAUGCAUAGGCACGUGCGUGAGAUGCUAAAGAAUAUAUGCAUGAUUCAUAUUGCGAGAUUAUGCUAGUGAAUGUUGAACUUGAGACGACGAACUCCAAGUAUAGUAAAGAAUUCGACAAGUGUGGAGGCAUGUAAAGAAUCCUAAGUAUGAAUAACUAGGAAAACAAGAACACGAGUGGAGGCAUUCAAGUAUAGUUCGUCGUCUCACCUAUGUUGAGACGACGAACUCCACGUAUAGUAAAGAAUUCGACAAGUGUGGAGGCAUGUAAAGAAUCCUAAGUAUGAAUAACUAGGAAAACAAGAACACGAGUGGCAUUCAACCUAGUGUCAUGAAACAUAGGUGAAUUAUGAGUGGCAUUAAACCUAAUGUAUUAAACGUGGGUUGAGAAUUGAACCUAGAGUUAAGUAAACCCAGGUUAUGAAUAUAGUGACAUUAAACCUAGAGUCAGAUAAACCUAGGUUAUGAGAUGAGUGACAUUAAUGAAUAUAAUCAAUACUAAAGAAUGCUAGAAAGAGAAUACUUAGUGUGCAUGGCAUCAAAUGAGUUUGAAUGCUAGAGUUGGACACUUAGUGUAGCAUUAAUGAAAACAAAUGAGUGCAUGAAAAUAAGUAUAAAGAAUAAGUAGUAUAAAUGACACUAAUAAAAGUUAUAGAAUGCAAGUAUUUUCUUUUAUGACACUAAUAAAAGUUAUAGGAUGCAAGUAAGUGUGAUUAAUGACAUAAUGACAUAGCAAUUUUAUAGUUAAGGGUCAUACGAGCAUUACUUCCUUAUAGUUAAGGAAUGGAUUGAACUUGAAAUCCUUAUAGUUAAGGAUUGGAUCAUNCAUCUUAACUAGUUUAGCAGAAAAAAAAAAAAAAAAAUAGAAUCAUGUAUACUGAUUCCAUUUUUAUUAAUUUAGCUAACCUGAGAUUAUGUAUAUGAAUCUCAAGUUUGUAUUCUUUAGUUCAAUCUGAGAUUAUACAUAUUAAUCUCAAAUUAAAUUUAGUUAAAGCCGAUUAGGAUUAUAUAUAUAAAUCAUAAAUCGGUAGGAAGUGGAAUCUCACUUGAAUUUAUACCAAACUGAGAUUAUAUGUACGAAUCUCAAGUUAAUUUAAUUAAUCUGAGAUUAUACAUAUUAAUCUCAAUUAGAUCGCCGAUUAAGAUUAUGUACAUCUAAAUCGGUAGGACGUGGAAUACCACCUGAGUUUAGGCUAAUCUGAGACUGUGUAUGUUAAUCUCAGAUUAGCUAAGUUUGGGUUGAUUUAGGAUUAUGUAUGUUGAUCCUAAAUCAAUUUAGAUUAACCUAAUUAGGAAAUUUUGAUAUCCACAUUAGGUUUAAUUCAAGUUAGUUGGUAAUACAGCAACUUGAUUAGUAAAAGAGAAAAUAUAGUAUAAUAUGAGUACAUGUGACCCCCAUACGGGGACCAAUUCGAUACAUUGAUAUGUUGCCUAACACAAUAUUUUAGGUAGAAAAUAAUAUAAAGUCAGAUAAAGUCGUAAAGUCUCCAGAGAAUUAGCUUCCACGGGAUUGUGAGAUUUCCCCAUUAAUUGUUAUCUGCGAACGCAAAUAACCUUCGGUACUUAGGUGUUAUGGACUAUUAGUAUGUAUAAGUUUAUAAUUAGACUUAGUACUUAUGAUGGGGUGCCACUUUUUAGUUUUUAUUCUAAUUGGCACGCUCCACGCAGUAAGCACCAGCGUUUGUCGUUGUACGUAUCAAAUAGGUUGUAUUAGAUAUUAUACAGUUGUACGUACAAAAUAGAUUGUAUAAGGUUACCAUCCGUUUGUAGAAAGUUGUAUUAUAUUAAGUACGUAAGUAGAUCGUUAAUAUAGUACGUGGUAUAAUAGUAAACGUUGGAUGGUUUGUAUGUAUAUACGUAGUUGCUAUUUUGGCAUAUGGUGAAGCUGUACCUUCGCUCGAUUAGAGAAGCCACUCGUGUUGGGUGGACAAUAGCACAAGGCUAACGAACAUCAGUGAACGUUAGCCGGAGGGCGCCGUGGACAACGGGCCAAGCCGGGCUUGAGCGUGAACCGGUGGUUUGCCGGUGGUUAGGCGUUAGGCUUUUAAAUUCCAGAUAUUGAACUACGGUGCUACGAGACCUAGGCAAGAGCACUAAAAACCUGCAGCGGAGCCGGGACGUCCGCCUUUGCUUCGGCUUUGCAGGCAAAGAAGUUAUAGAAGCGUGGCCGAGCUGCUUAGCGACUUGGCUGAAGUGGUUGUGCAGCCUUAUGGAUCGUUAAUCCAAAUAUAUCCAAGUUAAAUCUAAUUUGGGGUAGAUACUGUUUUGCGGGUAAAGAUUCGGGAUCGUACAUGUAUAUGAGGUUUACAGGGUGUUAGAGUACCUCUUUGUACGUAAAUCAUCAGAUUCCCAAUAAUCUUAUGAUUCGUAUUUCCUAAAUUGGUUCAGGAUUUGUGAAUGGCUUUAAACUUGCAGCUCUGCUUUCGUACGGCGAGUUUGCCGGCGUGCUCUUGGGCUUGGCUGUGGAGGUUGCGCAAGGGUUCGAAGAAGAGGUGGUCGGGAGGUUAAAAAUCUCUCUCUAAAUCUCUCUACUCUCUCUUUAGAUCUCUCUCCUUCCCUUCGAAAGAGAGAGAGGGCGUGGUACGCGCACACUACCACCACCACCACCACCAGCCGACCACCUCUUCUUUUUCUUUCCCUAAUUUAGGGUAAAUACGUGAUAAUGUUUAAUGUAGAGGUCGAAUCCAUGUUUAUAAAAAGCGGACGGGAAGACUUACAGGCAAAGUCGAGUUUAAACUGUCAGUCUGAGCCAAAAUAAAUUGAAUUGCUUUCUUUAAAAUUAGAAAGUCAAAGCUAGUGUAAACUAGUGGCUUUCGAGAUGGGUUGACAUUAGAGAUCGUUUAUCGUCAGCCUAAAAUAAAAGGUGGAAGGCCUACGGUCUUACUGUACUUUGAAAUUUAGAUCGUAGUAUUUUUAUUAAGACUGUAUAAGAGGUCAAAAGUAUUAAGACUGUAUAAGAGGUCAAAAGUAUUAAGACUGUAUAAGAGGUCAAAAGUAUUAAAAGACUGUGACACGUAAAAGACGAUUUUAUAGUCAGGGUAAAGCGUGUCUUUUAAGAUUUAGAAGACAAAAGUAAGAAUAACGUCGUGCUAGGUCUGAAUAUAAAAUAGAGAAAUUUAGGUUAUUUUUAUCAUAGAGUGUGAUAAAAAUAAAUAUAAGUGAAAAUUUAAUUUUUAGGCCAUACAAUGUUUCUCCCACCACGAAAACUCAAAAAUCGGUAACCUACCUCUCUACAUUCCAACCCUACUACCACCAUCCACCAUCAUCCACCACCAUCCACCUUAUCACAAAUUAGGUUCCCGAUAAUCAUUAGUUCCUCAUCUAGGUUCACGAUCUUUGGAUCUUCGUGGUUCCCCAACCACGAAGAUUUUCACAAGAUUGAGUUAAUAUAUAUAUAUAUAUAUAUAUAUAUAUAUAUCUCUCUCGGUCUCUACUCUGUCUUUCGUGUCUCUCGUGUCUCUCUGUUUCAACACAUGCUACCCGCCUGAUAAUCUUCGCUUUUAGCCGAGGUAAUCUGAACUAGAUGGUCAUAAACUUCGUAAAUCUUUUUUUAGAAACGUAAUAAAGCUUUGGUAACCUGAUUUAUGCUAUUGGUUCAUCCGUGUUUUAGUUGGGAUCCGCCUUUUGUUUUUAGAUUGUUUUAUUCUAGUAGUACUGUGAUUUUAAAAUGUAGGUUCUCAAUUUUUAGAACAAAAUAUGCGUUUUUCUCUUAAAAUGAUAGUUAUCAUAAGGUCGGAUACUAAACCUAUAAAGAUGUGGCAACUUGAACAUUUGCCGAGUGAUGCCGGCUAUUUUAAUAACUAAAACUCGGGGAAGCUAGUGAUCUGUUUACUAUAGCUUUUUAGUGUUUUAAAUAAAAGAUCCACGAAGUUUAUGAGAGGCUAGCAGCUAAGUUUUCAGGCUCGUAGCUUUUGUUGAACCUUCGUGCAUCCCGAGGCACGAAGGUCUUCGUAUGGUCGGGUGAGAUAUAUAUAUAUAUCAAGCCGACCCUAUGAUAGCUAUUGCGGUUCGUAAACCACGAUAUUUCAAAAAGCGGCAAUCUAAAUUGGGAAAUUGAUAAAAAUGGGUAAUCUAAUAUAAUAAUUGGUUAUUGAAUGAGUUGGGAUCUCUCGGGUAUAGUAGUAUUAACAUGUAAAAAAGUAGACUCCCGGCUUUUGGAUUAUCGUGGUUAUCGAACAACGAUAACUAUCAUAAGGUCGGAUCCAGAUAUAUGCAUAUAUUUAGAAUUUGAUCGAAUUUGAAUAUGGUUGUGAUUUGACUCUAGUUUUAUAUGCUAGAGAAUCGGGUUGAAAUAGGUUGUUUUUAAGGACUUGGUAUAGAGAAGAGGUUGGAUUAGGUUGUGCAUGAUUGAGGUUAGGUUUGGACUUUGAUUUGGUUAUUAUGGUAUAGGUUUCAUGUAUGGCUUGUCAAAUUUGGAUUGAAUUGAAAUUAAAGAUUGGGUUCAGCUUGGAUCAAUCCGGAAUAAAUAAUUGGGUUGGGUUUAUAUUUAGUCUUGGCAUGAACUUGGGCUCAUUCGGAGAUAUAAUUGGGUUGGGUUUAUAUUUAGUCUUGGACAUGAACUUAGGCCCAUUCGGAGAUAUAAUUGGGUUGGGUUUGGAUUUUUGUCUUGGACAUGAACUUAGGCCCAUUCGGAGAUAUAACUGGGUUGGGUUUGGAUUUUGUUUUGGACAUGAACUUGGGCCCAUUUGGAGAUAUAAUUGGGUUGGGUUUAUAUUUGGUCUUGGACAUGAACUUGGGCCCAUUCAGAGAUAUAAUCUUGUUGGGUUAGGCUUAGAUGUGUAGGUUGGCCAUUGGAUUUAGACUUGGGCUGAGUUCAGGCCCGUAAAGCUAUAUUUGGGUUCAGGCUCAAUGUGAGUUAGAAUAGUUCAUGCUUGUUUGGGCCAGAUUUUGACCCAUAUAGUUUGAAUUUAGCUUUGGAUAUGAGUGCAGACUCAGUUUAGGCCCAUAUGGUAUAACUAGGGUUUUUGAAUUGAGUUUGUAUGGCUAAAAUUCGGGUUUAAACUAUAAAGCUUGGAUUUGAACUUUGGGUUCACAGUGUUAAAAGACGUUCGAAAAUCAUGUUUUGAAGCGGUUGCGCAAGCAAAUGGAUCGUUAAUCUAAAUGUAUCCCAGUUUUAUCUAGUUUGGGUAGAUAAUCGUUUUUAACGUAAAACCUCGGGAUCCAACGUUGAUACGUUCUUAAUUGAUUUAACUAGGAUCUAAGAUCGUAACUAGGAGAUAAAUCGUACGAUCCUAGGGUUUAUUUAGUAAAGAUACCUAAUAUUUACUUUGAAAUUUCUAGAUGGUACUCUCCCAAGUUUUUCGAGUAAAGUUCGGGAUCCAAAUGUUGAUCCGUUCUUUAGUAGUUUAACUAGGUACUAAAUUCGUUGUUAGUAGAGAGAUCGUACGAUCUUAUCAAGAUUUAGGUAAGAACUUCGAAUUUUAGGUUUGAUGUUCCUCUAUGGUAAUUUCCCAAAACUUCGAAUGAAAGUUUCGAACGAAGAGUACGUUCCUUCUUCUACCUCUUCUACUUUUAGGUAGGAACUCGAAGUUAGAGGUGGUUUUGGGUGAGAAAACCCUCUCUAAAUCUCUCCCUUUCCCUCCCGAGAGAAUGAGGGAGAGAGGUACGCACACACGCACACCACCGACACCACACCCACCGCGUGCCAACCCCCUCCUCUCCCUAAUUCAGGGAGUUUUGUGAUAAGUAAGGCCCGUCGAACUUUAGACUAUUGAAAGCGGCCUCGAGGGGCUUAUAGGCAAACUCGAGUUUGAACUGUCAGUACAAGCCAAAAUGCAUGACUCAUUCUUAUAUAAAAUUAAAAAGUCAAAGCUGGAGCAAACCAGUGACUUUUGACAUGGCUUGACAUUAGAAAUAGUCUAUCGACAGCCUAAAAUAAAGAGUGAGAUGCCCACAGUCUUUUUAUACUUUGAAAUUUAGAUCGGAGUAUUUUUAUAAAGAUUGAAUAAGAGGUUAAAAAUAUUAAAAGACUCUGACACGUAAAAGACGAUUAAAUAGACAGGGCAAAGGUUGUCUUUUAAGAUUUAGAAGAUAAAAGUAAGGCUAAAAUCGUGUUCAGUGAAGACUGAAUAUAAAAUGAAGAUGUUUAGGUUAUUUUUAUCAAAGAGUGUGAUAAAAAUAAAUAAAAAUAAAAAUAUGGUUAUAGACCAUACAAUGUCGAAGUAAGCGGCCGCGAAUCGGCAGCUGCCUUACCUCUGCUGCACUUCGGCUACUAGAGUGCAAACUGCGCUUCGGUUGCCGCCUUAUCUUCUAGUGCCGGCUUCAGUUGCCGAUAUAGCUGUUGUUGCCGCCUCGAAGUAAGCGGCCGCGAAUCGGCAGUUGCCUUAAUUGCCGUGUAGCUGUUGUUGCCGCCUCGAAGUCAGUUGCCGCGUAUCUGCUAGUACCGCUUUCAUUGUCGCGUAGCUGUUGUUGCCGCCUCGAAGUAAGCGGCCGCGAAUCGGCAGUCGCCUUAAUUGUCGCGUAGCUGUUGUUGCCGUCUCGAAGUAAGCGGCCGCGAAUCGGCAGCCGCCUUAAUUGCCGCGUAGCUGUUGUUGCCGCCUCGAAGUAAGCGGCCGCGAAUCGUCAGUCGCCUUAAUUGCCGCGUAGCUGUUGUUGCUGCCUCUUCUGUACUUCGGCCGCUAUAUCGGCAGCCGCCUUAAUCUGCCGUCGCUUUCUGUUGUUGCCGCCUGUGAGUAGGUGGCGCGCUUUAUUGUCAGUCGCCUUAAUUGCACUUGUUCGCUGUUGUGUACGUGCGUCUUCUAUUCUUCUGCAUGUUAUUAAUACUGCUUAUCGCUAACAUCGGCAGUCGACCCAUUAACUAUUUUCUUUACCCGAAAUAUUAUUAAGAUGACGCGCUUUAAGCCGUUAAUUAAUGCUACAUCGGCGUCGAACAUAACUAUUUCAUUAACGAAACCACGAACUACCUAAGCCGUUAAUUAAUGCUACAUCGGCGUCGAACAUAACUAUUUCAUUAACAAAAUCAAGAAACACCUAAGCCGUUAAUUAAUGCUACAUCGGCGUCGAACAUAACUAUUUCAUUAACGAAACCACGAACUACCUAAGCCGUUAAUUAAUACUACAUCGGCGUUGGACAUAACUACUUCAUUAAUAAAACCACGAAACGCCUAAGCCGAAUUAAAAGUUCAGACUAAGACGAAACUUCAGCUGCUAACUCCUAGCCUUGAAAAACAGCAAUUUUUUUUUUUUUCUCUCUGUAUAUACAUACAUGUAUUGUUCGAAAAACGGCAUACAUGUAUUGGUCGCACUAAACUACUAGCGGGUGCUUACGAUGCAACAACGGCUGACGUAAUUAGUUACGAGGAUAACUAUUUAUAACGUUUUCCCUUCGCUCCUUAAUAAUAAUAACAAUAAGAUUCUGCCCUCCGCCUUCUUUCUUUUAUAAAUAAGUAAAUAAACAAGUGAAUAAAUAAUCCAAAACUUAAGAAUUAAGUUUUGGACUUAAUAAACUUUGAGAGAAUUUUAUCAGUUCUCUGGAAUGUAUAUAUACAUAUAUAUAUAUGUAUAUAUGAAUACAUGUGUAUAUAUAUAUGUAUAUAUAUACAUACGUAUAUAUGUAUGUAAAUAAAUACCUAAACUUUGAAUUUAAANAAACACGCAUAUUAUUAUUAGAUUAAAUUUUAGAUAAAUAUAUAUGGAGACCUCCUCAAACUAUAGGCUAUUGCGAAAUAGACUCCUCAACUUCUAUUUAAUAUUCACAUUGAGAUCUCCUAAACUUCUAAAUUUUUUAAAAAAUUCUCUCAAAUUAAUUAAUAAUUUUAUCAAAUUUAAAAAUUUUAAAUAUUUUUAGUAAAUUAAAUUAAAUUAAAUUAAUAAUUAAUAACUAUUAGAAUUAUUAUUUUUGGCAAAAUUUUAAUUUAUACUUGAGAAGAUAAUAUAUAUAUAUAUAUAUAUAUAUAUAGAGAGAGAGAGAGAGAGAGAGAGAGAGAGAGAGUAUUGAGCCGGAAUGCUAUUAGUAACAAAUGGGUUUUGUUACCAUCCAUUUAUUUUCGAUAAUGGGUUUUCAAAUUGACGAUCGAUAUUGUUGAAUAUAUAUGAUCUAUACCACUUAAAAUAUCUAGAAAUCAAUCUUUUCGACAUUAUUGACUUAAUGAUUAAAGAGUUUCAAAAUUUAUAAUUUUAAUGGUACUCAAUAUAAGAUGUUUACUCGUAUGACGGCAUAAAGAUAUCAAAAUCAUAUGAAUUUUGGUUAGAAAAUUCUGUAAACUAUUUAAAACAAAAUCUACACUUUUGAUCUUGAUUACUUGAUUCCUAUCUUUACUUUUCAAAGAACAUUUAUUUUCAAUCGUUCAUCCAAGAAAAUAUUAUCGAAAAAUUAUAAAAUUUGAUUUCUGGAUUCUUCCAGUACCAUAAAUUAUGUUCAGCGAUAUUGAUCUUCAAUUUAGAGGCUCCAUCAUCGAAAAUAAAUGAACAGCAACGGUUCGUUCGCUAUAAAUAACAUUUAUCAUCAGUAUUGCUCAUAUGUGUUUGUUUAACAUUAAUCUAAACUUCAAACUAGAUAAGCUAUGACCGCGCCACUUGUGGUCGAUUUUAAGUCAAACGAAACACGACAACACGCGCGAUAGCUGUUUUGUAUAUAUCUAGGCUAGCGGACUGCACUGCACCAGGACACCCGAAGAAAUUAAGAAGAAGGACCAUCUCCGUACGCUGCUGCGACCCUGCUGCACAGUCCAGCUGGCGUUGACAACAACUGACUGCGGCAGUAAAUUAAGUGGGCUCCGGCUCAAUGAUGAGAAACUAAUCCCCUCAAUCAAAAGAUUUUUAAAAUUAAAACUCAAGUAGAAACUCUCUCUCUCUCUAUAUAUAUAUAUAUUAUCUUCUCAAGUAUAAAUUAAAAUUUUGCCAAAAAUAAUAAUUCUAAUAGUUAUUAAUUAUUAAUUUAAUUUAAUUUAAUUUACUAAAAAUAUUUAAAAUUUUUAAAUUUGAUAAAAUUAUUAAUUAAUUUGAGAGAAUUUUUUAAAAAAUUUAGAAGUUUAGGAGAUCUCAAUGUGAAUAUUAAAUAGAAGUUGAGGAGUCUAUUUCGCAAUAGCCUAUAGUUUGAGGAGGUCUCCAUAUAUAUUUAUCUAAAAUUUAAUCUAAUAAUAAUAUGCGUGUUUUAUAGUAUUUAAAAGAACUAUAGUUAAAAAAUGGGUAAAUUGGACUGUUACUUUCUAAACUUUGGUGGGGUUUUACUUUACCCUAUAAACUCCUAAAAUAGACAUGUAACAUUCUAAAUCCUAAUAUUUCAUUAGUGAUACUUUCUUCUGUCAAUUUUUCGUCAAGCCCUUUUAACUAAAAAUUGAUGAAAGGGAUAAUAUAAAUGAAAUAUUAAAAUUUAGGGUAUUAAAUGUCUAUUUUAUGAGUGGGGUAAAAUAAAACUCCACCAAAAAUUUAGGGAGCAACAGUGCAAUUUAGCCAAUUUGACUACUGACACUCAAGUUAGUGAUCAUGCGAAGUUUUGAAUUUAUAUAUUUUUAUUCUAAAAUAAAUCAAACCACAAAUUAACCUAUAUUUUAUCAUAUACAAGUAAAAAAAAAAAAAGAAUUAGAGUGGGAUAUCUCUGAAUGCAUCCAAACACAAAAUUACAGUUGUUAUAACUUAUACUGGGAUAUCUCUUUUUCUCGGGAACAACAGAAGUUAUACCCUAGAAUUUAAUUGUUGAACCAAAUGCAGCCCUAGUAUAAUUUCCAUUUGCUAUACUAUACAAUCUUUUCAAAGACACUAUUAUAUUAUUUUAUUUUAUCGAUAUCUACAUUAUAUUUUAGAUUUAUUUUAUUUUUCUACUUAUAUUAAUUUUUUAAUAGAUAUCACUAAACUAUUUUUUAUCUUAUCAGUAUCUAUAUUAUUAUUACAAAUCUAUUAUUUUACAAAAAAUAUAACAAUUUUAUUAAGAGAUACAGGUUAUAUUGUAAAAUAAAUUAAAAUAAAUCUCCAUAAUUGGCUCCAUCAAGUUAUUUUCAUUAUAUUUAUAAUAAAAUGAAUUGAAUAUGUUAUGUCACUUUUAAUUAGUAUUUUUAACAGUUUUUAUAUAAAUUAUAGAUUUAUUGGUUACAGCGUAGGAAUUGAAAAAUAAAAUAGUUAAGUGGUGCCUUAAAAAAAAAUUAGUACAAUAUAGGGAGUAAAAAAGCCUGUAAAAUAAAUCAUAGUAUAGUGUAAUUAAGCCUUUAGCAUUCUAUCAUUAAAAACUUAAUAUACAUAUCAAAUUUAAAGGCUGGAUCGUACAAAAGAAAGAAAGACCAUAAUUUUGAUGAAAUGAAGAUUUUUCCGUGAGAAAUUAGAGAUCUUUUUGAAAAGGCCUUUUUGCAUAAAAACCACUGGUUUUGCAAUCAUGUAAAAGUAGACCAUUUUUUUUUUUUUUUCAGAUUCAAUUCGAAAUCUUUUUAAAUUAUCAAAAUUCUCCUAUUUUCUCCCUCAUUACUCCAUCUCUCUUCCUGCUUCCUCUCACUCCUUUGUUGCCCCGUGUUGCCACCACGCUCCUCGAUCCCCUACCUCGCGCAUGAGAGGAGGAACGAUGACAAAGCUUGACUCACUCGUAACCAUGUAAAGAUGAGGGUGGCAUUUCUCAGAGCAUCGCCAGAGAUGGAGACGAAAGUGGCGAAGGAAAAAAGCAAAGAUUGCUAGUCAAGGAUGCUUAUGGAGCAGGUUCAAGAGCAGGUCCACGAGCAUGGCCGAUGGCGACGAAGCGGUAGCAAUACUAGAAGGAAAAAGUCUGGCCGACGACACGAUGCUGUACUAUUCAUUACAUAUAUAUAUUAUUAUACAAUUUAGUAAGAAAAUUAUACUAUUUGACGUACAUUAAGCUAUAAAAUAAUGCAACUUUUCUUUUAAUGGUACAAUAUAUGCUUGAAUAGUAUAACUCUUUAGCUACCGUUUGGUUCGGGGUUAAGUAAAAACUAGCUAUUUCAUGGAUAGGGCUAAGUUCAGAGUUAAGGUGGGGUUAGAAUAAUUUUGUGUUUGGUUGAGAAUUGGGUUUAGUCCAGGUAUAAAAAAAAUAGCGUUUGGUUGGAGUAGGCGGAAUAAGAAGGAUAGUGGGUUGUUAUAAAUAGAAAAUAAUAAUUUUGCCUCUAUUUUUAUAUUUGAAUUUAAUUUUUUUAUUUUAUAUUUCAAAUUUCAAAUUUAAAUAGAUAACUUUUAAAAUUACAGAAUUCAAAAUUAAAAUUUAUUUUUUAAAUUUCGAAUUUAAUAAUUUAAAAGUUAUAAAAUUUAAAUCAAAUCUAACAAAUAUAAAAUUUAAAUAAUUAAAAAUAAUAAUUAAAAAUUUAAAAUUUUAAAAUUAAAAGUAUAAAUAAAUAUUUUAAGAUUUUAAAUUAUAAUUUUUAAAAUUUUAAAUAUAAAAUAUUAAAUUUAAAAUUUAUAUAAUUAAAAACAAUAAUUUAAAAUUUAAAAUUUAAUAUUUAAUAUUUGAAAUUUAAAAUUUAAAAUUUUAAAAUUUUAAAAUUUAUAAUUUAAAAUUUAAAUUUAAAAAUUUAAAAAUAUUAAUAUUAAUUUUAAGAUUACAUAUUAAGCAUUUUAAAAAUUUCAAAUAUAAAAUGUCAAAUUUCAAAUUUAAAUAAUUAAAAUUUAAAAUUAAAAUUAAAAUUUAAAUUUUAAAUUUUAAAUUUUAAAAAUAUUAAUAUUCAUUUUAAGAUUAAAAAUUAAAAAUUAAAAAUUAAUUUAAAAUUAUAAUUUUAAAAUUAUAUAAAAAAUUAAAUAGGGGUGGGAUUAACUUUAUCCCACCCCUAUUCUUGGGGGGGAGGGGGGUGGGUGUGCUGUUUUAAAACUAUAUUAAAAAUUACAUGCUUCGAAGUAUUUUCGACCUGCGAUCGAUACCCUCCUUCUCUGCCAUCUUUGUCUCCGUUCGGCGAAGCGCCGAAUAGCAACGAUGACGAACAGGUCAAAAUCACGAUUCGUCUCACUCGUAAAGCGCUCACAAUGCGGACGCCACGGAGCAGUUGGUGUGGAGGCAAAAGUGCUCGAGGCUACUACAAGCGGUGGAGACGUGGCCGACGAGGAAGGAACAAAAAAAGGGAUAGAUUGGAUUUUUUAAAGUAGAGGAGUAUUUUGAUCCAUUUUCACAAAUUUUCGUUCGAAUUUACAAAAUCAAAGAACGUGGCCUUUUUUUUUUUUAAUUCUCAAAACAAUAUGGCCUAUUUUUGUAAAAAUACAAAACUAGUGAAUUUUUAUUUUUUGGGGCGCGGCAAAAAAAAGCCUUAUAAAAAAUUAUUCUUUUUAGACCUGAUAAAUAUAUAUAUAUAUAUAUAUAUAUAUAUAUAUAUAUAUAUAUAUAUAUAUAUAGAUAGGCUGGGAUACUAUCGAUAAGCAUGACUCACAAUUUUGUUGCUCAUAAUGGGAGUUUGGACAAAAGGAGUUGGGUCCUAUCUGUUUGAGUGUGUAGCCAACAAAAUCCAAAAAUAAACCGGCCCACAUAAAAGUCAAAUAUACAGCGAAAGAAGGUCUUGUCACUCUAGUAGUAGGAGAUGAAGGGCAGUUCCGUAAAUCCCAGCGGAUUUGGGCUAUAAAAUCAUCCAAAAAGUAAUAUACUCCAAGUCCAAAUUGGCUAGCUAGGCUUGUAGAAACCAUGGUAGAGGACUUGGAGAGUGAGCACGCACAAAGGGAGUAUACUGAAGAUGGGUCUGUGGACCUCAGAGGGAACCCUAUUCUCAGGUGCAAAAGAGGAGGGUGGACUGCUUGUUCCUUCAUUGUAGGUAAUACUGCUUAAUUUAAUGGCUUCUUAGCUUUUAUAUCCCCUGAAAAGUUCUUUUAAAAUGAGCGUAUGUAAUACUUUUUCUUCAGCAUUAUUAUUUGUCAAUAUUUCUCAAGCCUUUGUGUGCAAAAGUUAAUUACUUGUUGAGGAACUUCAUGUGUAUUAUUAUAUAAUUCUUUGAAGCUCACGGAUAGCUGGGUUGCCUUUCCUAGCACAAAGGUCUUCGUACAUUCACUUUAUUCUGAAUGAUGAAAAUUUUGAAUAGACAAUCUGUUCGAUUAGACACGAUCUAAAAUAUAUAAAAUAUUUAGAAAAUAAAUUUUAUAAUUUUUGGAUAUUAUUUAUUUAUUUAUUUAUUUGAUCGAGUGAUUUCAAAACGAGCGGCUGAAAAUAAAAAUCACACAAAAAAUAAUGAUACAACACUAAAAUUUUAGAUUAGAAGUUCUGAUCUUAGGAUAAAAUAUUUUCUUUCAAAGUUAGACCAGAUUUAAAUAUUUUUGCAGCAAAAAAAUUGCAUGCAACUUAUAUCAACAAUUAAAAAUAUUAAUUUUGAGCCAUUUCGAUCGUUAAGUAGAUGAUAUCAAAAAAUCAUAAAAUUUAUUUUCUAAAUAUUUCAUAUAUUAAUAGAUCAAAUCUAGUGAAAGCGAUUUUCGUUUCGGAGCUCCCACCAUGCAUCGAAAGCAACGUGAAGCACAGAAGCCUUUGCUUUUCUAAAAGCAGCCCAAUUCAACUCUACUCUUCACAUAUAUUUUGAAUUGAAGCGUCCAACAAGUCUCUAUCACAUCAGAUUGUGUGUUGACUUGCUAGUAUGUAUGAAUCAGUUUGGCUCAGUUGUAAAUUGUAUUGCUAUAUAUUUCAUCAAUACUGUCAGAGAAUUGUUGUAUCUGUAGUAGAACUAGAAGCUGUACAUUGGAGCUUUUACUUUUGAGCUUCGAAUCACUUUUCUGCUCCCCGUUAUAACAGAAGCCCCGGUCUUUUUUUAUUAAUUGUUAAGCAGUUUGUUACAUGUAAUUGCAGCUAUAAAAGUAGACGUAGAAUUAGCUAGGCUAAACUCGCCCUCUCUACUUGUUUCCUCGUGAGUUGGUUCUUCAAUUUAUCUACAAAGGGCUAUAUUGGGUUUUGAACGUUAACAGUAAACUAGGUAACUAAACAUUUUUACACAAUGUAGGUAAAUUGUUAGUUUUCAGUCUUAUUAAUUUGUUAAAGUGUUUGUGGGCUACUUGUUGUAUGUUGCAGUGUAUGAGGUGUUUGAAAGAAUGGCAUUCUAUGGCAUAGCAUCCAACCUGGUGCUCUACUUAACUAACAAGCUGCACCAGGGCACUGUCGAUGCCGCAAACAACGUGACCAACUGGGCGGGCACCGUGUUCUUGAUGCCAAUACUCGGGGCAUAUGUCGCUGAUGCCUACCUCGGACGGUAUUGGACCUUUGUCAUCGGAUCUGCCAUCUACUUGUUGGUAAUUUUCAUCACCGUACUAUUUUCUCAUCAUUCAUUUAGCUGCUCAUAUACUUUUACAUGUUUGUUGCUUCCACUUUUCCCUGCCUACUAGAUUACUCAGAAGAUAAACAUAUCCAAGUUCUUGAGAGUUAUUUUCAUUUCUCCGGUUUACUUAGAUAGCUCUUGAUGAGAAUUCAUAAUUUAAGAUAGUAUGGAUAAAUUGAGCUAAUCGGAAGGAAGCUUCUUCUGCUCUUUAAAGAACAGCUAAAAGGUAAUAAAAAAACAAUAAUAAAACAAGUUGUUAGAUGUGUCUUAUUGGGCCCAUUUUAUGUUGUGGAUCCGUGUAGUUUGUGUCAGGAUUUUCUUUCUUUUUUAUUCUGCCUAUAAAUGUAUACCUUUGUUUCCAUGGUUUUUGGGAAUUGAGAGAGAUCAUUGUGUGUAUUUGGAAAUCAGGGUUUUUGGAGAGAGGUUUUUUUUGUAAUCCACUUUCAAUUAUAGUUAAAUCUUCACAUUGUCUUCACCCCCAAACAUAGAACAGUGGCCUAAUCGCAUAAAUUAGUUGUUUAUGUUAUUUCUUCUCUUUUUUUAUUCUCGUUGAUGCUAUGUACUGAUGAAUUAGGGCUUUUCGACUUUGUCAUAGCAGAUGACGUUAUUGAUUUGACCAAAAAAGUGAAAACCAAAUUGAGGCUUUCCUCUACUAUCACCACAUAUAGAUAAUAGGAAAGGGAUAUUAGACUUAGAGCGAAAGUCGGGCUCGCCAACAGAUCUACCAUAUACACAGGUAUACACAGGAAGCCUCGUGUACAUGAGGUGAAAGAAGUUGCUGCAAGCAAUUCUAGAGGCUACAACUAACAGAUAUCAAAACUAAAAUAAAACUGCUAAAAACUAAACAUAGUGCACUGUACAUACAUCAGCACAAAAAAUAGUACAUGUCACACCUCCCUACCAAGUACAAAAUCACCUCUCGCAGCUGAAAGUAAUAUAAAUAUGUAGACAGAUCUGCUCUAAAAAAGUAGCCUCUAUAGGGUGCUCCUCUAGCAUGAAUUGCACGGGUUGGUAGGGAGCUAGCUCGCAAUUUCUUUACCUCGAUCAGAAGUAGCUAUAGGGGUGGAAGGCUCUACAAGAAAAAAGAUAGUAACAAAUGGCGUGAGAACUAUUAAAACAAGUGCUCCUUAGUAGGUAUCAUCACUGAUGCCGACGACCUAUCCACUAGGUCUACGAGAGUGAAAAGUAAAGAACUAGUGUUUGAGAUAACAAAAAAAUUCAAAUUCAAAUUGAGGAUAUACUUUAUUUGAGAUUAAAAAAAAAUUCAAAUUCAAAUUAAGGAUAUAUAUAGAAGGAAAAAAAUGAAUUGUGAUUUCAUUGGUACUUUCCUUAGGGGAGUAGGUAUUAAAGAGGAAAGAGAUAAGAAAAAUAUUAUUGUCUAAUUUUCAAAUUUUUUUGAAUUAUUUCCCACAAAAUGAAGAGGUCCAAAAAUCACUAUAAAUUGAACCAUGAAAUUCAAGGGAAGGGAUUCGAUAUUUUGGAAGGAGAUUUCAAAAAAAAAAAAGAAAAAAAAAAGAGAGGCGCCAAGAGAGAGGCCCCUCCUCCUUCUCUGGUUCGUACAGAGAGAGAGAGAGUUAGGGUCCCCUCUCCCAGACCAACAAAAAGAAAAGAAAAAAGAAGAAAAAAGAAAAAGAGUUGAAGGCACGAAGACGGCGCAAUGGUGAUGACUUUGACGACGACGGUGUGUGAGGAGGCCUCAUGACCUCCUCUUUCUUCUUCUCCGACAACGACUUCGACAACAACAACGGCGUGGAAGGAACUGCCUCAUGGCCGCUUUCUUCUUCUUCUCCAAUGACGACAAAUUGGUGUUUACGUGCUAACGGUAUGGUAGUGAUCCUUUCGUCGGUUUGAUCAACACGACCGUCUUCAUGAUAGGUCGACCUGAUAAAAUCCGGCAUAGGAUUGGUACCAUAUCGUGCGCACGUAUUCCCUAAGCAUUCGUCCCCCCAACAUCGACGAAAGACCUAUGUGAACGUGCGAAUGGCGUGACGACGAACCUCCAACUGAUUUGAUUGGGCACUGUACAUAUAUCAGCACAAAAAAUAGUACAUGUCACACCUCCCUACCAAGUACAAAAUCACCUCUCGCAACUGAAAGUAAUAUAAAUAUGUAGACAGAUCUGCUCUCCAAAAGUGGCCUCUAUAGGAUGCUCCUCUAGCAUGAACUGCAUGGGUAGGUAUGGAACUAGCUCGUGAUUUCUUUACCUCGAUCAGAAGUAACUACAGGGGUGGAAGGCUCUACAAGAAAAAAAAAUAGCAGCAAAUGGCGUGAGAACUAUUAAAACAAGUACUCCUGAGUAGGUAUCAUCACCGAUACCGACGACCUACCCACUAGGUCUACGAGAGUGAAAAGUAAAGAACUAGGUAAAUAGUAGAAUAGGAAAUAAUAAAAGCUGAAAAGAAUCUAUAGGUACAAUGCCUCGAUGCUAUUAAUACUCAAAAUGAAAUGACAAGACGUAAGUAAAUGCAUCAACUAGCUACCGGUACUCACUAUCCAAACCUAAUCCAAACGAUCGCCUCCAAGGUCUGGUCAAACCUACGCCAGCCUACUACCAUGGCACCACUUUUGAGGGUAGCCGGUCAAAUGUGGGUUGCCCAAGGGGCUGCUGUAACACCAACAUGUAAAGCCUCACUUCCAAGGGGCACUAGGGGGAGCUACUGCAACGACCCGAUCCGCCAGCAAUAUAACUCGUUGGGUCCAAACAAAAGGCCCAAAAUACUUAAGCCCAAUUAUUAUUAUUAGAGUGUAAGUCUCAUAUAAAUUUAUCGGAAUUAGUAUCCCAUCCGAUAUGGAACUAUUGGGCGUUACAAACUCCCCAUGUUUAGACCCUGACGUCCUCGUCAGGUUCAAACCUGAUCACAGACAAACAGAUCGGGACCAGAAUUACCAGGCGAUGUGAGAUUCUAGAGGUGGCUCCUACGGGUUCAAGAGGUGGCUCCCACCAAACUCGUUGGUGUAGCACUUUACCCCGCAUAGCACUUAGUUCUCACACUUCUGGCUAGUAUUUGGCUCUGAUACCAAUUGCAACGACCCGACCCGCCAGGAAUAAUAACUCGUUGGGCCUAAACAACCGGCCCAAAAUGCUUAAGCCCUAUUUUUAUUAUUAGCAUGUAGACCUCAUAUAAACUGAUCGGAAUCAGUAUCCCAUCUGAUAUGGAACUAUUGGGGCGUUACAGCUACCCUGCCGAGCAACAACCGUAGUCUCUAUCAAGCUCAAAUCUAGCUCAUGCAAGCUGUAAUUUAUGCGAAUGAUCAAUCAGAUCAUCAAACUGUAAACCAUGUGCCUUAAGCACAAUCCAAUGCAAAACUCGAUAAUCUGAGACACCAUCAAUGCAGACAACACCUUAUUAUACAAUUCAGUCUAAUUAAAGUCAUCCUACGCUAAUCUGUAUGGUCGCUACCCUUUAACUGUUGGAAAAUCUUUCUGAUCUUUUAUUAAAAUAUUCUUUAAAAAUAAUUCGAAAGUUUAAUUUUAAUUUUAGAAAAAUUUCGAAAAAAAUUAAAUAAUAAAUACUGGAAAGAAAAGGAUUAGAAAAAGGCCUGUGGAUCGAGGCGUGCAGAGCACUGUCCUAGAAGCGAAAUUGCCCCUCCACGUACGAGGCUUUCCGGCAAUUACUUCAAACGAUACAACGUCCACGUUCCACCCUGUCAGCACACUUUUAAGGUGGUGCAAGAUAAACCCAACAAGCUUUAGGAGAUCUAGUGAAAUACUAGAAAGCUUGGCGAAAAUCAGUGCAAAAGAUCAAUGGCGAGAAAAUAGAAGAAAGCGAGGUAGAGGAUAGGGUUUUGCUCUUAGGUACGCCUAGGUUCAGGUUGAACUCAUGCAACCUCGUCCAAUAUAUAUAUCGAAGGCAAGGAUCUUGCUUCAACGUGUCGAUUCCGUGUAGCGCAAGAUAAGCCUAAGAUUAUAUGGGAUACGGAUUAGGAUUUCCACAAGGAUUAGAAUAAAAAUAAAGAUAAAACCAAAAUAUAAAAAAUAAAAUAAAAUAACCCGGAUGCCUAGACCGCGUGCCACCGCUCGUCCGGCUCGUGCUCGUGCCGUGCGCGCAUGCGUGUGUUUAGUCGAGAGCAUAACUCUCAUUUUCUCCUAAGCAACUAGGUUGAGAAUAAAUGAAUAUAUAAAUAACAACAACAUACUUUUAGUUUCUAAUGUGGGACUAAAUCUCACAUAUGAAAACCUUAGUUGGGCUCUCAGGCAAGGGCCAUCAAGUAUUGGGCUGCUCAAGAGGUCUAACAAGUUUUAAAUCACCCAAAACCCAAUAAAAUCUAACGUUAACUAGAGUGAAAAACAAGUAAAAAUAACUAACAAAGCUAAAUACUGACAACAAAGCAUCGGGGUGGUCUAGUGCAGAUUCUAUACAUGUUUCUAGUUCAAUUCAGCACUUAAAAUCUUUACAUACAUGUUGAGGAGUUCUAGAACAGGAAUUCAACAUCUCGCAUGCAAAUUUCAAAGAUUCAAGCUAGAAAUUUCAGAUUUAAAGAUGUAACUAGCAAGCAUGCAGAAUUUUAGUUGACAUAAUGGAUAAUCCGUCAUUUUCGAUAAAUUCAACCCACCUCGGGUGCUAAUCCAACUACGGCAGGGAAUUGAUCACAAAUAUACCUCUCCUCAGCUUGAAACCAGUAGGGAUUAAGCCAAGAAAGCUCCACAAACUCUCAGGGAAGAAGUUAAGUUAGUCCAAUAAUCAAACUUCCUCAAUGCUAAAAUUCACUUAACAAUUCAGAAAUUCACUACAAUUUAACUUACACUACCUUACUAUUAGCUGAAUAGGAUGUUCUCCAAGUUCUCUAGCUUCAAUUCGAGCAUGAGAACCAAGAAAUUCUAGGUCCACUCAAGAAAAUUGUUGGGAAAAGAAGUUGGUUUCACAAUUCCAUCCAAAAAUUUCAGCUUAAAGCCAAUUACAUUUCAACUAACCUCAAAUUCGGUUGAAGAGUAAGUCUACAAACUUCUUCAUCACUAGAUCACCCACAAGAACUUGAUCAAUUUUGUAGCUAAAAGUUCAGAUAGGAGAAUUUUUUUUUUGAUGCUACCCGCUUCGUUUAUUUCUUUUAGAAAUAAACUUAGCUGGAAAUGUGAAUCAACUAGGAUUCGAACUUGGGACCUCGGGUACCAACCACCAAGCCCUUUGUCACUUGCGCCAAGGACAAUCGGUAGUUCAGAUAGGAGAAUUGGAUGAGAAAGUUGAUGAAAAUCCAUUAGAAAUCUGAAUUUCAGCUUGCAUCUCCAAAUCCACUCUAAUUCAAUUAGACUAACUUGAAAUUCCAGCUUAAGGAAGGUGCAAGCUGAACCCAGGCUCACCAACAGAUCCGCCGUAUACACAGGAAGCCCCGUGUACAUUGAUAGAUCCUUCUUUAGAAACAAUUAUAUAUUAGAUAUAUAAAUGUAGAACGCAGUGGAAGUAUUCGUUCGUACCUUUUAGCGGAAGCAACUUGCGUUAGAACGCGACGAGCCCGGAUCGUAGAGGUUGAUUCACGUGUCCUCGGAUCGUCCUUGAAAAUCUUCUAUCGCUCCAAACUCGUGGUGGAUCGAACUACAAACGAGCACGAUCUCCAAUCCACAGUUCAAGACCCUCUAGGAUAAUCAAUAGUGGUGUAAUGUUGAGGAAGUAGUUACGAUAGUAUCGAUCCUGCUAUGUGCGAGUGGGAGAUGUUGGCAUUUGGUUAAAUCGAAUCAGAUGCACCCAUGAUCGGGCUCGAUCCGACGAUUAUUAUGUUGUCUAAUUGGAUUAGUAUUAAUCUCGCUUUUAAAUUGGAAAGCUAAUUAGAGAUAAAUUCUAAUCAUAUUAGGAUAACAAUUAAUAACCGAUUUGGCCUUAUCUCUUACGCACCUAUUAGGAUUUUGGAAUCCUUCGUAAAUAUACGGGCGAUCUCACGUAAAAUAAUUAAUAAAAAAGAGAACAAGAAAACUAAGAAACGUAGAAACCACAUUCUCCAUUAACCUAUUAUUCUAGAGGGUCUUGAACGGUGGAUUGGAGAUCGUGCUCAUUUGUAGUUCGAUCCACCGUGAGUUUGGAGCGAUAGAAGAUUUUCAAGGACGAUCCGAGGACACGUGAGUCAACCUCUAUGAUCCGAGCUCGUCGCGUUCUAACGCAAGUUGCUUCCGCUAAAAGUUACGAAUGAAUACUUCCGCUGCAUUCUACAUUGGUAUCAGAGCCUUGUUAGGUUGAUUUUGUGUCCUAGAUUAACUCUUUAACGAGAUUGCAUCCGUAAAUUUAAAUCUAUCAUCGUUCAGAUUUUUUUUUGCAUGCUUGUGGGCGUUAAUGGCGGAUUUUGCUAGGAUGAAUAUUAUUGCAUGAUUUUUACACAUCUUGAAACACCUAUGUUGUAGAUUAAAUUUACAAAGUUUGAUUUAAUUUGGUUUUGUAUUUUAUGAGAAAAACGAAACCCUAAAUCGAAACUUUGCUGGUGGCUUGUUUGAUGCGUGAUGCAUAUCCCAUUGUGAAACUUGCAUGAUUUGGAAGAGUUCCUCAUAAAUUUUCUAUUGAUAUAUUUCUUGCAAAAUUUGGAGUUCUAAAUCUCAAGAUAUGAUUUUUUGAAGUUUAUCUAUCUAUUAAAAAAAAAAGAAUGCUUACUAUAACUGUAAAACGCAGCGGAAGUAUUCGUUCAUACCUUUUUGCGGAAGCGAUUCGCGCUACAACGCGAUGAGCCGGAUUGGAGAGAUUGAUUUACGUGUCCUCGGAUCGUCCUUGAAAAUCUUCGAACGCCCUGAACUCGCGGUGGAUCGAACUACAAACGAGCACGAUCGCAAAUCCACCGUUCAAGUCCCUCUAGAAUAAUAGGUUAAUGGAAGAUAUGGUUUCUCUCUUUUUGUUUCUUAUUCUCUUUUUCUUUUCGUUCCAUAUAUUAUGUUAUGUGGGAUCGCCCGCAUAUUUAUAAGGGAUUCCAAAAUCCUAAUAGCGUAAGAGAUAAGAUCAAAUCGGUUAUUAAUUGUUAUCCUAAUAUGAUUAGAAUUCAUCUCUAAUUAGCUUUCCAAUUUAAAAGCGAGAUUAAUCCUAAUCCAAUUAGAUAACAUAAUAACGAUCGGAUCGAGCCCAAUCAUGGGCGCACCCGAUUUGAUUUAACCGAAUGCCAACAAUAACCAAUAAAGAUACAUCUUUCGUCUCGAUCAUUUAACUUUUCCUUGGCGAUUAUUAUUGAGCCCGCCUCCUUUUGGUCCAUAUCCAUGUCGUGAGUUGCAACAUUGGAUGUUCAAUCUUCUCCACGAUUUUUGCCUUUUCUAUUAUCAAGUUUCAAUUUUGACAUAAGAGCCUGCUCAGUCGACUCGUCUUCAGACACCUUUCGUAGUCUUUGCUCAUGUAUUUGGAGGAAUCCUAUCAAUUGGUCAAUAGAAAGUGUAUUGAUAUCUUUUGACUCUUCUAUGGCGACAACAAUAUGCUCAAAUUUUGAUGUGAAAGAAUGAAGGACCUUUUCUACAACUCGUUCAUCAUCGAGUUCUUCUCCAUUUGCUUCAUUUGGUUUACAAUUACAAAAAUGCAAGAAGCAUAGUCCGUGACACUUUCGGACUCCUUCAUUCGGAUUGCUUCAAAUUCCACCUGAAGCUUUUAUAGAUGAAUCCUCUUCACUUUGUCAUCUCCUUUAAAGAUGGCAGCAAGAAUAUCCCAUGCCACUUUCCUCGAAGUUGCUUCUGCAAUUUUCUCGAACGUCGACUCUUCUACUGCUUGGAAAAGAUAGAUAAGAGCCUUUUGUCCUUUUUUCUUGCUUCGUUCAAAUCGUUUCGUUGGGCUAUAAUUAAUGCAGCUCUUCUAGCUCUGUGUAUUCUUGGUACCCAGUUUUAACUAAUUUUCAAAGGUCUUGAGAACCAGGAAGUGCUUUCAUUUGAAUGCACCCAUUCUCGUAAUUGUCUUUUAAUGGUUUUGGGAUUUGGGUCUGGAGAAGUUGAUUGGCAAUUUUUUUAACAGAGUUUCUUUCUGGCAACUUUUCUCUGAUACCAAAUGAUGGCGGGCUAGAAUAUAAAAAACUAUAAAAUAUUUAAAACCAGAACAACCGAAUUUAUUAAAUAUGACUGAACCUCAGUACACAAGAACUUAGUAGUACAAUUUUAUGCAUUAAACAACAAAUUACAUGCCCUCUAUUUAUAGAGCAUGAAUGACGCAACUUUUCACGAAAGUAGACAUCACUCCACUAAAGGACAUGACCCUAAACCAAAAGACACAACCUUACAAAUGGACAUACCAUUACAUAAGGUACACAACCUUUCAACAAAACAAAUAAAUAAUAAACUAAUAAGCAACCUUAUAAUCUAACAACAAGAUGGCGGAAUCCUCGGAUAUGCCUAUGUUGGAUCUUAGAAGCUAAAACCGAUUGGUGAAGAGUGGCUUGGUGAGCGCAUCAGCUAAGUUGAUCAAACGAUAAUAUAUGAGAAACCCAAAGUGAUCCUUUAGAUAUCUGAUCGCGAACAAAAUGAUAAUCCAUAGCGAUAUGCUUCAUACUAGAGUGGAAUACUGGAUUGGCGCAAAGAUAAGUAGCGCCAACAUUAUCGCAAUAUAUUAGUUGGCUGAUUGUUUAUCUUGAUACCAAGUUCUUGAAGAAAGGAUUGUAUUCAUAUAUACUAAUUCAACUGUGGUGGCACCGUGGCAGCAACCUCCUUAUAUUCUGCUUUUGUUGAUGACCGAGCUAAGGAACUUUGCUUACGAGAGCACCAAGAGAGAGAAUUAUGGCCUCAACACACUAAGUAGGCAGUAGUGGAGGUAUAAUCAUCACGAUCACUAGCCCAAUCAGCAUCUGAAAAGGUCGUAGAUGAAGUGAAGAAUUUUUUUGAGAUGAAGACCAUGGUAGAUAAUAGCCUUGAGAUAACGAAGAAGACAUUUUAAUGCAGUCCAAUGACUUUGAGUUGGAGCAUGCAUGAAUUGUGAUAAUUUAUUUAUGGUUAAGGAAAUAUCAGGUUGAGUAAGGGAGAGAUAUUAGAGGCCGUGAUAAUUUAUUUAUGGUAAAGGAAAUAUCGAGUCGAGUAAGGAAGAGAUAUUGAAGGCCUCCAACUAGUUGUAUGUAUUCUGUAACAUUAGUUGGAGAUGAGCCGUCAUUGAGAACCAACAGAGUGGAAGAAAUUGGUGUUGACACCGGCUUAGCACCACACAUAGUUCCUCGGUCAAGUAGGUCGCGAAUAUAAUUAUGUUGCGAAAGAAAGAUCCCACUCGGAGUAGGAAUCACUUGAACACCCAGAAAUAAUAGAGGGGUCCAAGGUCAUUUAGAGAAAAUUUAUUGGAUAGAGCAUGAAUUAACCUAGAGAUGACGGCGACAUUAUUAUCUGUGAUCAAAAUAUCAUCCACACAUGCUAGCAAAUAGAUAAUGACGCCAUCAUAAAAAUAAAUGAAUAACGACACAUCUGAUUUAGACUGAACAAACCCAUUGGCAGUGAUAAAAGACCUAAGCUCAGUGUACCGUGCACGUGGUGCUUGCUUAAUCCCAUAUAUGGCGUUACGAAGACGACACACAUGAGUAGGGUGCACCCAAUCAAUAUCAAUAAAACCAGGAGGUUGUCGCGUGUAAACCUCUUCAUGAAGAGCACCAUGAAGGAAUGCAUUGUUAAUAUCUAAUUCUUGAGUAGGGCACCCUUUAGCAAGAGCUAUAUUCAAGACUAAGCAAAUUGUUGUUGCUUUAAUUACUGGACUGAAAGUGUCCUUGUAAUCGAUGCUAGGGCAUUGAUGGAAUCAUUUCGCAACGAGUCUAGCUUUAUACUUAUCGAUGCUUCCAUCUGAACGACACUGAAUGAAAAUAUUCACUUGCAACCUGCAAGGUUUUGGGAGGACGUUGCAGGAACGAGCUCCCAUGUGCAAUUUUGUAUUAAGGCAUUGAAUUCAGCGGACAUUGCCUCUCGCCAUUUCGGAUAUUUCAUAGCUUGAGAGAUAGUUGUGGGCUCAAGAAAAUGAGGUAAUGGAUGUGUGGUGGUGGCAAAGACUUGUUUUGGUUUAUAAAUGUUGUUUUGUGAUCGUGUAACCAUACGAUGGGUCCGUUGUGGUGGUGGAGGCGAAUAGUUAGGAGUAUUAAUGGAAUAAGAGGAGAGUAGUGAGGUGUCAUUUUUGGAUGAAGGUUCAAGGUUUAAAGAAUGAUCAUUUAGAUUGUGAGAGAUAUGGUCUGUUGGUGGAACAAGUAUAGGAUUAGAGUUGGUAGCUAAUGGUGAAGAGUUUGAGCUUGUGGCCUUGUGGGAUUGCUCUCAAUAGGAAAGAUCUUAUGUGGUGCUAAAUGCAUUGGAUGCAUAUUGGACUGGCAUGAUGACUUAGGUACUGGGGUCAUGGAACAAGGCUCGAAGUUUGAAGGCGAAGCUGUUGAAAAAUAGAAACAGCAGGAAACUGAGAUUUAUCAAAUACUACAUGCCUUGAAAUAAAUGUUUUAUUAGUAGUUGGGUCAAAUAAUUUGUAGGCACUUUGCGCAAGAGAGUAGCCAAUAAAAAUGCAUGGACAAGAUCAUGAGUCAAGUUUAUGCUCGAAAUUUGAAGGCGAAGCUUUUGAAAAAAUAGAAACAGCAGGAAACUGAGAUUCAUCAAAUACUACAUGCCUUGAAAUAAAUGUUUUAUUAGUAGUUGGGUCAAAAAACAUUUGUAGGCACUUUGCGCAAGAGAGUAGCCAAUAAAAAUGCAUGAACAGGAUCCUGAGUCAAGUUUGUGUUUAGAGUAAGGACGAAGCCAAGGAUAGCAUAAGCAUCCGAACCGCUCAGGCAAUUUGGUCGAGAAUCGCCACUCCGCCGCCGACUUCAAUCCGUCGCAUGCGUGCUACCUCCCUUCUCUUGAUGCCAUACGGCUUCAAGAGAAACCGGCCACCUUAAUUAAUUAGCCUCACUGUAUGCUAAUUAAUUAAGCUUCAUGCACCCUCCAAGAACCGUACGGUUCACAAGGCCGGGAUGCUAAUUAAUUUGGCCUCCACCGCUCUCACCAAGCGGUACAUGCAUGUAUAUAUAUAGAGAUGGAUUAGAUCAAUCCUACUCUAAUUCAAUGUAAUCUUGUAUGGAAACCAAUCCUAGUUCAAUCAGGACUCCAACUUAAAUUAGGAUCCACCAAUAAAAAAAAUCCUCAUGAGAUCCUUUCCUUUAUUCCAUGCAUAUACCCGGUGCAUGGACCAAACCAAUAAAAAAAGAAGGCAUAAUCUCUAACACCAUCAACAAAUCCCAUUAGAUCGUAGCCAAAAGAGAAGCGCAUUAAAUUGUGCACGCCAUGACGGAUAAUUCAAAGAUAUUAUUUUAAGAGGCAAUUGCGUUGUUGCAUUGAUAGAGAUAAGACUGGUGCUUGUAUUCUGUGGUAAAGAGGUGGAGGCUACGUGAGGAGGACUAUUAUUUGCAGGAUUCUCUUUUUCCAUAGCAGAGUAUGUUGCCAGUUAGGCUUGUAACUCUGAUACCAUAUAAUAAAAAUAUUGGGUUGAAAGAUUAGCACACAUUUAUUUAUUAUUAUUCUUCAAGAUAAGUAUAUAUAUAUAUAUAUAUAUAUAUAUAUAGUAUAUUAGUAUUUAGUAGUAGCAGGCUGCUGUGCUCUCAGGAGCACGGGAGGCCUCCGUGCUUCUGAGCGUUUUUGAUGAUAGAAUUUUCGAAUCGAUGAUCGGCUUCGUUAGACUGAUCUAGCGCAUUUGAAGUUUUUAGAAAAUAAUUUUUGCGUUUUUGAUAUCAUUUACCUAGUGAUCGAAAGGAUUCAAAUUUCAUAAUUUUAAGGUUGAUAUCUGUCAUUUUCAAGUUUAACGGUGUAGAAGAUUCAAAUCAGUUGAAAUUUUGAUACAAAAUUCUUUUAUACUAUCUACAAACAAAAUCAAUAUUUCUGAUCGAAAAUAUUUUGUUUAUAGGAUUUUUAUUUUCAGCCGUUAAAAAUUAUUGAUUUUGAAUCCUUACGAUUGCUAGGUAAAUGAUAUCGAAAAAUCGCAAAAAUUAUUUUCUAGAAACUUCAAAUGCGCUAGAUCAAGUCUAACGGAGCCGAUCGUCGAUUCGGAAACUCCAUCAUCGAAAACGGCGCAGGAGCACGGAGGCCUCCGUGCUCCUGAGAGCACAGCAGCCCUGCUCUAUAUAUAUAUAUAUAUAUAUAUAUAUUGGAAGAAUGAAUGUAAUAAUUAUGUAAAUUUUGUAUUUGAUUUAAAGAAAUCAAGAUACAACGUAUGAAUGUUUAGUUAGUUUACUAUCACUUGUGCUUGUUGCUUGCCCUCGUGCAAGCCAUGUAUAUUGAAAUGUUAUCCUGGGAGUUGUUUAUUUCUUUAUACGUGUACUCGUUGUUGUUAAGCUUUGGGCGGACAGGGAAGGUGCUGUCCGUUCAGCAUCUGUGUACGGGUCCGGAUCGACCAAAUUAACGAUAGCGGGACGUGACAGAUAAAGUCUAUCGCCAAUUUGGUCGAUCCGGGCCCGUACACAGACGCCGAACGAACAGAACCUCCUCUGUUCGCCCAAGGCUCAACAACAACAACAAACAUGUAUAAAGAAAUGCCCAGAAAAAAUUUCAAUAUAUAUGGCUUGCACGAGGGCAAGCAACACAAGCAAGUGUAAGUAAACUAACUAAAGCAUUCAUACAUUGUAUCUUGAUUACUUUAAAUCAAAUACAAAGCUUACAUAAUUUUUACAUUCAUUCUUCCAAUAUAUACAUUGCCAUCUCUCAAAUGAAUAAUUUACAUUUACUUUCAUCAACUAUAAACAGAUGAAAUAAAUAAGGUACAACUAUACUCAAUGGAUGUCCACUAUCUAUGGAACACUGUCCAUACCACGAUCCUUGAUCCACCCCGCACGAGCUAGAACCUGCAUGGUUAGUGGGGUGAGAACUACUGAAAGUCCCCAGUGGGUUCGGCCGCCGACCUCGCCGAAUCACCCACUAGGUCUAUUUAGGCAUAUGUAGGCAAAAAAAGAGACUAGAUAGUAACCAGCUAUAACAUGUAACUACUACAAUGCCUGUACAAAGCUGAAAUCAACAGUAAUUACCAUAUGAAAUUGAUGCAUGCAUGCUGUUAAUCAUUAUUACUCAAUCAAACUGGUUAACCAUUUGGUUAACUAUAACUCACUAUAAAAUCCCUAAUAUCGGAGAGAAUUCCGCUACUAACCCGACGGGACCGUCUGCUGGACAAGUACGUUAGUCCAUGGGCAAGUACGUUAGCCCAUCGUGUGACAACUCCGGAGUGCACUGCUUGGGUGGAGCGACCACCGCCAAGCUAAGAACAGACUAUGUGAGUAUGAUACAAUCCUCGCUUAGAGGAUACAUUGACAAUGCCACACUUUAACUCUAACUAGCUCUUUAUGCUAGUUUUACAAUUCCAAUCUCGAUGCUAACCAAUUCUCUAGUCAUAAUGUCAUCAACUUCACUAUUGUCAUGGUCCACAAUAAUCCACAAUAAAUUCACACAUUCAUAGGGUUCUAUGUCCAUAUUCUAUUGUUCACAUGUUCCUUACAUUGACAGAAAUUCAAUUGCAUAAUGAUAAUUUCCCUAUAAUGCAUCUAUAUGUAUGCAUAUGUAUGUAUACUUGUGAAUAGUUGUUGGGAGAAUGAAACUUGAGCUAAGUAUCAGGAUUGGAACAUGAAAACCUGAGGUAAGGCUGGUAUGUAAGUUCUCUAAACUACUUGAAUUGAGGCUUGGAUGAUUAUAUAUUUCUAUACAAGUUAUGUAGUAGCAGAUUAUGUGAAACCUAAGCUCGAAAAUAUAUAUAUAUAUAUAUAUAUAUAUAGAGCAGGGCUGCUGUGCUCUCAGGAGCACGGAGGCCUCUGUGCUCCUGAGCCGUUUUCGAUGAUGGAGUUUCCGAAUCGACGAUCGGCUCUGUUAGACUUGAUCUAGCGCAUUUGAAGUUUCUAGAAAAUAAUUUUUGCGAUUUUUCGAUAUCAUUCACCUAGUGAUCGAAAGGAUUCAAAAUCUAUAAUUUUUAAUGGUUGAUAUCUGCCGUUUUCAAGUUUAAUGGUGUAGAAGUAUUCAAAUCAAAUGAAAUUUUGAUACAAAAUUCUUUAUACUAUCUAUAACAAUAUCAAUAUUUCUGAUAAAAAAUUUUAGUGCUAUAUCACCACUUUUUAUAGUUUUUUUAUUUUUAGCCAUUAAAAAUUAUUGAUUUUGAAUCAUUUCGAUUGCUAGGUUAAUGAUAUUGAAAAAUCGCAAAAAUUAUUUUCUAGAAAUUUCAAAUACGCUAGAUCAAGUUUAACGGAGCCGAUUGUCGAUUUGGAAAUUCCAUGAUCGAAAACGGCCCAGGAGCACGGAGGCCUCCAUGCUCCUAAGAGCACAGCAGCCCAGCUCUCUCUCUCUCUCUCUCUCUCUCUCUCUCUCUCUCUCUCUCUAUAUAUAUAUAUAUAUAUAUAUAUAUAGAGCUAGGCUCCUAUACUAUCUAUAAUAUUGGGGCUCCGGUACUAGUCUUGUUUUCAACCUUAGAGUUUUCAAAUCAAUGAUCCAUACCGUUAAAACUGAUCUAGGGUAUUUGAAGUUUUUAGGAAUAAAAUUUUAUAUUUUUUCGACAUAGUUUACUUUAUGAUCAAAGCGUUUCAAAAUUGUCAAAUUUCAAUGGCUACUAUGGCAAGUUUGUAAUUUAACGGUGUAGAAGAAUUUAAAUUUAUUCAAAUUUUGAUAGAAAAUACUUUAAACUAUCAAAAUCAAGGUCAACAUUCUUGAUCUUGAAUUCAAAAGUUCUAUGCUCAAAUUUUAAAGAUUAUUUAAUUUCCACUGUUCAUUUUGACAUGAUUUACUUACUAAGUAAACGAUAUCGAAAAAAACAAAAAAUUUAUUCCUAAGAAUUUCAUAUAGGCUAGAUCAUAUUUAACGGUGUGGAUCGUUGAUUUGAAGACACUAAGAUCGAAAACAAGACUAUAGUACCGGAGCUCCGGUAAUAUAGAUAGUAUAGUAGCCUAAUAUAUAUAUAUAUAUAUAUAUAUGAGAGAAUGUUCUAAAGACUAAUUUACAAGAAAAAACAGUAAGGCACAUGGCAAAUAAUUAUCAGCUUGAUAUGUUUCCUUCUAUAGGAUGAUCCAAGCAAUUUCCCUACAAGUUGGGGUGAUUUUAAUAGUUUCUUUCUAUGGCAUUGCUGCAUUUAUUUUCCUAUUUUGAGGAUUAGAUUGCUCUAUUGAAUAUGAUUGAGAUUUGUUUCCUUCUAUAGCAUGCACUAGGUGCACGGGUGUAUAUGAGAGGGAAAGAGAGAAAGUCUUCUCAUGAUAUAGAAGACAAAAGAAGAGUUAGUGAAAUUCAAAAAGAAAGCUCGGGUUGAAACUAUUUUAUGUAAAAGAGGAGACAAUUGUAAUUCUUUUCUUAGUUAGUAAAUAUUAUUUCACCUAUAUUUUUGCUGUUUGAUUAUUUCUUGGUGAGAAUAAAGGUUUAUGGUAAAAAUCAGAUUGGACGCUUUUGUUGCGAAAUCCUAACAAUCAGUACGUGAAUGAGUUCCAAAAAUUUACAGCCAGUGGUAUGGGAGUAGGUUGCGAAUUCUCAACAGCUCAAACCUACUCUUGGCAUCAUUGCAAUUAGGUGCCACCAAGAAGUGCUUUCAACUCUUCUGUUGGAGCUUUUGGUGUACAAAACAUGUGCAUGACUUCAAAAGCUGAAACUCAAGUAAGUAUGAGAUAUAACAAAAUUAGGUUGAACCUCUGUAAUGUCCUUGUGGUGCCACCCUUCAACGUUGACGACAAAGCCACUCCGGAGAGAAGAGAGGACAAAAGAGGAGAAGAAAGAUAGAAUGAGGGGACGAAGCAAAAGGAGAAAAGCGUGGCAUUUGCCCAAUUUAUUCAUUUCACAUAUUGUAUGGAUAUGAAAAUACUAGGCAAACGAUGUUUACGCUAAACAAGUUCCAAUAUAGAAGGACUAACACGAAAGCGAAACUCAAACAGCAUGUAUCUAGCUCCUACGUGGAAAUUAAAACAGAGGACCUUGUGGGUAUUAUUACAUUUAACUUUCAAACUACUGCAAUGCAACUUUCGGUCCUAUUUAUUUCCUUUUCGAUAGCUUGGCAUUCUUGCUCUUUGAAGGCCUUAAGUUACAAUCUAAAUUAUUUACACAUUUCUUUCUCUUUGUUAAAAUUGUUCAUUUCCUUGUAGCAGCCUUUUACUGCCUUCAACAUUUAAUUAAUUAUACCUUCAAAAUUUAACUGUAUAAAUCACGAUUUUUCUCAUUCUUAUAAACUAUUCUCAAAUAUAUUUCGUCCUCCAAAGUUGACUCAAAAGUACUACUUAGAAGUUUCUACGUUAAAUGCUCGAUACUAACAAGUUUUCUGCUUCAGGGCAUGUGUUUGUUAACCUUAGCAGUUUCUAUACCAGCACUGAAGCCACCGCCAUGCAAAGAAAGCUGUCCGCAAGCUUCAACACUACAACUUGGCGUAUUUUUCGCUGGAUUGUACAUAGUUGCGCUAGGAAACGGUGGAACAAAACCGAACAUUUCGACCAUCGGUGCGGACCAAUUCGACGAGUUCGAUGCUAAAGAACGAAUGCACAAACUUUCCUUCUUCAAUUGGUGGUUCUUUAGCAUCUUCCUGGGGACGCUCACUUGCAGGACAAUGUCGGGUGGGCAAUUGGAUAUGGUAUUCCGACAAUUGGUCUAGUGAUCUCGGUGGCGAUUUUCUUGGUCGGCACACCAUUUUAUAGGCACAAAGUGCCACAAGGGAGUUCGUUCGUUAAGAUGGCGAGGGUAUUAGUUGCAGCAGCAAAGAAAUGGAGGCUUAAGUUACCUAGUGACCCGAAGGAACUCCAUGAGCUGGAUUUGGGCGUUUACGAGAAGAAGAGAAACUUUAGGAUUGAUUCGACCAACUCGAUGAGGUUUGUAAGAUUUUAUUUAUUUCUGAAAUGGUGCAUUCUUAAUAUUAAUGAUGAAGAGGGCACCAAUAUGUAAACUUGAAUUGUUGAGUCAAGGGGUAAAAUCAGCAGAAACAAACUACGACAAAAAUGCUAAGAUCUUAUACUAAUACAUUGUCAAGUUACUACGACAAAAAUGCUAAGAUCUUAUACUAUUCACAAACAUCGCAAAUUAAGCAUUCUAUUAAGAUCUUAUACUAAUUACAUUGUCAAGUUACUAAUUUUCAUAAACGAUUUCAGGUUCCUGAACAAAGCUGCCGUUAAAGGCGGUUCUGACACCAAGUGGUCCUUGUGUUGCGUAACACAAGUCGAGGAGACAAAACAAAUUCUGCGAAUGCUUCCGAUAUUGGUCACAAUGUUCAUUCCAUGCACAAUUAUCUCUCAGACGAAUACCCUCUUCGUCAAGCAAGGCACGACUCUAAAUCGACACAUGGGUCGUCACUUCCAAAUCCCUCCGGCAAGCCUAGGAGCGUUCGUAACACUAACCAUGCUCAUCUGUGUCGUUCUCUACGAUCGUUACUUUGUAAAGAUCAUGAAACUGUGGACGAAAAAUCCAAGGGGGAUCACGCUCCUUCAAAGAAUAGGAUUCGGGUUACUCCUCCACAUCGUCACAAUGCUCGCUGCGUGCUUUAUUGAAAAGAAAAGGCUAAGCGUCGCAAGAAGUCACGGGCUAGACAGAAGUGGGGGCCAAGUUCCGCUGACCAUAUUCAUAUUACUUCCUCAAUUUGUUUUCAUGGGAGUAGCAGAUGCUUUUCUAGUGGUGGGGAAGAUAGAAUUCUUCUAUGAUCAAGCCCCGGAAAGCAUGAAGAGUUUGGGGACUUCAUUUUCUUUGACAGCUUACGGUGUCGGGAACUUCCUCAGUAGUUUUCUCCUUGCAUUCGUGUCGAAUAUAUCGAAAAGAAGAGGCAAGGGGUGGAUAUUGAACAAUUUGAAUGCCUCGCGCCUGGACUACUACUAUGUGUUUCUUGCAAUCCUCGGUGUUAUUAAUUUCAUCUUAUUCUUAGCUCUGAGUCGCAUUUAUAUCUAUAAGUUGGAUCUAUCCAAGUCAAUUGAUGUAGUGACUGAAGAUCGAGGGGCAUCGGACUGCCAAGCAGAGUCGAAGAGUUAAAACCGUCGUCGAAUAUAUAGCUGCUUUUGGAUACAGCAAUAAAUUUGUAUAAAUGUAUCACUGUUAUUUGGAUACAUUGAUAAGUUUGUAUCAUCUUUCUGUUUCACCAGCCAUAUGUUUCAACAUGUCACACUUAUACUAAUAAGAACAAAUUAUGUAUUAAUGCUUAUAUAUAUAUAUAUAAGAUAAUAUUGAUGCCCCAGUAAUAUACUUUCUUCUUUUUUAUUUUUUUAUUUUUUUUUGAAAAAUCUGAUAUAGAGAUAACUCACCACUCACCAGAGAUGAAAUUGAUUAUUAAUUUCUGCGUCCUGCUUUUCUCUGCUGUAAUCCGUAAAUUUUAGUUUAUUGCAUUUGCUGGUUCAAACUAUGAAAUUGUUCUAAUAUUAGUCGUAAAUUAUAGAUUGGAUGGGUGUUGUAGUCAAAAGAUGUUUUUCUCAAUGGGGAGGGAUUGGCCCCACUGGGACUUGGUCCAUAAAAACCACGUUUGGUUCGUACAAGAGGAGAAAUAAAUUCUUCUUUUCCUACUGGUUUUCGAACGCUGUGUUUGGCAUUUGAAAUGCAUAGUUUUAUUUUCGGAUUUCUGGAAUAAGUCGGUAUAACCCGGUAUAGGGCUUGAACUGUUGUUCCAUCCUUUUUUCUAGACAAAACUUAUUUCCAAGUAGAAACAAUUAAUUUUAAUUAUUGUAUUAAAUUAUUAAUUAAUCUAAUUAAUAUAGUUGAAUCAUUAUUCAUUGCUUAAAUAAUAAAAUAAUUAAUUAAUUUAUUAUAUAUAAUUAAUUAGCUAAUUAAUUAUUAAUAAUUUAAUUUGUCUAUCCAUAAACUAAAUAUUUAUAUUGAUCAACCAUUAAUAUUUCUAUUAAUCUAAUUAAUUUUUUACUAGUUAUCCAACUUAAAUAAUUUACUAACUAAUUAAAAAUUUAAAUUAUACUUUAUAUUUAAUUAAUUAAUUAAUAUAUUUUUAUUAUCUUAUACAAUAUUCAUAGUUAAUGAAUUUAUUAAUUUAUUAAAUUAUUUUUAAUUAAUAUUUUGAUGUUAAUUAAUUAGAUUUUUAAUUUAAAAUUAUAACUCUUAUUCCUCUUGUUCCAAUAUAAUCAUCCAAAUACUAUUUACCUUAUUCUAAAAAACAACCAAAUUUUCAUUUAAACACAAAAUUGAUCUGAUUCCCUAUUUAUAUCUGAAACUUGUAUUUAUCUCUGGAAUUAGCAGUUCUUAUUUAUAUCCGUACCAAAAGUAGCCUAAACAUAUACCACUGUGACAAAGUUGACAUAUCUACCUAAACAUUGUUGACUAACUAGAUCCUUCUAAAUCAAAAGGUGCGUAUAAACGAAUAAAUCAUCCCAUAAUAGUUGAGGCCGAUCAUCUUGCAGAAGGAAUUUGCUAUCCCUAAAUAUUGAGAUUAUGCUAUUAUCUCUCUAUGAUAUGUAACUAGAGAGAACAGAAAAACAACUUAACAGGGAACAAAUCCAAGGUAUCAAGGAUCCAGAACUUUUUCAAAUAUCUAGUAUCCCUCAAACGCAUCAAUGAUGAUAAUAAUGAUGCGUUUGAGGGCUUGUUUAGAUGUCAGAACAAAAUAUCCAAUAAUAACAUUUUUCUCAUGUGAUUGGAAACUAGAUGUUUAAUUUUUUACUCGUUUAAAGGUAUUGGCAUCAACAGUACGGUAGAAUACUUCACUUAUCAAAUUAUCUAUUUUAUAAUGAAUAAUAAUUUGCCUCAUUUGUCAAAUACUAUAUACUUCUUGAUCGAGCAGAUCAAAAGAAUGUUCUGAAUAAGUUAAUACAUGGGACUCGUUUCGUUCGUGCUAUACAAUAUUUCUAAUUAGUUCAAUAUAACUAGAAAUUUGAUUCCUGCAUACCAGAUUACUACUAAUGCUGUAUCAUAGAUUAUGGUUCAGUGUAGUAACGUAACGGCGGGUUAUUGCACAGGCAAGAUUGUUGUAUUUGGUUUAUCUCAUAGAUUUAGGUAAUCCUGGCAACAAAGUUUAUACUAUUUCAAUUCAAUAAUACCCUUGCAAUCAUAUUCAUUUAAAAUUUCAAUGUAAAUUUGAAAUUCAAGGACCCUAAAAAUAUCAUGUGCUAAAUUAGAAUGGGCAAGCAUGUUCCCCACCGUCUCCCUACCCGCUACUAUCCUCCCCGACGCGGUGGUCCUAGUUAUCCCUGUCCACCUGCCCCUCGUAACCCUCCACCCCCUCCUGUCCCUUGCAACCCUCCGCCCCCACCCUUUUCCAACCUUGCCCCUGCUUCACUUGGAGAGUCACAUGUCCGUCACGGGUUCUCUUUCAAGGAUGCAAUCUUGACCCCACUUCCCUUUCGCCUCUCUCCCCUCUCGACCCAGAAAGUCGCUGCCCUAAUCCCUCCCUUCCUCCCCACCCACCCAACUUUCUUCUCAACCCUUUCCUUAAGGGACGCUGUUUUAGGUGCUUUAAGAGGGGGCAUCGUGCCGCCCAUUACAGAGAGCUGCGGCACUGCCUCCGCUGUCACGCUCCCGAUUCUUCAUUUUUUCGGACACGCUAACAGAUCCGGCGUGUACAAAGAAAUUUCUCCUGUAUACGAAGCGAAGCUGUACAUGUACCUGCAAUCGUACAAUACUACGACCAGUAGUAUAGAGUUGCUAGAAAGGAACAAAACAUAAAUAAAAAUAGAAGUUCACUAUACAUACAUAACAUCCAGGUGUACAAAACGCUUGCUCCAGCGAGAUACAACAAGUAUGUAUAAGAACUCAAAACUACCACUACCUGUAGCUGGUAUACUCUAGAUCAGCAGCAACUGGGAAGGGAUCUAACUCGAGACUCCCUUUCCACGAUCUGAAUCAGUAGCAGCAGCAGCAACCGAAGAAGAAGGCUCUGCAAAAGAUUACAACAACUAGGCGUGAGAACUACUGUAAAAAGAAGUAGUCUUCAGUGGGUACCGCUACCGACCUCAACGGCUCGCCCACUAAGUCUACAGAUGUAUGCUUAAAUGAUAGUAAGAAAACUGAAAACAAUCUACAGCUAUAUACCACUACACUAUCAUGAUUCGACACUACUAUCUGUAGAAUGAAACAAGCUGAUCCAAACUCACUAGGGACUAUAAAUAUACCCGUCCCAGGGACUGUGAGUACACCCGUCCCGCCUGUCGAAGCUAUACAGCUACCUCCACACUAAACAGUCCGUGGAGAGCAAGUCCAACCAGGACACAACGACACAAACGCAAACGCACAAAGCCCGACUCCGGAGUGGCACUUGUGGGCGCUACACAACCAAGUAUACAAGCGUAUCUCUGUCGAGCUGAAUCAGGCUCUCACAGGCUAAGAUCAAAGUAAAUAGGGUCCAACUGAUCUAACAACUAAACUCACGUACCCUCGGCAUAAUCUGAUGCAAAAAACAGCAAUCUGGGUCCACCGUCAACCUCAACGGCAUCCGACAGUUCGGAACAGCCUAAACACUGCUGUAAAAAUAAGCUCGGCAUCCCAGCACGAGCGUAAUUACAUUCUACACUAUUCUGGGUAUCCACCACCUACUAACUGUUGUGAUACAAUCAAACUACGGCUCCUAGAGCUAAAUCUGGUAGUUUAAACAUAUGACGUUGUAGAAUCGCUGGUUUUCUCCUAAGUCAUAUCCAAGUCCAACAUAUAUAUAUAUAUAUAGCUAACAUAUUAGGCUCCAAUUCAGAUUUUAAUCAUGCUAAACCAAUGAAUCGAGCAACUACAAUAUGCUAAGCAAAACGACGUAUACAUGUUGACUAUAAUCAACUUAGAAGGAAAUCAGCAGAAUUCGGUAAGCAUCACAUUUAACCCACCUCUCGCGCAACUCCACGGCAGCAAUAAGGUCACGAGUAUGCUGGAAGCCUCAGCCGAACACACCCUCAACCAGCAACAAAACACUUUAAAGAUCUAAACACCAAAAAUCACCAAAAUCUAUCAAUCUACUAAAAUUCAGCACUUAAGCUUAAUUUUCUCACAACUCCAAUGUCAAAACUCACCUAGCAAUCUUCAAUUCAGGUGAGGAAGGUUCCAAAUCCAGUAGACUAUGAUGGAGAAUCACCCUCUGAUCCAAAACCCAGCUUCCUCCAAAGAUUGCAUCAAGAACACCAAAACAACUAAAAUCAGUCCAAAACCACCAACAGCAGAGUAAAACUCAAAAUCAACCAAUCUAACCUCAACCAAAAUCUAUCAAAAUGGGCUCCACGAAUUCCUCUUGGAGUCCUGAAUCCACCAAACCAAGUUUCAUGGAAAACGGAGCUUCCUACGUUGCACACGAGCCAAAACGCCGGCGGUUGCUGCUGGAAUUCUGCUGGAACUACAGUCCUCAAGCUUCAAUUUGUGGAAUUUGGAGAAAUUGGAGUAAGCUAAGGAGUUUGGAUGCAAUCUAAGCCUUCACUGUGAAGAGAGGAUGAAAAGAGUUCACUAGGGUUGAACUCUAGCUAUUUGUAGUGAGCUGGAAGGAUAAAAUAAGCCCCAUAAACAAACACUACAAACCUGCUACACCUGCAGGAAUGCGCACUUUCGGGUGCCCAAAACCCCUUUCUGGGCAUCCGAAACCUCCACGCUACACCAAUCCUCUUGGUCGGUUCCUCCGCCUGCAGUCUGCUGCGCCCAUAUUCUAGCCCGGCGGACCUCACCUACCACCAGCCAUGCGUCAGCUUAAACGAUAUUCAUGAGGUGAACUUUCGGACCUACAACCGGGCGCCCGAAACCAAGAUCCGAAUUGGCUUCCAGUUCAGUUCAAACCAGCACUCAAGUUCUGGGCGACCAAAUCUAGUUCUGGGCACCCGAAUCUGGCAAAACUCCAGUUUUGUUUAUUUGAGUGCGCCGAGUCCAUUUCUGCAUCCAUUUCGUGCAGAAACGACUCUGACUCAGUCUGACACUCUCCAAAUGUAUCGACCAGUCACUAAUACUAUAGCCAAUCCUAUCCAAACCUCAGGAACACUACAUCCUUCCCCACUACAAAAAGUUUCGUCUCCGAAACUUAAAUUCAUACCUCAAUCCGGAGUAUCAAACAGGUAGGGGUAGGACUCUAGCAUCACUGUCUCCGGCUCCCAAGUCGCCUCCCGCUCCUCGUGAUUACUCCAUUGCACCUUUACAUAAGGGAUGACCCGGUUGCGCAAUUCUUUCGUCUCACGAGCCAGAAUUCGCACCGGUCGCUCCUCAUAUCUCAGGUUCUCGCCAAGCUUUAGCGGUGUGAAGUAAAUCACGUGAGAGGGAUCGAAAACAUAUCUCUUCAAAGCCGAGACGUGGAAAACAUCGUGGAUGCCGACUAGCCACGGGGGUAGAACAAUCCUGUAAGCAACUGGCCCAACUCGCUCGAACACCUCAAAAGGGCCAACAAAGCGUGGACUCAACUUUCCACGCACUCCAAAUUUGCGUAUGCCUCUUGACGGCGAGACUUUCAGAAACACAUGAUCUCCAACCUGGAACUCUAAGUCUUGUCUCUUGGUAUCGGCAUAGCUCCUCUAGCGGCUCUGGGCUAUCAAAAGGUGUCGUCGCACUGCUCUAACCUUUUCCCCAGCCUCUAGUAAAAUCUCAGGCCUAGCGUCUUCCUUUCACCUACAUCACUUUAAAACAAAGGGGAUCGACAUCUGCGCCCAUACAACGUCUCAAAUGGAGCCAUCUAAAUGCUCGUUUGAUAGCUGUUGUUGUACGCAAACUCAGCCAGUCUCAAAUGUCGAUGCCACCCUCCUCCAAAGUUCAGGACACAUGCCCUCAGUAUGUCCUCCAGAGUCUGAAUGGUCCGCUCUGACCGAUCAUCCGUCUGUGGGUGAAACACCGUGCUGAAAUGUAACUGAGUACCCAAAGCUGUCUGAAGACUCCUCCAAAAGUGUGAAACAAACCUCGGGUCCCUGUCUGACACGAUCGAAAUCAGUAUACCUUGCAAUCUCACGAUCUCAUCCAGAUAUAGCUGAGCGAGUCUCUCCUUAGACCAGGUGGUGUAAUACACUGGAUCUUAGCAAAUCGCAAGAUUCGAGUGUUUGAUCUGUGUUUGGAGCUUUCCCACAGUUUUUGGAGGAUCGUUGAUAGUGUCCCGACCCCUGGCACGCAUCCCGAGGAUGUUGGAGUGGGACUUGGCACCAAAAUUCCAAAAUCGGAAUUUUUGGACAGCUCUCGGGUAGCCUGCAGCAGGGCUUGUACCGGAACAAGACUGGCCUUGUACCGGUACAAGGGUUGAUGGUUGUACCGGUACAGCCAUCGGACUUGUACCGGUACAGAGCCGCAGACCGCGCGACCCGAGCCUCGGGUUUGCAAUUUCGUCGGCCUUGUACCGGUACAAGAGCCCGUGUACCGGUACAAGGAGGCAGAUUUCGUGCAGUUUGUUCUGCAGGGGUGUUUUUGCUAUUGUAGCAAUACUAUAACAGCACCCACGCCCCUAGGGCUCUUCUUUGAGCUUGCCACUGCAGGGAGCAAGGUAAGGAGAGCUUAUCUUUGCUUCUCUUUGGUUUUAAUCUCCCUCUAGCUUAGAUUUUGAAGGAUUAAUCCCUUUUCUUUCCUCUUUUAUGCUUCUCCACCAUUGAUGGAGCUAGAAGCUUGGAUUUGGAGCUAAGUGGAGGAUAGAUCUUGGGAUUUAAAGGAUUUAGAGCUUGAUUUGAAGCUUCUAAGAGGUAAGCAUUACACUAUCUUCCUCUAGAUUUGAGUUUCAUUGGAUUUCAUGAGAUGAAACCCUAGAUUGUGAUAUUAGGGUUUAUUUUGGGCAUUUUGAAUCUAGGGCUUUUGAAGCUAGAUUGAUCGGAUUAGAGGCUUCCAUUAGGUUGGAUUGGAUGAGCCCUAGCUUCAUUUUGGAGCUUUAGAGGAGAUUUUGCACUAGAGGUGAGUUCUUCUCACCUAUACUUGAUUAGCUUAAUGAUUGAGCUAUUGAUGGUUCGUUUCGUUCGUGUGACGCAUGUUUCUCUACCUCUAGGGUACUAGGAGACUAGAGGACACCCUCGUUGGAGCGCACGAGGAGUUUCGUUGCCAUCGGUGGGUUUGGCUUCGGGGAAAUGGGGCGAAAUGACCCCUAUGCUCUUUCUACUUAUUGUAAAAUAUUUUUAAGUUCAUUUCUAUGCUAAAUGGGAUUUAUAUGAAUUUUAGAGCACUUAAAAUGCAUGCCUCGUGUAUUAUGAAAAUUUCACUAUAUAGUAGAGCUAUAUGAGUAGAAUGCAUGCAUAUGGGAAAAGUGUUUAUUUUACAAGUGGAAAAUACAUCUCUUAUGAGGAUUAUGACUUGGAAUAUGUGCUUUGGAACAUAGUUGCCAUGUUUUGACAUAGAAAACAAGAGUGUCAUAAAGGGGCACUCGAAACUAGUGAACUAUGGAACUGCAACAUAGAGAUAUAUUGAUAGGCCUUUGUACAUCUGCUAUAUAUAUUCCAUGUUAAAGACAUGAUGACAUAGAGAUAGGUCUUUGGGACUGUCACGCCCCGGGACCGGCGGAGGCCCUCCCGGUAGCGUGCCCAGACCCGCCAUAUGUCUGCACAUAUAAGGCGUCUACAACAAAAGCGAAAGUAAAAGCAAGAGAUAGAACAAAUAUAGGAAAUGAAAUAACUAGCAACUAAUGAUAUCAGAGCAAGUACAGAUCUAUCGUCUACACCAAGUAAAGAAAUAAAGCUAGACAAUAAAAGAAGCCAUAAGUAGUACAAUAUCUAUCUCAAAAGUACAACAACGGUGGUCUCUAGUACACUGGUAGAACUCUCAACCUCCCGCAAAAGGAAACAAAAAUCGAGAGGUAGACCACCUAGCAACUCGUCCUCGAAGGAAGCUAGCUCGAAGCAACUCCCUUCCCGCGAUCCCUGGCCUCACCCUGAGUGGAAGGCUCUGUAAAACAUCGAGAAAAAGAGGGCGUGAGAACUAUAAUUUAUAGUUCCCAGUGGGCAAUUACUGACCUCAGCUCUAAGCACCACUAGGCCCCAAAAGGAAAGGGUAAGUACUAUAGCAAUAAUAAGAGUAAUAGCAACAACAAUACGAAAGCAUAAAUGAAGUGCUAAACCGCUAUAUCUCAAGUAAACAUGAUGUCAUGGUGAUGUACAUCUCGUCCAUGUUUAGAUAAUAUGUCAAUAGCAUAAAGAGUAAGCUCUAACCAAGCAACGAGUAUCUACGAUGCAUAAUGAAAACGGUAAGUACGCUAUAUGCCAAUGCUAGUAAUCAUGGCAUUGUCAAGUAUCGAACUACUAAACCAUCUAGUAGGUGAAUUAUUAUAUUUGCAAACUGUCGAUUGUCCAUUUCCAAUUGGGGACUUCUACCAAUAGGAUAGUCCAGUUGUGCCGCCUAAGUGCCUGUGGGUUAGCCGACAUUCCUACUUCUGGAUGUGUCUUCCCACUCGGACCGUAGGCUUCUCAAUACCGCCACGAACGAACAUAGUCGCGUAGGCUAACUCCGGAUGCCGGUCGGCUUGUAGGAGCGACCUCACAAGCAUGAUGACGAAUAGCCACAAAUGGCAGCAAGCAUUGUCAAGUUCAAAUAAUCCAACAUCAUGGUCCCUAACAUGGUAUCAUAUACUAGCAUCGCCGAAGAUUUACUAAGUCACAAGUAUGAAGUUUCAAAGUUUGCUACGCGUCUAGUGCCCUGAUGAAACUUAGGCAAUUUGAUGUUCGACAUGUUUUCCAAAUCCCUCAAUGCCCUAUCUAUAAAUUCACACAAGUCCUGAGCUCAAUGAUCGCUGAUGAACUUAGGCUCUCCAAUUUCACAUGAUAUCAAGUUCGAUGCCUACAUAUGAAGCAAUUGUCAUCUUCAUGUCUCAAUUAAACUUAUGUUUAAACGCAUGAUCAUAGCUCAUUUAUCUCUAGAACCAUGAAAUCAAACCCCUAUAGAAUGCUAAAUGCAACGCAAGAUCUCCCAAACAACUCCUCUACUACAUAGAGUCCAAAGAUACAUCAUAUAUAACAUAUGUUAAGCAUUCUAAAAAUCAUAAUAAAUACAUUUAAUUGAAAAUGCAUAGAUUAAUUAGUAACAAAGCACUUAUCCACAAAUAUGAGAUUUUCUCAUAUCAAAGGCUAGGUCAAACCCACGACGACAAACGAAGCUUUUCGGUUGCUCCGAUGGAGGUAUCAUAGCUUCCUAGCACCCUAGGAAUAUCAAAAGGGUGUCAUCAAUCGAUACGAAGAGUAAUAAGCUCGAUCCUUUAACCUAGGAGCAAAAAGGGUCAAACUCACCUCAAAGUAGAAAUCUUCUAUUAAGCUCCAAAGAGAGCUAGGUUCAACCAAUCAAGCAAGGAAGCUUCUAAACCACAAUCUAGUCUCUUAAAGCCUAGAAUCAAAAUCCCUAAAUAAACCUAAGUAUCAAUCUAGGGUUCGCACAUCAAAAUUUUCAGCAAAAAUAUGAUCAAAGCGUCAAAUCAUGUUGCUAACCUCUCUAGAAGCUUCAAAUCAAAGCUACCAAAUGCUUAGGUUCCAGAUCUCUUCCUCCACUUAGCUCCAAUCCAAGCUCUUGGCUUCAACCAUGGUGGAAUAGACCAAAAGCGAAAAAGGAGAGAAGAAUCUAUCAAAAACAUGCAAAAAGGGGAUCAAAUCCAAGUGGUAAGGGUGGAGAGGAUUCCCUUACUUUUUCCCUGCAGUGGAGAGCUCAAAGAAAGGCCUAGAGAGUGGGUGUGAUAUAAGAGACCCACAAACGCAAAAAACACCCUGCCAGUACAAACUGUGCAGAAUUUGUCCUCUGUCCGGUACACGCGGAUCUUGUACCGGUACAAGAGCUACGAAAUGGAAAACAAAGGCUCGGUGCGUGUCCUGCGGCACUGUACCGUGUAAAGACCCGAUGGCUGUACGGUACACAUCAACUUGUACCGGUACAAGACCAUCCUAUGUACCGUACAAGGACUGUGAAAAUGCAAACCGAGGCUCGGGUUUGCGAGUUCUCGGUCGUGUACGGGUACAGGCCCACCUGUACCGGACAGCCCGCAGACAGCCAAUCGAGAGGCUGACCAAAAUUCAAAUUUCUGCGGUUUUGGUGCAAGGCUUUUUACCACAUCCUCCUCGGGACCCGUGCCAUAGGUCGGAACACAGUCAGACCUACAGACUAUGAAAAAAUCUCCGGAUAUCUGUCCAAGCACUCGGAACUCGCAAUUUUGCAAGGUCCAGUGGUCAGCAUGGGGCACUGCGAUACAUUCCAUGUUAUUAGAAUGAGGAUUGUACUUGCGACGAUUGUUGACUACUUGCCAGUGCUCUAUUCGCCAAUGCUUGUGAGGGUCGUUCCCUACAAGCCGGCACUCCGGAGAUAGCCAUCGCGAUACAUAUUCGCCGUGCGGGAUUGUGCGCCGAAGUGGAUUGCCGUGGACAGGCUCAUCCCUAGGGUGGGGAUGAUGACUACACGGGGCCAUUAGGCUCGGCACCGGCCAGACAGCCUACGGGUGGGUCUCAGGGCCAUAGACAGCCUUCGGGUGGGUCUCUUCAGAUUGGGCUAUAUAUAUAUAUAUAUCCAUUAUGACAUGUGGACAGAUGACGACUUAGUGUACUACUUGGACAUUGAUUAGAAUAGUAAACAACGGAACUUCACUAUUUCACAUUGUGAACAUCAUGAUAGUUGGAGACAUUUACUUUAUGCAUAGUUGCUUUCAUACUUAUGCUAUUCAUGCUAAGUAGAGAUAUCAUGUCGUAGUAGGUUACAUAUUUACUUACCUGUCGCCUUUCUACUUUUAUUGUCACUGACAUAUUUUGUAGCUUUGGGCCUUGUGGUGCAUGCACUGAAGUCAGUAAUUGCCCACUGGGAACUAUUUUUAAUAGUUCUCAUGUCCUCGUUUUAUGGUUUCCUUUUCAGAGCCUUCGGCACCGGCGGAGGCACGGGAUCGCGGCAAGGGGAUCGCGUAGCUAGCUAGCGAGGAGCUUACUUGCCUAGGUGGUUUACUCUUUCUUUUGUAGUUGAGAGAGAGUGAGAGUUUUGUACCCUGUAUAGAGACCACCUAUGUAUCUACUCUUAGCACUUGUAUUUGGAAUUUCCUCUUGUAUUUACUUUAUGCCUUAUUUAGUGGAUUUACAGCUUUUCCUCACCCUUUGUUGUAGCAUUUAGACAUUUAUUAUGCUCUGAUACUCCUAGAUGUCUUUUAUUAUUGCUUUUAUUAUUGUUGUUUUUAGACGCCUUAUAUGUUGAAGACAUAUGGCGGGUCUGGGCACGCGCCGGGCGGGCUUCCGCUGGGUCCCGGGGCGUGACAGGUGGUCUGUACCGGUAAGAAGUGAGCAGACGUAGUUAGUCUGUCCACUAUCAUCCAAAUAGCAUCGAAACCACUCUGUGCUCUAGGCAAUCCCAUGACAAAAUCCAUCAUGAUCUGCUCCCAUUUCCACUCGGGCACUGGCAGACUCUGAAGCUUGCCAGUAGGUAUCUGAUGCUCUGCCUUUACUUGUUGGCAAGUCAGACACUGAGCUACAAAUCUGCCAAUGUCUCUUUUUAUUCCAUUCCACCAGAAUUGUGCCUUCAAAUCCUUAUACAUCUUGGUUCCAGUAGGGUGAACCGUAUAAGGUGAACAAUGAGCCUCUUUCAAAAUAUUCUCUCGGAUCUCUGAAUCCACAGGCACACAGUCGAUCCCUGUACUGCAGUACUCCUGAACUGUCCACAGCAAAACCCACAGCCUGUCCCCUCUCUAAUUGCUCUCGAAUGCUCAGUAAGUGCGAGUCUCAAUUUUGUUUCUCCCGGAUCAUAUCGAACAGAGUGGGCUGCAAGACCAUAGACAUCAGUCUCGCAGUAGACCCAGGGGACAGAACCUCAAGUCUCAACUGCUGUAGCUCCACAAGCAACGGAGUAAUCAUCGUGGAACGGAGUAAUCAUCAGGCUCAAGCUCUGCACUUACUUCCUGCUUAACGCAUCUGCCACCACAUUUGCCUUGCCGGGAUGAUACUGAAUACUAAUGUCAUAUUCCUUCAGUAACUCCAACCACCGGCGUUGCCUCAGAUUCAACUCCUUUUGGGUGAACAAAUACUUGAGACUUUUAUGAUCAGUAAACAUCUCGCAGCGCUCGCCAUACAAGUAAUGCCGCCACAACUUUAAUGCAAAAACCACUGCAGCGAGCUCCAAGCCAUGCGUAGGGUAAUUCUUCUCGUAAUCCUUCAAUUGUCGGGCAGCAUAAAAAAUUACCCUACCAUGCUGCAUCAACACACAGUCCAAACCACUAUGCGAUGCAUCACUAUAGAUCACAAAUCCUUCCCCCAUCACAGGAAGGGCAAGGAUAGGAGCCGACGUCAACCUCUGUCGCAACUCAUCAAAACUCCUCUGACAAUCCUCAUUCCAGAUGAACUUAAUUUCUUUACGAGUCAAUCGAGUGAGGGGUAUGGAAAGCUUCCCAAAGCCUUCCACAAACCGACGGUAAUAUCCAGCAAGUCCAAGAAAACUCCGCACCUCUGUCACCGUCGUCGGUCUGGGCCAAUCCUGAAUAGCAUCAAUCUUCUUCGGGUCCACUGCUACUCCAAUUGCAGAAAUCACAUGGCCCAAGAAAGCAACCUCCCGUAACCAGAACUCGCACUUCUUCAACUUGGCAUACAACAUCUUCUCUCUCAGAAGCUGUAGUACAAUCCUCAAGUGCUCCUUAUGCUCGGUAUCACUCCGGGAGUAUAUAAAAAUGUUAUCUAUAAACACAACCACAAAUCUAUCCAGCAACGGCUUGAACACUCUGUUUAUUAAAUCCAUAAAUGCAGCAGGAGCAUUUGUCAAUCCAAAUGGCAUCACGGUAAACUUAUAAUGCCCGUACUGAGUCCGAAAAGCCGUCUUGCGAACAUCCUCGGCCCUCACCCUCAACUGGUGGUAACCUGACUGAAGAUCAAUCUUCGAGAAGACACAAGAUUCUUGCAGCUAAUUAAACAAAUCAUCGAUGCGGCAAAGGAUACUUGUUCUUAAUAGUAACUUUAUUCAGCUCCCUGUAAUCCACACACAAUCUAAGUGAACCAUCCUUUGUCUUCACGAAUAACACCGGCGCUCCCCAAGGUGACACACUGGGUCUCACAUACCCCUUAUCCAUCAGAUCCUGAAGCUGUGCCUUUAGCUCUCUCAGCUCUGCCGGUGCCAUUUGAUAAGGUGCCUUCGAGAUUGGUGCAGUUCCAGAAACUACAUCAAUCACAAACUCGAUCUCUCUCUCCGGCGGCAUCGUCAUCAACUCCGGGAAAAACACAUCCGAAAUCUCACGGACUAUAGGGAUAUCCUCGAGUCCCGGCGCCGCCGUAGGCACCUCCACAACCGUAGCAAGAAAAGCAACACAUUCUCUACUCAUCAGUUGUCGAGCCCUCACCGAAGAUAUCCAAGUGGCAAACAACGUACUCCUGCAGCCUUUAAAACUGAACUCCUCCUGGCCUGGCUCGCGGAACAUCACAGUUCUCGCUCCACAAUCGAUAGUACCAUAGUACCGCGCCAGCCAAUCCAUACCGAGCACAACGUCAAAGUCCUGCAGCUGCCCUAAGACCAACAGGUUUGCGGACAUGAUCCUAAGACCAACAGGUUUGCGGACAUGAUCCAAAAAUCUAACUGCACCGGACAUGACCAACAACACUCCGCAACCUGUAAAACAUGGUCGGGGAUCUGCACCUUUCGUGCAUGAGACAAUGACCCUAACUCUAGACCACACAACAAUGCAAAUGCUUGGCUAAUAAAAGAAUGCGAUGCACCGGUAUCAAAAAGUGUACGAGCUCUAAUGCCGAAAAUCAAAAUGAUACCUGCCACCACUCGGUCGGUUGCUGUAGAAUUCUCCACCUGAGCUGCAUAUACCUUGCUGCUCGGAGCUUGCUGUCGUCGCUUACCCUGACGCGGUACAGAUGCUCUAUCCUCCUCACGGUAACUCGGCGGUACCUCGUAAGACUGCUGGGGUGCUGGCUGAGCUGAUGCUGUCGAUGGUGCUGGUGAUGCUGCUCGGGGACAAGCUGACCUCAUGUGUCUAGGCUGACCACAAGUAAAAUAGCGGCCCUCUCUAUGCUACUCGACUAUCCUCCGUUAUCUGGAAAGGGAUGCUUUCUUUCCUGACUCUGCCCCGGCACCUGAGUCCUCUCCCGAAUAGAUGCAUCACCUCGCUCUACUCACAGGGCAUGCUCUAUAGACGCGUCCAAGGUCCUCAACCUUUGCGCCUAUACAAACCUGAAAAUCUCGGGUCUCAAACCUCGCUCAAAUAGGUAAACCCUGUGCUCCUCAUCCCUGGCCACAAAUGGGACAUAGUUCAGAAGUCGAGUAAACUCUCGGAUGUACUCCUGAACUAUCCGCUCCCCCUGCUUGAUCUUCUUCAGAUCCUCCUCGAGCUUCUGCUUUACAUUAUUGGGAAAAUACAUCCUAUACAGUAUGCCACAGAACUCAUCCCAUCUCAUCUACGAAGACACCACCAACCCGUAGUCUCUCAUCACGCUCCUCCACCAUGCAUAUGCAUCACUUGCCAAGCAGUGAACUCCCAGGUGUACUUGCUCCCGCUCAGGAAUGAACAGAUCCUCAAACAGUUUCUCCAUCAUGCUGAUCUAGCUCUGAACCCUGGCCUCUGUGCAACUGCCAUCAUAGGUCGGCGGAUCAAAACGACGAAAGCAGGCAAGUCUCUCAGCUAUCCGCUCCUGCUCAGCCUCAGUCAGCUGUGGUGCCUCACCAAAAGAUGCAACUGGUGCUGUAGGAAUUGACACUGGUGGAGGUACUGUUGCAGUUGGGGCUGCCACUGGACUAGUCGGAGGUGGAACUGGCUGCUCUGGUGCUGUACUCUGCGGCAGAGAUAACUUCCUACACAUCUUCUGUAACAACGCCGCCUACUGCCUCGUCACCUCUGUCAAGGCAGCAAACUGCUCACUCAGAUCAGGGGGUGUACUCGUCUCUGGUCGUGCACUGGGCUCUGCCUGCUCAGGCAUCACAAGAGGUGCGGCACGAUUGUAACAUACCAGAUUUUGGUAUAAAAAUAAAAAAUAAAUAAAAAUAGUGUGAGAAACUAUUUUUAUUUGAUUUAUAGAAGUAAAACAUAAGUCAGAAGUGACUUGUGCUGAAAUCGGAAUGAAAACAGAAGAUCUAGAAUUUUCUGUUGGAAACGGGACAAAUAAAUUAGCAGAAAGUGCACAAUCUCAGAAAAUUAUGAAAAGUAGAGGAUAAGUGGGAAAUAUUUUUAUGAGGCUAGAUUUAAAAUUUCAUAUUUUUCUGACACCCGUAGAGUGAGAAAUAAAAUCCGACAGCUAUCUGAUAAAGAUUACAGUUCGGUACAGUUUUCAGUGACCAAACGAGGUCGAAACUGAAAACUUAAGAUAUAUUCUUACUUAGUACGUUAAACAGAGCCUGUCUGUCAGAUUUGAGCCCAAACGGACAUUCAGAAGGGCUCCAACUGUUCCGAACUGCUAAACUGCUGCCCGAAAUGAAUAGUGUAAUUGUUGAGGGGCUAUAUUGUAAAAGAGCAUUGCUCUUCUUCCUCCCUCAACCGUGCAGCCCCGACACACCCGCACGCCAUAGACACACACACGCAAGGAGAGGAGAAAGAGAAUCCUCCCUUAUCUCUCUCUAAAUUCUCUCCCAAAAGAGAGGGUUUUGGUGGAGAAGGAAGCUUGGAGGAAAGUUAUCUUUUUCAUCUUCCUCUUUAGCCAUUGGAGAGCAAGCUUUGAAGGUAAGCUUCAAAACUCUUUAAUGGCAUUUCUCCCUAGUUUGGUUUUUAAGCUCUAAGAAUGGGUUUGAGGUAUUCUAGCAUGCUAAUUAGAGGUUUGAUGCUUGAAACCAAGGCUCUAAUGGUGGGUUUUUACCUAGUAGUAAACCUAGGGAUCAAAAUGUAAUUUUUGGAAAUAUGAUGAUUUGAUCUAAAUUGAACCUAUAUAAACCUAAUUGCUAGGUAAACGAACGCGCCGGCGAAGUCGGUUCGGCGAUUCGUCGAGCCGGUGCGAAGUUAUUAAAGAAACGGACGUUUAGGCUUCAUUUCCGCCUGGAGGGCCGAGGCGACAUCGUAAACUCAUGAAAACGGAUUUGAAGCAUCGUGGCACAUAACCGAAGACCUUUAAUUUCUGGAUCGUGAAUUGGAGGCCGUUUGGGUGGUCGCGCGAGAGAUCGGGCCAAACCGGGUGCCGGGUGCCGCUGGCGGCCGAUUGCAAGUGUCGACAAGCAAUCGGAAAGUAUUUUGAGGUGGGUUGUGUUUACCGAAGUGACUAAGUCACCUUCAUGUCAAAGUGAAACAUGAGAUUCAUAUAGAUGCAUAUUAUUAUGUAUGCUAAUUGAUAGUGCAUGAUGAUGCAUUGAAGUGCAUGCUAGUUGAUAAUGAAAAAUUGAUAUGUUGAAGUAUGUGCUAGAUGAUAUUGCAUAUGAACACAUGAUGACAUGAUAUAGAGAACAUGAACAUACAAAUGAAUGUUAACGCUUUGUUAAUCAUGUGAGUUAUGAGAUCAUGUUGGAUAAUGCUUAGUGACAUAAUGAGAAAUUGUUAAUUAUAUAUACACGUUAGCAUUAUGUAAAUGUAUGCUAGUUGGUAGAACACAUACUAGUGAUAAUUGCAUAAUAAUGCAUUGGAAAGUACAUGCUAGAAACUAGAUGCAAGCGAGAUAUAUAUGUGCAUUGGAAUGUAUGCUAGGUGCAUGUAGCAUUAUGUGAGCCGGUUGGAUAAAAUGCAUAAGUGCAUCAUGUGAAUACAUGUUAAAUGGUAUGGCAUAUUAACACUAUGAAAAAUAUAUGCUAGAGGAAAAUGUUUAGUGACGUACUAAGAAUAUGUAGCUAUAACUCGAUGUGGACAAUUAGGUGUCAACUAGAUCGAGUGGCAUUAACUUAGUGUAUUAAACAUAGGUCAAAUGUAAACCUAGGGUCGAGAACCUAGGAGGAGCAAGAAUGGCAUUUAACCUAGUGUCGUGAACCUAGGUUAGAUCGAGUGGCAUUAACCUAGUGUCAUGAACAUAGGUUGACAUUGAUCCUAGUGUUGUUGAACCUAGAGUUAAUAAAAAUCUAGGUAAAGAGGUAUUAACCUAGUUUAAAGAACAUAGGUUAUGUGAUGAGGGCGUUAAACCUAGAGUCGGGUAGACCUAGGGUAGAAAGUGCAUUGGAUCUAGAUAGGUCGAUAUCAUAGGGUUUGAGAUUACCCUAGAGACUUGGAAAGUCGAUUCCGGAAUCUUAGGAUUGUGAACUCGUUAGUUCUAAAGCCGUGGGGGAAGUUGGCAAUGUUCUCCUCCCACUGGAUGAACUUCGAGGAUGCGCUUAAGGCUGAUUCGAGGCCGCGGGUCGAGUGCGGCAGGGUUCCCCCUCCCGUCGGCAGAAUCGUGCUUCGCUAGGGUUGUGUGUGGCAGGUCCCCUUGCCUAUCGGGGGUCUUGGGCCGCGGGGUGAGUAUGUGGCAUAAUCCCCUUCCCACCGGAAAGAUCCCUGACCACGGGUGUACGCAGCUCUGGGCGACCCGUUGGGCGAUGAGUGUAUAGAUUGAAGGCUGAGGUUCGAGUGAGGAUUCCUCUACCUCGAGCAGGACAGAGCGCGGACUAUCCGUAGUUGAUUGACUCGAGGCCGAGUCGGGUGGCUAGUGGUAAUGUGAUGGAUCUAAGGUAAUAGAAACCUAAGAGGUUAGUUGGAUCUGAGCGAGAUAGCAAGAUAGAAGUAGAAUCAAGUGAUUUACUUAUGAUAGUUGCAUAAUUGCAUUGUUGCAUAUAGCAUGGCAUUGUUGUAAUUCUGAGGCAAAGCAUGGUUUCAUUAAUUGCAUAAUCAAUAUAUAUAUAUAUAUAUAUAUAUAUAUAUAUAUAUAUCUGUUUAUUGAGCUAACCUGCAUUGCCUCCUUUGAACCUGAUGGCCGAGCUUUUCCCUUGGGUGGCCGUACCCACUGAGAACCAUGGAGUUGGUUCUCACCCUACGUUGUUUUGGGGUGUUUACAGGUUCGCACGUGAGCGGCGUGGCGGCGCGAGGAAAGGGUGUGGCUCUGUUGAUAGCGCCCUACCCCAAAGACUAGAGCUAGAAGUACCCCGUCGACAUCGCUUAGGGGUUAAGAAAAUGAAAAGAACAUAAUGUAUCAAAUUUGUAGUAAGUAAAUAUUGUAAUAACUUAGAUUGCAUUUGGAUGAAAAGAAUGGUGGUUGAGAUAUAAAAUGCAUGAAUGUGAAUGAAUGUAAUAACAUAGGAUGUGUUUAUGUUGUUUGAUACCUUCCUUAUGCAAUCUUGAUUGAAAUGUGUUCCUGUUUGGAGCUUCGUACAUUGUAUUGAUUGCAAUGCCUUGAACGUACAGGGGAGACUCUGUUCGCAGUACAGGGAAAACCCUGUCCGUUCGGCGGUCUGUCGGCGUGCCCGAAUCUGAUCAAACAGGCGGGGCUCGGGGCGUGACAGAUAAGAUGGUAUCAGAGCAUAAAGUAGAGAAUGGAGAAAUGGUUUAGAUGACCUAGGAGACCCUAGGAUAGUAAAAACCAUAGAGGCUAAGGUUCGUGAGAGACGAGGACUUGAGACGUGUGGCGAAAGGAUUAUGGAUUGGGUAGUGUUAUUAACCUCUAAGACGGAUAUUAGAGGUAGACUUGAGGUGUGCUCUAUUCUCAACCAAGGGAGUUCAUGUUGGCGCACGACAACAUGAAACCAAGCGAUGAGAAUAGACGCCCUCGCAUGACUUUCGCCUGAUUGACUUUUGAGUUUUGUUAAUGGUUUCGUGUUUGACCCUGAGGGUCGAGAGCUAAUCGAGUUGUCCUGUUUCAGGAAGCGAUGGCACCGCGCAGGCGAUCUUCAUCCAGAUCGGCGCGAGGCGGGACAAGUGAUGUCCCUGAGCAAGUCGAGGCGAGCGGAGACCCGAUGCUCCGUGAGCAGUUGAAUACGCUCAUGGGCGUAGUGCAGCGCCAAGAGGAGCAGAUCAAGGAGCUCCAUGAGUUGUUGGCACGACAGGCUGCGGCGGCUCCGCCGGUAGCUGCGCGUCGUGUACCGUCAAGAGCAGCGGUGGAUUUGGGGGCUGUGGCCCCUGGUUCUGUAGGGAUGGAGGCGGAACGGGAACGAGCUGUGGCAGUGCUCAUGGCUUUCAAGAAAUUUAAGCCGCCUACCUUUCACGGAGAGUCGGUGGAUCCGUGGAUCAUGGAGAUGUGGAUUGACUCCAUGGAGACUCUCUUUGAGAGCUUGUAUACCUUGGAACGAGACAAGGUGAACCUAGCUGCACAUUGCUUAGAGAAGUCGGCGAAGGUGUGGUGGAAAGACGUCAAACGGGAUCGAACGCCUAGUCUCCCUCCUAUGACUUGGGAUAAGUUUCGGGGAUUGGUAUUCUCCGCGUAUUUCCCCGACAGUGAGAAAAAAAGGCUUCAAGAGAGAUUCAGGAAGCUGCGCCAGGGAGACCGUACUGUGAGGGAAUAUGAACAGGAAUUCACCCGUAUUGUGAAUUGUGUUCCAUAUGUGAUGCAGGAUAACAAGGACAAGGCGGAUUGCUUUGUGCGGGGACUUCGGCCGGAAGUGUUCCAUUAUGUGCAUCCAUUCAAGUUGCAGACAUUUGCCGAGGUCGUGGACCGAGCCUUGUGGGUAGAGCAAAGCGAUGACUUCGUGUGAGAGGAGCGCGAGUUUGAUGAGCAAGAAGCUAAAGCAGUGCGACUGAGAGACCGUUCAGGUGGUCAAUCAAGUUCUAGGUGACCCACGAAUCAGUCACAGUCUUGAACCCCGAAGUUGUCUCCUAGCCGGUCUUCUUCGGGAUGUGUGAUUUGUGGUGGAUCCUAUAGUGCGCGGCGAUGUGCGCUGCGAGAGGGAAGAUGUUUUUAUUGUGGGCAAGCAGGCCACACGAAGUUUGAUUGUCCCAUGGACAAUGGACAACCCUCGCCGAUAGCGAUGGCAUUCCACUCAUCGGGACAGCCCGUGGAUGUGCAACCUUUGGCACGGUCUGGAGAGCGAGGUGUGAGGAUUGGGCAGCCGGAGGGCGCGCGGCGAGUGCAAAGUAGCCAGACAUACGUGACCCAGGUUGCGGAACCUGCUGCUGCUAGGGAUAUCAUCGCAGGUAUGAUUUAAUUGAGGCAAGUAUACACUUCUGCAUGAUAUAGAACUGAAGCAUUGCAUGCAUUUACUUCAUAAUUGUCUAUUACUACUUAUGCAUAAAUAUAGUAGAGACUGGGAGGGGUUAGUGUAGCUACCCUAGCAUGCAUAAAUCGUGAUAGUGCGUCGCCUACCUAAAUGGAUAGGUGAUUGGUUAGUUGCCGAGCAGGGGCACGUGGACCUAGUGGCACCUCUAAACGAGGUGGGUAAGUCGUGCUCGUGUAGUCGGUGUGCAUAAGCAGGGUUGCCUAAUGCUGAGCUUAGUAUACGGCGUGUAGAGCGCUCGAGCGUGGAUACUAAUAGAGUACGAUUGUGACCCAACCCGGGAAUCUGUAACGGUUUAGGAUCUUAGUUACUCCUGGUUGGAGUGUGUGCGAGUUCCCAAGUGAGAAUUUCGCCCGAUAGUGAUUGGGUCUAUGAUAGUAAGCGAGACACGCUAUGCGUAGUUCAGACAGGUUUAGGCGAUAGACCUAUGUAGGAUUAGUGGUCCUUGGUCCACCUAUGAAAACCGAUGAUCGAUGCGGCCGGAAAUUGGGCUUGGAUUCACGAACGGAGGAUUCGUGUGUUGUGAACGUGGCUUAUAGUAUCAAAGGAUAGAGAGAAGGUAAAGUGGUCUCUAGGAGACACUUGAGUAAUGAAUAGCCGCGUCAGGNAUUUUCAUAAUAUUAGAUAGUUACAGCUAAUGUAGCUAUAUAUAUAUAUAUAUAUAUAUAUAUAUAUAGGGUGAUUUGACUAUGACCAGCUUAAUCGGAGGUGGUCUUAAUGUAAAGGGCGUAAUUAAUCGGGUACCUGCAGGUAUCUGAGAAGCAUGAACUCUUUUAUUUCUGGUUAUUUUUUUUUUUAUGCUAUAUAUUUCUUUUCUUGUGUUAAGAAAUAUGUAGUCAAAAAAAAAGAAGAAGAUAAACUAAAAAAAAUAACUAUAAAAAAAAAACUGCACCCCUUAAUAAAUUACGACUUCCACACCUUAACACCUUUUCAUCUUAAUUAUUUAUUUAAAUUUUCUCGUUUUUCCGUCCGUUCAUUUUUCGGGAAAACAAAUGGCGACUCCACUGGGGAAUGCUUCUCUUCCCAUCUUUGCUGAUCAUUUGAUUUAAUACCCUUCUCUAUUUUCAAAUACUGACAAAUAUUUAUUUUUAAUAGAUGUUAGCUAUGGCGAACAAUUUGUGAGUCGACGCCUGGAUGCCAACUCUGUCUUUUUACCAAUUCGUGCAAUUUGGGGCACAUCCAACAACUGUCAUCAUCAUCUGGGGCUCAACUGCUAUCGCCCAUUUCACUAAAAAUCUUAUGCUUCACUUCAACCGCAUGGCGAGGCGCAAGAAGCGAAGGAGAUGCAAAGGAAAAGCUGUUGCGGGUAGAACAGCUUUAAGGACCCAACUUCCUUUACAGAAAAUUGUGACAUCAAUCCUUUACAAAAUAUCGAUAAGCGAGCUGGGGGCAGAAAUUGUCCAUUCAAUGACUAAUUCAUUUAUCUCAACUCCAAAAUCAAAAAAAGUGUUUCAUACCAUAACUACUUCAUUUAGUGAAAUGAAAUAUAAAUUACUUCAAACUGCUACGUGGUAUGAUCUAGAAAAUAUGAUUUGUGAAUUUGCAUUCCCCGAGGCUUUCUCGGCAACAUCUGUAAAGAAGGAGUGGGGACAGAAUCUGGUCUUGCCUACUUCGAACCGUUUCUGUGUCUUUACAAAAGAUGUGCAACCUUCUCGUUAUAAUGUACUUAAAAGGCUGACUGCUAUGUUUUGCACCUCUUUAUUUUCAGGGUGUACCCGAUCUCAAAAAAGGAACAUCCGAUGGACGAGAGAUUGCCUUCACUUCAAACUGCUACGCGAGCGUACCCGAUCUCAAAAAAGGAACAUCCGAUGGACAAGAGAUCGCCUUCGCUGUCGCCAGAUGCAUGAUGAAUUAUUUACAAAAUAUGAAGAGAUUAAACUUUCAGCAGAAAAGAAAGAGAUAUUUUUAGCACGAAUUUCGUGUGCCAUCAAAAAGGACAUCCCUUUUCUAUAAAUUGCUGUAAGAGACAAACACGACGAGCAAAAAAUUUACUCUAAUGAAGAAUCAAAACUGCCAAAUGAAGAAUCAAAAUUUGCACGAGGAGUCGCGUUUCAUAAAGGUAAGAUAAUCCCAUUGACAUUUUCAUGUAUGAUGGUAGAAACAGGUCCUAGCAGGGGGCAAGGUGAGGAGGAAAAUCCUUAUCCAAGUCAACCUAGUGGCAAAAAUUACGAAGCCCUUUCGGAAGAUCCAUCUAGACUUCAACCGCUGACUCAAAGAGCCAGAGCUGGAGCCAACACAAGAUUGAAAUUGGCUGCAAUGAGUCGCGUGGCAACUAAUGAAUCUGGCAGAGAGCAAAACUUAAUGCUUCAUUCACCUCUCGAUUUGGAAGAUGAUGAAGAGGAAGACGCAGGAGACAAAGAUCUGGUUACCAUCGAAAAGUUGAUUCGCCGCAUCGAAGAGAGGGAUAAUCGAAUUGACCAGAUGGCUAAUCAGAUGAACACUAUGAUGGAUGCCAUGAAUACGCUGCUAAAACAGCAACAACAGCAACAACAACAACCACAAGCUCAUCAUCAAUCAGCUCGGCAGUCGCAGCUUACUGAACAAGCUCCUGACGCAAAUCCUUGGAGUAUGGAGCGUCAAGGCCCUCCAUACCAACAUAAUCCUACUGCUAAUGAACCAACAACUUCUCAUGAGGUUCCUAUAUCAUCAAUGGCCCCUUCGGCUUUUCAACAACUAAUAGAUAACAUUGUCACGUCUAAAAUUAAACAAUUGUAUCAAGAUAAAAAAACGUUGCUAACAGAAGGUGACAAACCAUAUCGAACAUGGCACGAUCAUGUCCUAUAUCCUCCUAAUUAUCAUCGUCCCAGAUUUCAAAUGUUUAAUGGAACUGGUGAUGUACGAGAGCAUUUGAUUCAUUUUGAGGCAGCAUGUGGGGAUGUUGUUACAAACCCAUCAUUACUUCUUCGGCAAUUCUCGCUUUCAUUAAAAGGAGCUGCUUUUUAUUGGUAUAGUAAGCUGGCCCCGGGGUCUGUUUUGAAUUGGAAUAUGAUGAAAACUCUUUUCAAGACACAUUUCAUUUCAGUCAAAAGAGACGUCUCUCUCGGUAAGCUUGCAGAACUGAAGCAGGGGAGAGACGAAAAGGUUGAAGAUUAUGUUGCGAGAAAUAUGAUCACCCUAUAUCCUGAUGAAUUAAAGCCUACUCAAGCAAUAGAGCUUUGUACCAAAGGGAUGCAAUCAUGGUAUUCGAUGGAGGUAUCUAGAUAUAAGCCGACUAAUAUCACUGAGCUGAUGAUAGUGGUGAGAAAUGUGGAGCUCGAAUAUCGAAGAUCUCCAGAGAUACUUGCACUGUACAAAAAUGCAAAGGCAGUUGAUGAUACAAGGAAAGUGCUGCCACACUACGAUACCUAUGGAGUAGAAGUGGAGGACGCUAUCAGGGAAGCAAAUCCUGAACUGUGCGAACACACCAAUUUGGGCCCAAGGCUACACAUAGAUUGAAGCUGCUCUUGGUGAACCAUGGUAAAAAAAAAAAAAGAAAAAGAAAAAAAAGAACCAUUGUAAAAAAAAAAAAAAGGGGAAUACCAUCUACAGAUGGAUAGGAAUGGCGGCACUCUUACUUCUAUACGCCGGGUAUCACCCGAUCGCCACCUGCACCCCCAGGUGGAUAGCAGUGACGGCAUCUAUAUUUUCAUACAUCGGGUAUCACCCGAUCGCUACCUGCAUCCCCAGAUGGAUAGCAGUUACGACAUCUAUGUUUUCAUACAUCGGGUAUCACCCGAUCGCCACCUGCAUCCUCAGAUGGAUAGCAGUGACGGCAUCUACAUUCAUACAUCGGGUAUCACCCGAUCGGCACCUGCAUCCCCAGAUGGAUAGCAGUGACAGCAUCUAUAUUUUCAUAUAUCGGGUAUCACCCUAUCGCCACCUGCAUUCCCAGAUGGAUAGUAGUGACGGCAUCUACUUUCAAAUACAUCGGGCAUCAUCCGAUCGCCACCUACAUACCCGGAUCGAUAGUAGUGACGGCACCUAUAUUUUUAUCUAUCAGGUUCCACCCGAUCGCUACAUGCAUCUCCAGAUGGACCGCGGUGACGAUGUUUUUUUUUUACCUCCUUACCUCAAGAUCAAUCUUAGCAUACUGGCACACCUAGAUGUCCCUGCCCGAGUGGUCAGUGUGUUCUUCUUCGUGGCAACAUUGCGGCCCAUAUAGCCAUUGAGUCACUUCAAGCUAGUCUUCGGUACACUCUUCGGUAGUCCCUACCCGAUCAUGUUCAACCUCGUCAUGCUAGCACAAGUAGUACACCCAGAUGUCCCUACCCGAGUGGCUAGUGUGUUCUUCUUCGUGGCAACAUUGCGGCCCAUAUAGCCAUUGAGUCACUUCGAGCUGGUCUUCGGUACACUCUUCGGUAGUCCCUACCCCAUCAUGUUCAACCUCAACAUGCUAGCACAAGCGGUACACCCAGAUGUCCCUGCCCGAGUGGUUAGUGUGUUCUUCUUCGUGGCAACAUUGCGGCCCAUAUAACCGUUGAGUCACUCAGAGCUGGUCUAUGGUACACUCUUCGGUAGUCCCUACUCGAUCAUGUUCAAUUUCAACAUACUGGCACAAGUGGUACACCCAGAUAUCCUUGCCCGAGUGGUCAGUGUGUUCUUUUUCAUGGCAACAUUGCGGCACAUAUAGCUAUUGAGUUACUUCGAGCUGGUCUACGGUACACUCUUGGGUAGUCCCUGCCAGAUCAUGUUCAAUCUCACCAUGCUGGCACAAGUGGUACACCCAGAUGUCCCUACCCGAGUGGCUAGUGUGUUCUUUAUCGUGGCAACAUUACGGCCUAUAUAGCUGUUGAGUCACUUCGAGCUGAUUUACAGUAUCUUCGAUAGUCUCAACAUGCUGGCACAAGUGGUACACCCAGAUGUCCCUACCUGAGUGGCCAGUAUGUUCUUUUCGCAGCAACUUUGCGACUCGUAUAGUCGAUGAUCCACUUUCACAACUCCUUUAUUUAAAAAAAAGAAAAAAAAAGAAAAAAAGGAAAAAAAAAGGAAAAAAAGAAAAAAAAAAAAGGAAAAAGAAAGAAGAAAAAAAAAAGGAAAGCUCACCAGCUUGGGUGUUCUAUCUUACUUCAUACCCAAUCCGGUGGGGGGCAUUUGUUGGGCCUGUUUGAAAUAAUAUAAGAGGCCCAACUUAGGCUAGUUUUGAUCCAAAUCUAGACUAGCUACCUAAUAUAUAUAUAUAUAUAUAUAUAUAUAUAUAUAUAUAUAUAUAUAAUGAAUAAAAAAAAAGAGAAAAGAAAAUUGGGGAGAGAGAGAACAAUCUGAUUCUUUCUCUCUUUCUCUCAUCUCUUUCUCUCUUUUUCUCUCUUUUUCUCUCUUUCUCUUUCUUUUUCUCUCUUUCUCUCUUUUUCUCUCUUUCUCUCUCUUUCUCUUUCUUUCCCUCUUUUUCUCUCUGUCACGCCCCGGGGUCCCUUUUAGUUUGAAACACAACGGAAAAGCGUCUAAAUUUUUUUUUUAUUUUUUUUUAAAGCGUAACCCCAGGGUAUGCCAGAUCCGCAAUAAAUACAGAAAAUUCACUGUUCACACGGACAGAGUCUUCCCUAUAUUUACACGGCGUCGCACAAGUACAAAAGUACAAACAGAGUAUAACCAGGAUACAACCACAAUACAUGAAUAUACAAUACUCAACAUUCAUUCACCAUUCACCAGAUAUUUACCAUUCAGUGUUUAAACAUAAAAGCCACGAGAAAACUCUUUUGAAAGCUGUUUUCCACACGGAAACCUUUUCUUUUUAAAAUACGCUACCACGAGGGGUAGAAAACUAUUUUUCCUUUUCACAAAAUCCACGAGUUCUAUAGUUUAUUCAAAAUCACAUGAAUUCGAAUAAUAUAAACCAACUGAACUAUGAAAUAUUAAAGCUAUUAAUAACAAAAGUAAACAGGGUAGGAACUAAACCAACAAACUGGGUCGGAAGCUCUAGCGACCACUACAAACGUGUCUCACGUCUCGUCUCCGCUCAAUCUCACCGCUCUGCCAAUACCGAAAAAUGUGGGAGGUCGCGAAGAAGCAUGUUAAACAUGUGUCAAAACCCUCCAGUGGUACCGGCAACCUAUGAAGUAGAGUACUCCACCGUUACCUCCGAGGUCGAAGAAAUAUCGAGCUUUAGCCAAAUUGCUAAAGCAUGGCGAAUAAGAGAAAUUGGACGAGUUCCAGUUAACAUUCUCAUCAAGGUUGUAGGGGUAAAUGAGUUCUAAAACGAGUUAAAGAAAGAGUAUUACGUUGUUCGGCGCGAAAUAAGAGUCGAAAACAAGCUAAAAACUAGUCCUGGACAUUGUGUAACCGUACAAAACAGUUGACAUGGUUGUACCGGUACAACAAGCGACCCGAAGAAUAGCAGCUCUCGGUUUGAGUGAAAAAAGCUGUUAAACCCGGUGACACUUGAACUCUGAAACUCGAUAAAUCUUGGCGGACAAGACCUGUACACCUUUGGCAGAAUGGCAUAGGAAUUAGUCUGCUGCAAUUAAAAAAUUGGAGGGGUUAGUUGCAAAUUGUACCUAAUGAAUAGCCUAAACCCCUCUCCCUCUACAGCAGAUCUGCUCCCUCUCUCUCUCUCGUGUCCUCCCUCUCUCUCAACCGGUUGCAAGAAAAGAGAAGGAAAAAGAAAGACGAAGAAAGGAAAAGAAGAAAAGAAGGGAUAUGGAGAAGAGGAAGAGGAUCAUCACCCAUAUCAUCCCUCUUCAUGCUUUUCUCUCCUCCCUUGAGGCUCUAGGAGAAGGUUAAGACUUCCAAGCCUCCAUGUAGACUUUUUGUAGAAUGGUUUAAAUUCUAGAGUCUUUGUUUGAUCUACCUACAAGUCUUUAGAACUUCGAGAGGUCAAGAACGACAGGGAGAGAUCCAUGGUGUUCUUCAUAAUUGGCUCAAUGGUGAAUGUUUCGACAAGGUUUGUUUAAACACCCUAUGAACGGCGGUUCUAAUAGGUUCUGACUAAAUGAGCUUUCUAAGCAACUUGGACAACGCUCUCUUUUGCUUGUUUGUAUAGAAUGAAAAUCGGAGUUAUGAGCAUCCAUGUCAGCAUAGGCUGCCAUCCCAAAGAGGGUUUUUGCUCAUAUGCCGGGUUGAUCUUAUUUUGACCGCUUGGAAACCUAAUCCAGGAGCCACGAACGCGUUGAAUAUACCGGUUUGCACAAUACCGACGAGUGUAACCAAGUUAUUUGACGAAACGGUCCGUUGUUGGUACACAUAGUUAGCCAGCACGCGGAAAUAAGUGUCUAAAAACGGAGAUCCAACCGCGAGCAUCUUGGAGUCAGGAAUAGCCACCGUAAAAACGGAUCGCGAUUCGGAGGCGUUCGUUAAGGGGUCGCGUUAAGAUUACAGGGCCCAAACGGUUGCCGAGUGCGCCACGGAAGGCCGAGCAAGUGUCGAAAAAGCAAUCGGAACGCGAAUCAAGGUGGGAUUGUGAUUACCGAGAAGCCGCACUUUAGGUCGCCCUUUAUGUCUUAGCAAGUAUCAUCUUACGGUGAUAGGCAGUGCAAGUAGACAAGGCUAAAUAUGCAUUAGUAAAAUAUGGCAUAAGGUAAAAGGCGUAAAGUAAAGGGAUGCAAUGUUAAACAAUGAUGCAUGAUGUAGGAAGAAAUGCAUGAGAGCAUUCUUAAAUAAUUAUACAUGCAAGCAUGUAAGUGAAGAGGAUCAUGAAUGAUAAGAAUCAUAGUGUGGAGAGAUAAUCAGGUUAAAAUAAUGAUCAUAGAGCCAAUACUAGUAAAUGUUAAGUAGAGAGAAUGAUUAAUAUAAGAACCCAUCGCUAUAAUGAUAAGCAUGCUUAAUAAUUAAUGCAGCUUAACCCGUAAAGAAUGCACGUAAUAUUAUUCAUACGAUGGAAAUGGCUACAGUUGGAGAGCAUAAUGAGCAUAGGCACGUAUAUAAUGCUAGUUACAAGUAGAGAAUGGCAAAGUAGCUAUCAUGAGAGCUUAAAGUAGAGUGACAUGAGGAAUCAGGUAAAUAGAAGUUAGUUGACAACUAGGUGUCAGAUAGAUCGAGUGCAAUCUAACCUGUUGUUAAAAGAUAAGGAUGAAUUAUAAACCCUAGAGUCGAACAACUAGUGUUGUGGUAUUUUACCUAGUGUAGUAUAACCUAUCGCGUGAACUAGUAAAUCCUAGACAGUGGACAUCUCAGGCCGAAUGCAAUGACAAGUAACCUAGCGAGUGCUAUCUACGGGUUAAGGAAAGUGGAACACAGAACUAGAGUAAAUGGAACUUAAGGUUGAAUGAAUGAUAAGUGGUUAUAGCCACUAGGAGUAGUCUAGGGUCGGAUAGGUAUAAACGGUUGGCUAUGACCCCUUCCCGUGGUAAGUGGAUCCGGAAUCCGCGGAGACUAUAGAAGUCUCGGGUACAGGGCUAGGGCGUUCGUGGCGACGACUUCGCCGCGAGCUGGUACCGAGGUAGAUUGGGGCGUAUCACAUGAGAUCACCGCCCGGGGCUUGAACCAUGCGUGCGCGGUUGUGGCGGAAACGAUUUCGCCGCGGAUGUAAGCCAUUGAGGAUCAGACCGCCAGAGCAGUACUGAAUCAUGCUGGGUAAGUACAUACGGGUGCCUCAGGUGUCUAAGUCUGACAUGACCGUUGUUGGGUGUGGUGGCGACCGCUUCACUGCCAGACGGUAUGUCAUGUCUCGAGGCUCUGACGCUGGUUUAAGUGCAAACGGGAUCGCCACCAGAUGGUAGUUCUGGCCGACCGAGCCGUGUUCAGCGGUGCGCGAGUUCGGCCGCAUAGGAGGUCUUGAUCAGAGAGAGGCGUAGGGGCCAGCCUUGUGCAGCCAGUCCAGUCGCGCGGACUCAUCCGCAAUGACUUGAACUCGAAGCGAGUCGGUGGUUAGCUAUGAAUAACCUGCGUAGAGGAACCCGUUAUGAGCUAGAGAUCAGCAGGCUUGAGCCUAAGGUAAUAGAAACCUUAGAAGCUAGUGGUUAGUGUGUGAUCCUAAGAGUAAUAGAAACCUAGAGUAAGUUAUGGCUAAAGUAAAAAAAAAAAAAAGUGAUAAUCAACGAAUCUACAUUUUGCCACUGAAUUUGCUAAUCGCAUAUGGUGAGCAGACAUGUAUUUCAAUUAAUAUAUAUUAUUUGUUGUAUAUCUGUUGACUAACAUGUUCAAGUGCUCCUGCCGCGGCUCCAUGUCGAAGACCUUCGCUGGUGGUCCGUAUCACCAUGGACCAUGGAUGUUUCACCCCACGUAGUUUUGGGUGUUUUCAGUCGUCCUAGAGUUAAAGAAUAUUGAAGACCGUCGCAGGGUGUGCGGACGCGUGACGAGCGCGAAGCGAGGCGUAGCUCCAGCGAUAAGCAGCCUCUCAGCACAAGAAAACGAGGUAGUCAGUAACCCUCGGGCUGAGUGUAUGUUGGACAGUCUAGCUAUGGGAUCUAGGAAGAUAAAAGCAAAAUGUACAAACUUUGUAAAUCUGAUGUUAAUAAAUAGAUUGAAUGUGGAAGUAAAAAUGAAACAAAACACUAGUGAUAAAAGAGUGGUUGUAAAAGAAAUGCUUGUAAUAUCAAGGUAGAUAUGUAUUUGAUACUGUCUUAUUGCAAUCUGGAAUUGGAUAUAACGUUCCUGAUUGGAACAUUCGUUGAGAUAUUUGGAUUGCGUUACUGACCUUGGACUACUAGGAGACUCGGUAACUGUCUGCGUAGCAGGGGAAAAAUUCCCUGUCCGUAUCGUGGACAAUUCUACGGUCGUCCGUCGCGCCAACUGCGACCCGGUCCAAAUAAUGGGCGUUGAUCGACGGGAAAGUGACAGAAAGAUGGAUUAUUCAUAGUCAUAAAGUAGAAAAUGGGAAAGCACUUUAGGUUUUAACAGAACACUAAGGGAGACCUAUGAUAGUGAACAUAGGAGAAUAGAGGCUGCGUAGAGACAAGGACUGUAGUUGUGGCGAAACAGUGAAUGGACUUGGGUUGUGUAUAACCUCUAAAGAUGGAUAUAAGAGCAAGACCAAAUAAUGGUUUAUCGCGACCUAAAGUGUGUUUAUGUCGUGGCGCUGCACAACAUAAAGCGAGGACGAGAAUAGAGUCCUGUUGACUUCGUCGCUGAUUGGCUUUUGAAGCCGUGUUAGUGGGCUCGUGUUCGACCUAGGUUGUAGCAAGGAGCUAAUCGAGUUGUCGUGUUUCAUGUGAAAACGAUGGCACCUGUAUACACGCGUAGGAUCUUCGUGCUCCAGAUCGCCGCGGGAGGGGGACAAGUGGCGUCCCUGGAGCAAAAUCGAGGCGAGUGGAGACUUGGAGCGUCGCGAUCAUGGCACACACUCAUUGGAGUGAUGCGGCAACAUUAUGUGGUGCAGGCGCAGCAGGAGGCUGCUAUGCGCCAAAGAGAAGCGAAUGGAACGACUUCCAAGAGACUGUGACGCUGGUGGCAGCACCAAGCCUGGCGGCUGGUCGAGGACAGCCGGGAGUUGCGGCAGAGCUGUUUCCGUCGGGGUCGGGCGAUCUGACCCUGUUGGCCCAGAGGUUAACGGCGAGAGGGAGCGAGCUUUAGGCGCCCUCUCUGACUUUCAAAAGUUGAUACCGCCUACUUUGAUGGUAAGAUAAUCCCGUGGUCGUUGCAAUGUGGAUGCGAUUCCAUGAAAAAUUUCGAGGAUCUGUACACGCUGGACGAGACAAAGUGAAAUCUAGCAGCGCAUUACCUGCAAAGCAAUCAGCAAGGUGUGGUGAAAGGGCGUCAAGCGAGAUCGACCGGCUAGUCUCUCCAAUGACUUGAAGAGUUUCGGGGAAUGUGUUCUAUACAUGUUAUUCCCCGAUAGCGAGAAGCGGAAACUUCAGGAAGGUUUUCUUAAAGCUCGGCUAAGGAGUCGGCAGGCGGUCCAGGCAAUAGUUUGUUGAGCGGGCAUUCUCUCUCCCCGUAUCGUGCAUCUGUGUCCCGAACGUGUGGCGGGAUGACAAGGACAGAGUGCCCGCAACUUUGCUUGUAACGUGGACUUCGGCCAGACCUUAAAAAAAAUUUCAGACGGUGCUUUGCUCAGUUAUGCAAACAGACUUUUGCUGAAGUCCUCUGGAUCGGUGCAUGUGGCAGAGAACAAGGAAAUGCAUUCUUGCGGGAGGAAGCUGAAGCACUUUACAAGGAAAAGGAAAACCGGCCAGUGAGGGGAGCGGAUGGUCAGUUCACGUUCACCAACGGACCUCAGUGAGGACGCGCUCGUCGAUCUACGAGCUCCGGGACGUAUCAUACUCGCCUUCCGCGGCGAGAUGUGCCAAUUUAUAAGCCACUCAUUUUCCACAGGUAAGUGAACAGCGAGAGGCAAGUGCUUCAAGUGGGCCUGCGCGGGCCAUGUGCGGGACGAGUGCCACAGGUGAUAAACCGGGCCUUGACACUGCGGACGGCCCAUUCCUCUGGGAACAGCGGCGUGCCACCUCGCAUGGUCAGGGGGGAGCGGCCGUUUGAGAGUGAUAGCAACCGAUGGUCGCGAUCGGCGCGCAAGUGGCAUGGAUAGCGACCGCAGCUACUGACGCCUCGCGUUGCUGAUUGACGUUCUUGGUGGUCAGUAAUGAGUUAAUUGAGUGCAAUCAUAUUUGCAUAGCCUAAGUUGGGGCAAGCAUUUGCGUACAGUUAUUAGUCAGUUGCACUAUGUCCUCAUUGCAUAGUAGGGACCGUGAAUAGUCGAGUAAUAUAAUUCGCCGGAGCGUAAGCUUGCAUUGUGAGAAUUGCACCUGUCUGGUGCGAGUAGAAAAAGCCAAUGGUACUAGCAAUGGCUAGUGGUGAUGCUUGGAUAGGAACGAGCUUGCAUGGAAACCGAGUGGGAAAGGACUCUCAAUAGCAAAUGGUUAUGAAAUUACGAGAGUCGGCGCCUUGCAGUUUGGGAACGGCCCGAUCUAUCAAUAAGUAUUUCGAUGUGGAUUUGGAAGAUCGAACAGCGAAGAUGAACCCUCCAGGCGAAAUUGGUCGGGUUAGCUGCCGGAGUUUGUGCCUGUUGGCCAUAUUAGACCUCGAUUGAGGUGGAUGAUUAUGCCUUGUGCAGGUUCAUACCAUAGGCCUAAAGCUGGCUGAUGCAAGGCUUCCGUGUGAGACGCUGUAGAGGCUUAAAGCGUUCGAAGUAUAAAGAUACUCGAGAGUACUGUUUCGAUUCAGCUCGGUCGAGUGAGAUUGGCAUACAACUUUCAGCUGGGGCUAAGUGUGAAGCGGGCCAUGAUCACUCGUGAGGGCUGGUGGCUCGCACCUACAGUGCCUAAGCCUGAUAGAGGUGUAGCUCGUACGAGAAGGCGUGUUAGGACACGAUGCCGGUAGGGCUUGGGGAGACGACCCGUGCUUGGACGGCAUUUGUGGAUGUGGAGCGCGGCCAUUGGGCAGCCAGCAGCUGAUGAAGACAGGCGGCCGCGAUACCCUAUAGGUAGGCGGAGAGUUUUGUCCAGGACGGUAUCCAAGCUUAGACCAGCCGAGUACUGCGGAUGCCCAACGUGAUAAGAUCAUGAGAUUGAUGACGCACCGAGGUGUGUAGUGAAGCCACCCACCAAGAACAUUGAAGGUGGAUUGGUCUUGAUAGCUCCUGGUUGAGUGUGUGUAGAGUUUUCCAAAUGAGAAUGUCGCCUCAAUGAUGAUUGGUCUACGCUUGCGAGCGAGAGACGGCUAGGCGUCGUUGAGGACGAGUUUAGUCGGUAGCCUAACGUAAGGGUGGGGUGACUGUUGGUCCACCCGUAAGCGACCUGAAUGACCCGCGUUGAAUUGAGCCUAAGCUCGAGUUGUCGAAACGAAAGGAUUCGUGCAAAUUCCACAGCACGAGUAGAGCGGCGUUGAUGCGUGGCUUAAUGGUUUUAAAGGAUAAGAGAAACCGAAGUGCUCUAUAAAACCCACGUGAGAUAUUGGAGUGAUACGCUCAAUAUGGAACAAGUGGAUAAUCCUCUCAGGAUUUGAGGUUGAACGGCCGAAGUGUGCCGUCUCGUGAUAGGGCAAAGAUCGGAUGAGAUUGAAGCACGCGCGAUUGAGCCGAUGCACCAAUGUAUGGGAUAUGCCAAUGCCGGUGGUUCGAAUCGAGUGGAAAGGUAUAUGGUACCGCUCAAUAACUCGGUAAGGACAGGCCAAGUUGAUGUGUUUGAAUAUUCGCGGAUGAAAUUCUUAAGGUGGGGAGAAGUAACCCCCUGAGGUUUCGGAGAAAUAUCGGCUUUAGCUCAAGUGGCUAAAGCAUGCGAAUAAGAUGAAUGGACAGUUCCAGUUAAACAUCUAUACAGGCGGAGGUCUGGAGCGCUAAAGAGGAGUUUCGGUAAAAUAGUAGAAAGGUUUUAGCGUUGUCGGAAAGCGAAAUAGAGCGAAACAAGACCUAAAAAUCAAAGUCCCUGGAGCAUUGUGUAACCGGUACAGUUGUAGUACAACAAUGUGGGCAUCAGCUCCUCCGGGUUUGAGUGAAAAAAGGCUGUUUAAACCGUGACAUGCUCUCGUCGGGAAAUUGUUACGCGUACACUUUGGCAGAAGCAUAAGAAUAUGCUUGCAAUAUAAAUACUGGAGGGGUUAUUUGCAAUUUGUUACUAAUGAAAGCGCCUAAACCCCUCUCGCCUCACAGCAGAUCUCUCCCUCUCCUCUCUCGUUCUUCUCUCUCUCAACGCGUGCAAGAAAGAGAAGUAAAAAAAGAGAAGAAAGAAAAGAAGAAAAGACGGAGAGAAAUAUUUGGAGAGAGGAAGAGGAUCCAACACCAUCAUCACUCUUCAUCUUCUUCUCCCCUUGGAGCUUAGAGAGGUAAGCUUCGCAAGCCUCUCAUGGUAGAUUUUUGCAGAAUGGUUAAAUUCUAGAUCUUUGGUUGUGAUCUCGCUACAAGCUUUAGAACUCCGAAAAAAAAAAAGAGGCCAAGAACACAUGAAAUUCAUGUGUUCUCAUGAUGCUCUAUGGUGGACUUUUACAAUAGAGUAAGUUAUGGGCUAAAGUAAAAGUGGAAUUCAAACGAUCUACUAGUUGUUGCAUGAUUUUCAUAUCGCAUAUUGUCAGGCAUGGCAUGUAUUUCAAUUGAAUAUAUAUAUCUGUUGUAUAUUGUUGAACUAACAUGUUGCAGUGCCUCCUCGGACCUAUCGGUCGAGCUUUUCCCUUGGGUGGCCGUACCCACUGGGAACCAUGGAGUUGGUUCUCACUCCACGUGGUUUUGGGGUGUUUUCAGGUCGUUCGUGUGCGGCGCGGCGGCGCGAGGCGAGGGCGUAGCUCAGUAGAUAGCGCCCCACCACAGAGACCGAGGUAGCAGUACCCUGAGACAGUCUAGCUUAGGGGUGUAGAAGAUAAGAAGAGAAAAUGUAUCAAACUUGUAAACUCUGAUGUAAUAAUAAGAUUGUAAUUUGGAAGUAAAAAUGUAAACUGAAACUGUGAUGUAAAGAGUGGUUGUAAAAUGAAUGCUUGUAAUAGCAAGUAGAUUAUGUAUUUGAUACUUCCUUAUGCAAUCUGGAUUGAUAUCCGUUCCUUGUUGGAACAUUCGUUGAUUGUUUGGAUUGCGACGCCUUGGACGUACUGGGGAGACUCUGUCCGUGUACAGGGGAAUUCCUGGUCCGUUCGGCGGUUUGUCGUCGGCACCGCGACCCGGUCCAAAUAGGCGGUUGGUCGCGGGGCGUGACACACCGGAUCAGGAAGAGAAAAACAAAAUAUGGGUAAGUGAAAUACUAAAUACAGUAGCAACAAUAAUGAACGAAAGAGAUAGAACUAUAAAUGAAAGCACAACUACCGCUACUGUAAUGAACAACUGAAAGUAUACAUGCAGCUAAACUAUAGUAGCAAGACAAGUGUAAAGAAAGAACUGAAGGUAUACAAACAACAACAGCUACUAUAGCUAUAUGCGUCAACCGAACAAGAAGUCCAAAUAUACCCAAUCUGAAAUCUGCUGCUCUAUUGGUCCGCACCGGAACCUCAAGCCUGUGCCCUGGAGGUUCACACCGGAGACCUCCCGACAGUACCACUGCCGCUCUACCAUGCAUCUAACCCCUCUAGGGCUCACGGGUCGACACCUGCAACCACUUUUCCAGAAAAGAACACCCUCUUGCGGUGGAUCAGACCGCUGGUGUUCGUGAAAUGCGAACGAGUCUCGGGCGAUCAAUGCUGAUAUGCUCAAAGGCCAAACAUCGGCAACCAGCCGACAAUCCUGCCCACAGGGCUCAUCGACCGUAUAGGUCAUCAACUAUAAGGAAGCACAAGAACCGACCACUCAGGUCAACCAGGAUGGGACAACAUCAACAUCCUCUCAAUCAUAUGCAAAUAUUGCUCAAUGAACCACAAGGACUGACUACUCAGGUAAACUAGGAAAUAUGCAUAACGAAUCGACGAAUAGGUCAUCGGAGUGUAUCAAAAGAAUCCAGAACUACCGUCGGCCACUAGCCAACAAUCCAACCCCUCUAGGGUACAUCGACCACAACGUUCAUCGAACGACAGAAGUCUAGGAACCGACCAAAUGUGUCACAAAUACGAGAUACGAGAACCAACCAACCAAGUCACUGAUACGAAGUACAAGAAUUGACCUACCAAGUCACUGAUAUGAAGUACAAGAAUCGACCAACCAAGUCAACAGAUACGCACAUAGAUAGAACCACUCUACUCCUACUCAGGAUACUAAGCAUGCAAACAACGAGUAGAGUAUAAUGGAAUAACAUGGGUGCAAGGCUCAAUAUAUACUAUGCAAUAAUAACAACAGAAGAGUAAGGGUAAGAAACCAUCACCAAGCGUGCACCACUAUACCGACGUCGGAUCGAAGUACCCACCUGAACAAAUGUCGCGCCUGUCUCCUGACUGCAAAAGAACGUCAACCGGACCUAAGGAGGGCCCACUGGGUUAGUGUCUAACCCACAACUAAGAAACCCUAAAAGCAUAACCCCACAAAAAAACCCACGAGAAUCGGUUUCCCAAACCGAUCGCCGUACUACGCCGGAAGUCCCGUAAUCGCACCGAGACUCCACCGGGACCCACGGACUGUCCCGGAACUCACCGACUCGAACCACGAGUCACCCGCUGCCACUAAAUACAAAUUUACGUGUGACUUGGCAGCAAAGACCUUAACUCACUCCAAAACGAUUAUCGUCGAAUAAUCGUUCCGAUCCGGGCUCCCGGAAGUAUCGAUUUCGACACCGGAACCCACCGUCGCUCACUCGUCGUUUUCGAACCCUCGAAACAAUGCGAGUGACUAGCCAACAAGGCUCAGCGACGUGGCAAAAGGUCACCAAGUAUCGUCGGAAGAGUUCCGAACCGAAAUCGCGUUUCGUCGGCGGAUUUAGCCGAAAAACGCGCCGAAAAUUUAUUUUCGAUCUUCGCAAAGGUCUGGGGCCUUGGACAAUCAGUCCAGAGGUCACCCACUGCUCACCCAUGCUGUCAACAGCAGCCGUAACAACCCAGAAUACAUAAAAGCCCUCUCGAUUACUCAAAAUCGCAUUAUUUCAUGCGAUUUCGGCGCUUUUAUGGUCUGUCUACACAAACCAGAAGUCAAUCAGCCAAAUUGAGACACCCGCUGACAGGUCUCCGCAUGCUGGAGGCCGUGCUCACCUUUUGGAGCAAUUUCGGCCACUGCGGCAAGAGCGCGAGCGACACGAACUUCAGCGAAACUGCGCGCUGAAACUAAAAAUGCUUCAAAUUCACUUAUCCGGGGGUCUUUGACCUUAAAUGAUGCGAGCACUGUGAUCAGCACUGACCGACGAUCACUGUGCUCACCUCUGGAGGCACCAAAACAGCCUCAGGUCGCCGAAACAUUGAUCCCAAACCGAAACAAUGCGCAGAACAGCAAAAACAUUGCUUACCGGCCAGGGCAGAGCUAGGGCUGGCCGGCGGCAGCCAGAAGGCGUGCGCUCCGGCCGGGGACGAGCGCGGCCGGUCGAUGGGGUCUAGGGUAGGUGCUGGCCAGCGGUGGGAGGCGGCCGGUGGCGCGGCGGCUGCGAUCCAAUCCGCCAAGCUGCUCUCGGUUUCAAGGGCGCCGGCGGCAAGGCGACGGCCGGAGGAGGUCGGGGCGACGUCGAUCCGUCGCCGGAGGCCGAGGGGAAGGUGGUGCACCCCCUGGUGGGCGGCGGCGAUGCUUGGAAGCCGAGCGGGCCCGACCUCGGCCCGCACGGGUUUGGGCAGCCGUAGGGGAUUCCAGCGGCUGCCGGCGGCGCGCAGGGAUGGCGGGGGACGCGCGCGCCGGGUUUCCAGAGAUCGCCGGGGCCGACAGGAGGGUGGCGUGUCCGAAGGGAGGCGGUGGUCGCAGAGCUCGAGCGGGCUCGGUCUGGGCUGACCCGAGCUGGCUGCAGUUCACUCAAAUGGCUCCGGCGGCGCACGCCGACGGCGGCAACGCCCGACGACAGUUCAGGAGGUUGGUCUCGGUUUGGGGAUGAUGGAGCUCGGCUUAGAUGUUUCUCCCGAGCACGACAACCACAGGCAUGGCAAGUCGAAGCUAGAGGAGAACCGAGAGGAGGCCGGGGUGGCUUUUCCGGCGGCCGGAGCUGCUCGCCGGCGGCCGGGGCGUGCACACUGGUUGGGCAGGGUGGAGUUAAGGCGGCUAGGGUUAGCUGGAAGGACUAGAGUAGCCAAAAGGUCAAUGAAACCCUAGCUACCAUAUUUAUACUAAAAUGUAUUUUUGCCAGAAACCCCUCCAAAGCAUAAUAUUUACAGUCCAGCCCCUGCCAACGUGUGUAACUUGCACGUACGUACCCCAACGAUCGAAAUCACGUGAAACGGCGCAUAAAAUAUAGGAUCUUUUCGCGAUUAAUUGAUUUUGCUAAAUUGACCUCUUAGCGGACUUUUCACGAUUCCCGAAGAUCCGUCCAUCGGAUUUCCGAUCGGAUCGCGCCAGGGCGAUCAGCACGACAGAGGCUUUGAGUCUAGCAUUUCGUUUUGCCCGAAAAAGUCUACGAUUUGCAACAAAACCCACCCUCAUUGGUUCCACCAAAACCACAUAUAGGUAUAAUUAUAUGUAAAAACCAUUAAACCCCUUUUUCUCAAAAUCCGUGCAUCCAAAUCCAAAUCCGUCAGUGCCAAUGGGUCCAGGAUAGUCGAGCCGUUGAAAACGAGCUAUUGGACGACUAUGAUCGGAGUUCGAUAUGCGUCGAAAGCCAACUAUACUCCGUGGCCUCUCCGGAAAAUCGGAGUUACUAUUCACUUAAGUGAUUCUUUCGGGUCGCGUAACUUCUGCGUCUUAACUCGUUUCCUCCUGAAAUUUGACGAGUGCUUAUGUAAUUAAAUUACACACGUAAACAUCGUCAAUAGAGAGUUUAGUUGCACUGUCAAAAUCUCAGUCCUUACACUCUCUUUAUCUCUCUUUCUUUCUCUCUUUCUCUCUUUCUCUCUUUUCUCUCUCUCCUUCUCUCUUUCUCUCUUUCUCUCUCUUUCUCUCUCUUUCUCUCUUCUCAUCACUUCCCAGAGCAAACCCAUCUCCCUCCAAGCUCUAUAAAUAGCUCGGGGGAUCGAACGGGAUGGGGGGAGGAAGCUGUGCGAGAGGGGAAUCACCCACACCCAGUGUAAAUACACUCUCAGGUUGCAUUGCUUAAAAAAAAAAAAAAAAAUGUGAAGAAGAAAGAGAGGAGAGCAAAAUAAUAAUAAUAAUAUAUAGUUAGUAGAGGGGAGCUGCCGUCACCGCAUCCACCGCAUCCGCCGCCGCCGCUGCUGCGUUCCUCGCCGUCGUUACCAAGCCGCCGCCGACACCGCUCGACGCCACCCGAGCCGUCAAACCUGAGCCCAACGCCAAUCGAGCUGCUGCCGCGCCCACCACGUCCGCCGCCGCAUCCGCCGAAGCUGCCGUCGCCAUACCCGUUGUUGUCGUUUCGACGCCGACUGAACUCGCCAUCAGUCGCUGUUCACCCGAGCCUUUGCAGCGAGGUCAAGGAUUGAAACCCAACUGUAGUAUACUGAACUUUAGCAAAUUGCGAAGUUCAAGUAAGAAAGUGCGAACUUUAGCAAAUUGCGAACUUUAGCAAGUUUGAGAGUGAUCGAAUUGUCGGAGAUAAGAAAGUGCAUUGCAAUUUCGAGUUUGGCAUUUUCUGCAUUGGUGUACCGGUACAAACAUAAUGCUGUACCGGUACAGCAAGCAGCAGAGGUAGCAGCUGCGUGGCAGCAGGGUUGAAUUGGUCUUUUUACCUUUCAAGCUUAUCUUUAAAAUUUAUCUCGACCCUUGCAGCUUCUCUACAGUUGCUGGAGCUCUCAGAAACAGGGUAAGCAACUUCUCUUUCUCUCUCUAGGGUUCUUCUCUGUGAGACCCCAGAUAGUCCUAUAUAUGAGAUAUAAUAUGGCUAAACUCUUAACCCGGCUUAACCCGGCUUAAGCAUUUUGGGUGGUGGCAAGGCCUAAGAGGUUAAGAGAGUUAAGCGUGCUAGGACGGGAGUAGUCCUAGGAUAGGUGAACCCCUGGGAAGUUGGGGCGUCACGGUUGGUAUCAGAGCCAAUUACCAGCCGGAAGUGUGAGAUGAGUCUCGGCUGAGCCAGGGUCUGGAUGACGGGCUAGCGAGAUGAGUCUCACAUCGCCUGGUACUUGUGAGUCUGAGCCUGACGAGGACGUCAGGGCUUAAAGGAGGGGAGAUUGUGAGACCCCAGAUAGUCCUAUAUAUGAGAUAUAAUAUGGCUAAACUCUUAACCCGGCUUAAGCAUUUUGGGUGGUGGCAAGGCCCAAGAGGUUAAGAGAGUUAAGCGUGCUAGGACGGGAGUAGUCCUAGGAAGGGUGACCCCCUGGGAAGUUGGGGCGUCACAUUCUCUUUCUCUCUACAAGAUGAAGCAAGGUGUGAAGCUUAGUUUUCUCCUUUUCUUUGAGGGCUGCUGAGAAGAGGGACUUGGUUCAGCUGUGAAGAAGGUGAAGGAGGUGUUUUGGGAAGGAGUUCGCAGCUCCUUCACAGCAGAUAGCUGAGCAGAGGUUUGCUAAGGUAACUAAACUAAUUAUUCUUUACCUUAAUGCCUUAAUAGUAAAGCUGAAUUUGAUUUCGAGUUCUUUGUACUCAGCUUGAGGGAGGGGAGUUCUAGCAGUCCUAGAAGCAGGACUUGAUGUGGUUUUGUAACCUGAAGCUAGAGGGAGGGUAAGAUUUGAGCUUAGAAAUGGUAAUUAAUUAAACUAACAACUCUAUGUCGAGCAUAUAUAUGAUGUAAAGGGAGUAGAGAUGCUGACUUUGGGGUUGAUAUGCGCAGCUCCGAGCUAUCCAUUUUGAGCUGAAUCAAAGGGAGAUUAUGAGCUAAUUUGGAGGGUUCUAAUCUCAAUGGAAGUGAAGAAUUAGUCCAAACCUGAGAUAAGGUGAGGAUUUUACCGAAUUUGAGGUUCUAAUGGUAGCUUUAAUGCAGUUUGCUAAAGUGGGCUACAGCAGGUUCGAGUAUUGUUCUAAACUGAUCAUUGGAGCUCUUUUCAGUUGGAAUGAGCUGAAAGGAAGGUACUUUAAUAUGAACCAAAACAAGGGUUCAAGCUAUAACUUCAUAUGAGGUAAAUAGUUGCUGAAAUUGGAGGGUUAGUACUAAGCUCAAGGCAGUUUUUUUAAUCAAAUUGCCGCAAGAUUGAAACUUGAUUGAGUUAAAUUUCAGGGCUUAUUUGGGCUGGAAUGAACUGAAUUCUGGGUGCUUCUACUUGGAUUGAAAAGUAGAUCUAACUUCUUCUUUAACCUAAGUAAGUAAUUAUUAUCUAUUCGAUGAAUAGGCAAGGUUUUAUUAUAGAUAAUUUAAACUCAGCUUGUAGCUGAUUUAGACUCAUGAAUUAGGAACCUGGACACUUGGAUUGCUUACUAGUGUGUGUAUUUGGCAAAGGACAUCAACUAGUAGGUGGGUUUGAUCUAACCAGAGCAAGUGAAUUUUCCUCUAUGUUCCAUAUGAUACUAUAGAACUAUUAAUUAAAUGGCAUUGGAAGGAUAUGUAUGUUUCGUUUGAAUACAUCAUUAAUUAGUGACUCGAUUAUGCUUUUGCAAAGUAGGAAACAAGGACAUUCAAAUUAUUGUGUAACAGUAAAUGUAAAUUGCAUACUUGUUAUGUAGUCAUUCAUCUAAUGGAUACUGGCAUUCCUAUUAUACUUAGAUUCCGACCUGUUGGUCGAGAACAGGAACUUACAUACUUGAUACAUGAUAAUUGAGAACUGUUAGACUAUGGAACAUGCUUGCUUGCCAUUGUGCUCAUUCGCACAUGCUUGUAAGGGUCGCUCCCCACAAGCCGACACUCCGGAGUUGGCCUACGCGACAGAUUGCUUGCCCGUGCGGGAUUGGGUGCUGAAGUGGAUUGCCGUGGGGAGUGUAUACUACCACGGGGCCAUUAGGCGCGGCGCAAGCUGAACUACCUUGAUUAGAUCCUUAUAAAUUAAAUCAAUAUAUUAAACGAUAAUAGCAGAGGAUUAUCAUUGAGUAGUACACAGUUACAUCUUUACUUGACAUAUUCAUGUUCAUUACGAUUACCUUACCUAUUUUACUUGAUAAAUAUAUCUGACAGCAUGACACAAUUUCAUAGUUCCUUAUUGUUGAUUAAACUUACAUGUUAUGACUGUGCUUACAUUUCCUUUAGUAUAUCAUCAUGAGCCUAGUGGUGUAAUUCGCCGAGGCUGGCGGCUUACCCACUGGGAACUAUUGUUUAAUAGUUCUUACGCCCUUUUUGUUGUUGUUUUUACAGAGCCAUCUACAGAAGAGACUAGGGAUCAUGGCAAGGGGGUUGCGUCUAGCUAGAUAUAGCUUGGAGCUUGACUAGAUAAUCACCUUGCUGCUAGGGCUACGGCCGAGGGUGAUGUCCCCGUAUAUAGAGAGACUAUCAUUGUACAUAUAUUUUGUGUACCCUAUGAUGUAUAUGUAACUUGAAUCAGAGAUUACAGUUUUGGUGUAUUUCUGUGGAAUUGAGAGUCUGAGCUGUUUAUACUUACUGUUUCUGAUAGUUGUAUUAUCAACUUAUACUUUGAUCUGAUAUCAGGUAAGAAUUCUGCUAUGUUAUCUUCUUUUUUUUUUUCUUUUUCGACAUGCUUCUUUGUAGACGCCUUAUAUACUGCAGGUGUAUGACGGGUCUGUACAUAUACCGGGUAGGCUUCCGCUGAUACCCGAGCGUGACACCAACCCUUCUUGCCUGGGGAGCAAGAAAGAACAAAAACAAGAAAAGGGGUGGAUUAUACUGUUUCCGUUGCUUACUUCAAAAUGUACCCAUGACUUUUAUUUUA
rnacentral:lncRNA from 1 species